rnacentral:lncRNA from 1 species
CUUACUUAUCCUGUUUGCUUUUUUUUUUUUCUCAUUGUUUACAUAUUUAACUAGUUUGUUUACGUAUUUCAUGUUAUUUGCACAGUUGGUGAUGUCCUGUACCCAUAUAUGCAUGUGUGUGUGUGUGUAUAGAUAUACACAUAUUUACUAUUUAUUAUACAUGUGUAUCUGGCUGUGUGGUAAGAAGCUUGCUUCCCAACCACAUGGUCCCAGGUUCAGUUCCACUGUGUGACACCAGGGGCAAGUGUUUUCUUCUGUGGCCUCAGGCCAACGAAAGCCUUGUAAGUGGAUGUGGUAGGCAAAAUCUGAAUGAAGCCCGUUGUAUAUUUGUAUGUAUAUAUAUACAUAUAUAUAUAUAUGGUGCAGGAGUGGCUGUGUGGUAAGUAGUUUGUUUACCAACCACAUGGUUCCGGGUUCAGUCCCACUGCGUGGCACCUUGGGCAAGUGUCUUCUACUAUAACCUCGGGCUGACCAAAGCCUUGUGAGUGGAUUUGGUAGACGGAAACUGAAAGAAGCCCGUCGUAUAUAUGUAUAUAUAUAUAUGCGUGUGUGUGUUUGUGUGUCUGUGUUUGUCCCCCUAGCAUUGCUUGACACCGAUGCUGGUGUGUUUACGUCCCCGUCACUUAGCGGUUCGGCAAAAAGAGACCGAUAGAAUAAGUACCAGGUUUUAAAAGAAAAACAUCUUGGGGUUGAAUUGUUCGACUAAGACACUGUUGUUAUUAUUAUUAUAUCCAUUAAUGAUAUUAACCUAAAUAUAAUUCCUUACCUUCUUAGAUAGUUCCCAUAUAAAUUUAACAUAGGAGCUAUUAACCCUGGCAAGUAUUAAAAGAGCCACAUACUGGCUUGGGCAGGUUAGGAAAUUAUGGAUAAUAAAUUACUGCACAAAAUUAGUUUGUUUUUAACAAAAUAAUCUGCUAAGUUCUUUCUUUCUUUCUUUCUUUCUUUCUUAUUUUGCAAAAACAGAGGGAGGGUUUUUUUUUAAAUGCAACUUUGCAGAUAGAAGUGUUCUCUUACAAAAUAAGUAAAGUUAGAGGUAAAGUCACCUUUUGUCAUACCGACUCAUAAAAGCUGGUUUCCUGACGCCCGUGGAAUAUAAAUUCCCCACCGGGAUGGGACGCCAGUCCAUCACAGGACAACUCAUAUUUACCAGCUGGGUGAACUGGAGCAAUGUGAAAUAAAGUGUUUUACUGAAAAAUACGCGUCGCCUGCUCCAGGAAUCAAAACCACUAUCUUACAAACAUGGUCAACCCGAGAUUAGAGUAGGAGAUACUUGCCCAAGGUGCCAUGCAGUGGGAAUGAACCCAGAACUAUGUGGUUGGGAAGCAAGCUUCUUAACCACACAGCCUAUACAUACCAAAACACUGUGUCUCAAAAGGCUUAACCACGCAGUCAUUCUCAUUUUUUUAAAAAUCCCUCAUCAAAAUUACAGUGUGUUGGAGAAUAACCACUAAGCCAUGUGCCUCCACAUUCACUUACAAAAUGCUGGGAACCACAACAAUUACUCUGUAAGGAGCAUAGGGCUGGUUUCUUGGUUUCUCUGGUGUAUUUAUUCAUUCCUGGAUGGGAUGCUGGGCCAUUGCAGUAUUACUCAUUUUUCCCUACGGCGUGGACUGGAGCAAUGUGAAAUGAGUAAAAUGAAGAGUUUUGCUCAAGAACAUAAUGCAUCACUCAGUACAGAAAUCAAAACCAUAAUCUUAUGAUAAUGAGUCCACCAGCCUAACCACUAAUCCAUAAGCCUCCACAACCACUACUAUAGGGGAAUAUAAAACUAGAUUUUUCAAGGAACAAUUCAUGCCAGUGACAUCUAAUAAGAUAAUAAGAACCCAGCACAUUCUGUUAAGUGGUUGGCAUUAGGAAGGGCAUCCAGCUGUAGAGACCACACUACAACAGACAGUUGGAGUCUGGACUGCUCCCUGCUGGCCAGCUCCAUGUCAAACCGUCCAACCCAUGCCUACAUGGAAAGCAGACUUUAAACGAACAAUGAACAAAUACAUUUGAGCAAAUUCACAUUACUUUUACUAGAACCACAAGAAGAUUUGAACUCAUCACCUCUGAUUGACUAAACACCUAUAAAUUGUACAGGUUUUACCACUGCCUAUCGAAAUAAACUAUUACUGUUUAUUAACAGUUUUUUUUUUCUAUUCAUCUGGAUCAACAGGACCAGUUACAGUUAAAUUCUUUGACUUCGAACAUGCAAUGGGAUUUGAUCCUUUAACCUUUUGAUUAGUAUUUCGAUAUACUAUAAACCUUGUCUUCUGUUGCUUUGUAUAUUUUAUGUAGAAAAAAUGUUAGAUAAUGAAUCACUGUUAUCAGAUUGAUAGUGUAUUCAGUUCUGGUAUUUUCAAAGAGCUUUAAUGCCCUUCAUGUUCUGGGUUACAAUUUCUCAAUAAGGUCAACUUUGCCUUUCAUCCUUUUGAGGUUGGAAAAAUAUAAUAUCCAGCACUGUGUUUGAUUUAAUCAACUAAUUUCUCCCUCAAAAUUUCUGACUUUGUACCUAAAUUAGAAACAGCUAUUAGCGUUACCACUGAGAUCUUAUAAAUAUCAAUAACUAAAAAUUCCAGUUUUUAGACUCCCUUCUCAUGAAAAAUUAUAAUGGGCUGAAGAAAGGGUCAAAUCACUUAAAAGAAACCUCAGUUAUUUACAAACUGCUAUUGGUUUAAUGUAUCAGUUGAAAAGGUAUAUAUUCUGGGAAAAUGUUUGAUUCCUGCUGCUGCAUUGUUUCAAAUGAAAAUAUUGGUCUCUUAUGUCAGGUGACAUAACAUAUAUUGAUUGUGAUGAAAAACGAAUGAAUUUUAUUCAGUAUUUUAAUUCAUUUCUUUGUAUUAGUAUGCAAGCUUUUAAUUAGCUGUGAAAUAAAGGUUUUUACAAAGUAGAGGUUAGAAUAGGAGUGGUGGUAGAAGUUGAAGCCGAGGAAAGAAGUAGUCAACGAUAGAUAUAAAAUGGUAAAUGAAAGGCCAUUUGUCAACGACAGCAUAGACAUUAAAUUAAUACAGCACCUAUAUUCUGUGUGGUAAUAUUAUAGGUUACAGGUGUAGCUGUGUGGUUAGAUGCUUGCUUCCCUACCACAUGCUUUCAGGUUCAAUAAGAACAUAAGGAUAAUUGCUCAGAACAUUGACCUCCUGGAAUCUGUCCAGAGAUGUGCAACCAAACGCAUACCCUCCAUCAGACACCUACCAUAUUCUGAGCGCCUUGUUUCCCUGGGCAUGGAUUCACUGAAGCUCCGGCGUCUGGCGACGGACUUGGUAAACACCUACAAAGUUAUCAACCACCUCACCAACAACAACACUGAACACCUUUUUGUUCUCCAUGUGUUUAACACACGUGGACAUGCCUACAAAGUCAGAAAACAACACAGCUCCCAUGACUUUCAGAAACAUUUUUUCACGCUCAGAGUUGCUGAAGCAUGGAAUAAACUGCCUGCGUCAGUUGUUGACUGCCUGCGUCAGUUGUUGACUGCCAUGACACUGCAUGCUUUCCGAAAUCCGCCGAAACUAUACCUGAUUAUAUAUACACUUUAGACGAGUUGUAGUGCACCUGAGCACUGUACACAAUUAUUAUUAUUAUUAUUAUUAUAAGUGUUUUCUUCAAACUGCCAUUUUAUAUUUUCAAAAAUAUUUAAAACAUGAAUAUUUCAAAAGAAAAGCAGGUUUGGCUUACCAGUCGAUGAUUAGAAAUGAGGAUCUCUGAGUACUGGAAAUUGGGGUCUCUCAGUUAUAAUGUGUGUGUGUGUGUGUGUGUGUGUGUGUGUGUUAUUGUCUACUUGCCUUGAGACUGUGUAAUAAUAAACAUUUCCAGCUUGGUGAUAUUCCUGGCCUUCAUUCCCAAUCUUCUGUGAAAGCAUGUCUGGUCAUAAGGAAAUGUUACUGACUUGGAUACUGGUGAGGGUUGGUGACUGGGCGGUCAUCCAGCUUUAGAAUAUCUGCCUCAACAAAAUUCCAUCUGAUUCAUGUGAGUAUCGAAAAGUGGAUGAUGAUGAUGAUGGUGGUGGUGAUGGUGGUGGUAGUGGUGAUGGUGGUGGAGGUGGUGAUGGUGGGGGGUGGUAGUGGUGAUGGUGGUGGUGGUGGUGGUGGUAGUGGUGAUGGUGGUGGUGGUGAUGGUGAUGGAGGUAGUGGUGAUGGUGGUGGUGGUGCUGGAGGUGGUGGUGGUGGUGGUGGUAGUGGUGAUGGUGGUGGUGGUGGUGGUGGUGGUAGUUUUGGCACUCACGCACAUGUGUGUGUGUGUAUGUGUGUGUCUUAAUCGCAUAAGCAUGGCUAUGUGGUUUUUGAAGUUCAUGUUGCAGCUACAUGUUUAAUUCCUACUGUGGGGUACCAUGGAUACCUUGUAACAUAAGCUUAACCCAUUGUCAUUUGAACCAGCCAUACUCAGCCCAGUUAGUCUAUCUGUUUCGUGUUCAAACUGGUGAAAUCUGGCCUCUCAUGUCUACCUUACAAUGUCAUUCUAAAAGUUAACAAUCACAUCAAGGAAAUUUCAAAGCUACGAGAUAAUCCAUGAUUAAUUCAAAACAAACUGAAUAAAUAAGAAUUACAUCUGACAGUGGUUGGAAGCACUCCGUCGGUUACAACGAUGAGGGUUCCGGUUGAUCCGAAUCAACGGAACAGCCUGCUCGUGAAAUUAACGUGUAAGUGGCUGAGCACUCCACAGACACGUGCACCCUUAACGUAGUUCUCGGGGAUAUUCAGCGUGACACAGAGAGUGACAAGGCCGGCCCCUUGAAAUACAAGUACAACAGAAACAGGAAGUAAGAGUGAGAGAAAGUUGUGGUGAAAGAGUACAGCAGGGAUCACUACCAUCCCCUGCCGGAGCCUCGUGGAGCUUUUAGGUGUUUUAGCUCAAUAAACACUCACAACGCCCGGUCUGGGAAUCGAAACCACGAUCCUAUGACCGCAAGUCCGCUGCCCUAACCACUGGGCCAUUGCGCCUCCCAUCUGACAGUAAACUGAAUGCAAAAGGGGUUAACACUUAAGCAUUUAAACUAGUCAUAUUAGACUCAAAUAAUCUGUUUCAUGUUCAAACUGACCAGAUCUGGUCUCUUACACUUGCCCUACAAUGUCAUUCUAAAAAUAAACAAUCACAACAUUGAAAUCCCAAAGCUACAAAAUAAUGCAGGAUUACUUCAAAACAAUGUCAAUAGAAAAGUAUUGCAUUUAACAGUUAUCUGAAUGCUUGAGGGUCGAAAAAUCUUUCAACUUAUCCAAGCAAUCUAAUUGAAAAUUAUUACGUACUAUUAUUUAGUUAAUCUGUGACUACAGAAAGUAAGUACCACUGCAAGCUAAGGUUAAAUAGUAGUCUCAAUUUCUAGAUGAAGUUAUUUCACUUGAUUUGUACUAAUGUAAUCAAGAAUCUUUUCAAAUCCUUACUUCCUCUUUACCUUAAAACCCAGGGCCUUUAUAUCUAUCUAUCUAUUUAUCUAUCUAUCUAUCUAGUCAAUAGAAAACGAAGAUAUGAAUGCAUGGGAGCUUGCUGGGCUUUAUGAGUUAGUGUUAAAGAGUACACGUCAUAGUGAUAGACUGAGGAAGACUUGAGAAUAAAAUAGCAUAAGAAGCUUGCUUACGAACCACAUGAUUCCGGGUUCAGUCCCACUGCAUGGCACCUUAGGCAAGUGUCUUCUACUAUAGCCUCGGGCCGACCAAAGCCUUGUCAGUGGAUUUGGUAGACGGAAACUAAAAGAAGCCCGUCGUCUAUAUAUAUAUAUAUAUAUAUAUGUGUGUGUGUGUAUAUGUUUGUGUGUCUGUGUUUGUCUCCCCGCCCCCAACAUCGCUUGACAACUGAUGCUGGUGUGUUUACAAUUAGAUCAACCCCAGUACGCAACUGGUACUUAAUUUAUCAGCCCCAAAAGGAUGAAAAGCAAAGUCGACCUUGAUGGAAUUUGAACUCAGGAUGUAAAGACAGAUGAAAUACUGCUAAGCAUUUUGCCCAGCAUGCUAAUGUUUCUGCCAACUCACCACCUUCCACAAACCUCAAUAUUAUGAAAGGUUUAACAUAAUGAAGGACUUUCAUUAUCAUAUUUACUUUUCAUUUGUCUCAGUCUUAUGACUGUGGCCAUGCUGGAGUUCUGACAUGAAGUGUUUAGUGAAGCAAAUCAACCGGGGUACAUGUUUUCUUUUUAGUCUGUUACUGAUACUACUAUCAAUCACUUUUGCCAAACCACGAAAUUACAGAGAUAUAAACAAACCAACGCUGGUUGCCACACAGUGCAGAUGAGCAAACACAUGCACACACAAACACACACACACACACACACACACACACACACACACACAUAGAUAUAUAAGCUUCCACACAGUUUCUCUCUACCACAUUCUGUCUACAACGCAUCAGUCAGCACAGGCCUAUAGAAGUUAAAAAAACUGCCUAAGGUACCACGCAGUGGAACUGAACUCAAAACUACAUGGUUGCAAAAGCAAGCUUCUUAACCAUACAGCCAGACUUGAUCCUAAUUACUAAAGUGGAAUUCAAUGACAUGAAAUGGAUUUUACCAUUGACUUCCAUCUUACAGAAAUGUUACAUACUUGAAGGAGGCGAGCUGGCAGAAACGUUAGCAAGCCGGGAGUAAUGCUUAGUGGUAUUUCGUUUGCCACUACGUUGUGAGUUCAAAUUCCGCCGAGGUCGACUUUGCCUUUCAUCCUUUCGGGGUCGAUUAAAUAAGUACCAGUUAUGCACUGAGGUCGAUGUAAUCGACUUAAUCCCUUUGUCUGUCCUUGUUUGUCCCUUCUGUGUUUAGCCAUUUGUGGGUAGUAAAGAAAUAGGCAUUCCGUUUACCACUACGUUCUGAGUUCAAAUUCCGCCGAGGUCGACUUUGCCUUUCAUCCUUUCGGGGUCGAUUAAAUAAGUACCAGUUGUGCACUGGGGUCGAUAUUAUCGACUUAAUCCAUUUGUUUGUCCUUGUUUGUCCUCUCUGGAUCUAGCCCCUUGUGGGCAGUAAAGAAAUAAGAAAUGUUACAUACUUCUGUUACAGAAAUGUUACAUACAAGGGAGUUCCAUAAAAAAAUAAGUUUUGCAUAGCAGAAUUCCAAAUUUCAGGAAUGCAAUGCUGCCUUAAUUGCAAGGGAUGCGUCUUUUUUUUUUCUUUCUUUUAUUUGAUGUAAUUUUCUGAAUUCAUUAAUAGAAAUGAUCAAUUCAUGAUACAAUUAUGUAACUAUAUCCAAUUAUAUAUAUUUCUACACUCCAUAAUAUUGAUCUGGUAUUAAGAGACAGAUGGUAACACCCUGCAGUAUGUUAUAUACUUAGUGUGUAAAAACUAAUAAAAAACAGAAAAAACAAAAAGAGGUCACCUGCUUGGGCACUGGUGUGGCUCUGUAUGGUAAGGAAUUUGCUUCCCAACUGCAUUACUCUAGGUUCACUCCCACUGCAUUGCACCUUGGGCAAGUGUCAACUUCAGGCUGACCAAAAUCUUGUGAGUGGAUUUGGUAGAUGGAAACUGAAAGAAGUCCAGUGUGUGUGUGUGAAUACAUAUACGUGAAGGCACAUGGCUCAGUGGUUAGAGCAUCAAGCUUACAAUCAUGAGGUUAUAAGUUUGAUUCCCAGACCGGGCUGCGUGUUGUGUCCUUCAGCAAGACACUUUAUUUCAUGUUGCUUCAGCUUACUCAGCUGUAGAAAUGAGUUGCGACGUCACUGGUGCCAUGCCUUUCCCUUGGAUAACAUCGGUGGCAUGGAGAGGGGAGGCCGGUAUGCAUGGGUGACUGCUGGUCUUUCAUAAACAACAUUGCCUGGACUUGUGCCUCGGAGGGUAACUUUGUAGGUGCAAUCCCAUGGUCAUUCAUGACCUAAGCGGGGUCCUUAUAUAUAUAUAUAUAUAUAUAUAUAUAUAUAUAUAUAUAUAUAUAUAUAAAAGUCUCAAUGACUGAAACCGGUACUGAAAUAUUUUUUCUAAAAUUAUUUUAGCAUUUUCUAUCUUGACUUUUUUUCCAUAUAUAUAUAUAUAUAUAUAUAUAUAUAUAUACAUAUAUCUUAGGAAGGGCAUCCAGCCAUAGAAACUAUGCCUCAACAGACAGCUGGAGUUUGGACAACUCCUUGCUAGCCAUCUCUAUGUCAAACCAUCCAACCCAUGCUAGCAUGGACAGCAGAUGUUAAACGAUGAUGAUGAUGAUAUAUGUAUAUAUAUAUAUAUAUAUAUAUAUAUAUAUAUAUAUAUAUGGGCUUCUUUAUGUAUGUAUUUGUGUGCAUUGUGUGUGUAAACUGUGUUUUCCCCCCAUCACUGCCUGACAACCAGUGUUGGUGUGUUUAGAGUCCUGUAACUUAGAGGUUCAGUAUGGAAUAAGUACCAGGAUUUAAAAGAUAAGUGCUGGGCUUGAUUUAUUCGGCUAAAAUUCUUCAAUGUGGUGCUGCAGCAUUGCCACAGUCUAACAACUACAACAAGCAUGAGUUCACCUGCUCUAUGCCAUGCCCAUGAGGGAGCAACUACAUGAUCACUCAAUCUGCAAAAAAAAAAAAAAACUGUGUCAUCUAAACUCUUGUUAAGCCACAAUUUACCAUUUUGAAAAAAUAGGACACCCUAGGUAAGCAUUUCCCAAACAGAGUUCCCUGGAGCCCCAGGUUUCUGUGAGAAGUUACUCAGGGUUUCGUGAGAUUUUAGGGAUAACUAGGAUAAUUUUACGCCAUAACACGUUUAAGCAAUUUUCACGAUUUUAAUUCUGUAUUCUUAAUUGUAAUUUUAUUACACACUCGGAACAUGUUCCGUAAGAUAGGAAAAUCCUUGUAUUCAUUGGUAGAAAGGAAACCCUAUGAGAGAAAAAAAAAAGAUUUUUGAGCAGAGAACUGUUGAGGAAUUUUGCUUAAACAUAAUAUUGGUUGAGAUGUAAUUUCUUAAGUCUUCUUUACGGCAUCUGAUGGAUUUAGCGCUGCUAGUCUAUUCAUGGGUAUUUUUGUGGUUUGUUUAAUCUCUUGGAUAAUUUAACUUGAUGAAAGAGAAAAAUGUAGAGUAUUCCUGAGGUAUGGAAUGUAUUUCAAGAGUCAAGAGUGAAUGGACUGGGAAGCACUUCCUUAGGUUCUCAUGCACUCUCUGAAGAGAAGAUGAGGUGGUCAUGACUGGAACUCUUUGAUCAAAGCCAACCAGGGACUAAACAAAAAAUACACCCACCUGCUCUAUGUAGUAGCUGAAUUUUAUAUUUAAAACUCAUCCACUAAUUCAUAUAUAAAUACAUGGACACACGCACACUUACACAAAUAUACACACACAUCACAUACACACUCAUACACACAUACUCUUCUUGGUCGCGCUACUUUGCAGAUUUCCACGACUCUCUGUUAUCAUCCAUUUCCAUUAUUAUGAACGUGAAAUGGGAGCUUGAGUCAUAGGGAAUCUUUCAUUAACCGAUUACACAACCAUGGAUGCCACCGCAAUAGAUGUGUUGCUCACUUGAUAGAACUUGGUGGUCCUGACCAUCGAUCUUUUAGGAUUCCUCCAUUCAGCAUUGUUAUAAGAGGCGCCAGUGGCUCAUUUGAACUCUUCCGAUACCUCUUCACAAUCUUCCAAGCUGCUGUCCCAUGACUUUGCUGUAUCCCCUGCAAUGUGGCUGAAUGGGUGUUAUUCCUUGCCAAAGGGCAGCCUAUGCAGUGCACAGUCAUCACUCCAAGAGGUGUUUUCAAAAUACCUGCAUACCAAAAUAUACAUACAUAGCUAAUCGUUUAGCAUUCAAAUUACUCCAUCAAAGGUAAUGCUCAUUUAUUCUCCUCAUUUUAAAUUAAUUAUGCUUUGUCUCGUAGCUUCAAGAUUUCUAUGAUCUUUCUUCUUUGGUUUUUUUUUUAUUUGCUUUAGUCAUUAGACUGCGGCCAUGCUGGGGCACCACCUUGAAGAAUUUUUAGUUGACUGAAUCAGCCCCAGUACUUAAUUUUUGUUAAGCCUGGUACUUAUUCUAUCAGUCUCUUUUGCCGGACUAUUAAGUUACAGGGACAUAAACACACCAACACCGGUUGUCAAGUGGUGGUGGGGGACAAACACAGAUACAAAGACACACACACAUAUAUAUGCAUAUAUAUGACAGGCUCCUUUCAGUUUCCAUCUACCAAAUCCACUGGCUUGAGGCUAUAGUAGAAGACACUUGCCCAAGGAGCCACGCAGUGGGACUGAACCCGGAACCAAGUGGUUUGGGAAGCAACCUUCUUACCGCACUGCCACAUCUGCGCCUGGUUGUUUAUUUUUAACAUGAUAUUGUAUGAUAGGUGUGAGAGGUUGGAUCUAGCUGAGUUGAGCAUAAAACAUGUAGAAUAUUUGGGCUGGACAUGGAUUCAUAAGCUUCUUUUUAACUGGUUAAGAUAAAAAAUAAAAAAAAAUAAAUAAGAUUCCAUAAGUUGCAUUGAUUUGACGAAACAAAGCCGGUGUUAAUCUCAACACCAAUCAGGCUUUAACUCUGAAAUCAUAUGAUAUAUAUUCUACUGAAAAUGUUUUGAAAUUGAACAAUAAUAAAAUGUUUUUAGGAGUUGAAUUAAACAUUGUCAUGGGCCCAAUCCAGCCUAUGAGCCAUAUAAUUGUUACUCCCAGGUUGGACUGUUUCGCUGAUGUGGUCUAACAAGAUUAAAACAUCUUGUUAGCAACCAUAUUGCUAAAAGUUAAACUUAUUCCUCAUUAUAAUCUAAUUUUGAUUAAUUUUUUUUUUAGAUAAAUUUCAGUUCUGAGGGUUUUCUCCCCUGUAUGUUUUGAGUACAUUUUAGUCAAUAACCCUUUGGUAAAAAAAAAUGUAAGGUUUCCUUCUCAAGUCAUACUGACUCACAAGGACUGAUUUCCCGGCAUAGACAUUCCCCACCUGGACAGGACGCCAGCUGAGUGAACUGAAGGUCUGAGAAUCAAAACGGCAAUCUUAUGAUCAUGAGUCCAACACCCUAACCAGUAAGCCACGUGCCUCCACUAUUAACCCUUUGCUCUUCCUGUGUAACGUCUAUGAUACACGGAGCAUAUUCCCCUGAUGUCCAUGCAUUGUAUAUGGUAAACAUUCUCAAUUUCUUUUCACUCACAAGAGUAAAUAACAUGUGACUUACAAAAGGGAAGCUUUAUAUAACGCGGGACACGUGAAACAAAGGCUAAUAAAAAUCUGAAAAUAAAGCAUGGACAUUUAGAACAAACUUAUGAAAAUGCUAUGGAGAUGCAAAGAGUUAACUCUCUGCCUUUCCUGACUAUCACAUGUGAUACACAGGACAUAUUUCUCUGGUGUCCAUGAAUCAUAUUUGAUACACAUGCCCAAUGUUUUUCAAGUACCAGAGCAACUUAGGAAUUAUAUAAAUAAAGCUUAUGGUAUGAACACAAGGUUUAACUUAAAGUUUGGAAACAAGCAUGGACAUUUAGGACAAGCAUAUGAAACAUAUUCUUUGAACAGGCUAAGGGUUAAGAUCAGGUUUCGUUCUUCUGACUAAUGGGUGUAAUUCUAAUUGACUAAUUUAUCAAAAACAUCUUUGCUCAUUACAUUAUGUUUUUAACACUCAUUUCGCAAGAACUGCUAAUGUUGCACAGUGCUCCAAGUUUCAUAGAAUUCUCACAGGAAACUGAUUCAUAUCAACUCACUUUUGCCAUCCAAUGCAUGUAUCACCACAAUCACUCUUAUUUGUGUUGUAAUAUAUGCAAUAAAUAUUCUUAUAUCAAUCAUUAACUUGUGCUGUCAUUAAGAAGGCACUAGUUAACUGCUUCCCAUCAUUGGAAGAAUUGUUAACUCGAUUCUAUCUUGGCUUUCUCUGAUUAGUCAUCAGCACGGUCGCAUAUAUUUUCUUUUGUUAUUAUUAUAUGGAAUAUAUACUCACACUAAUAUUUUUUUUUUUUUUGCAAAUUAUCACUAAUUGGAAUAAAAAGACAGGGGAGGAAAAGAAAAGAAAAAAAAACCAGAAAACAAACCUUUUUUUCUAUGCUAAAUAGAUUAUUGGUGUGAUGAUAAAUUCAGAAAGCCAUUCUCUCACUAGAAAGAAAUGAAGGUUGAGAAAUUGCAUGCACCUUCUUAUGUGCACACAUGCAUCUUACAAGCAUAUCCCCAACCACUCUCACACAAACACUUGUAAUAAUCAUGCUGACACAUACUCACACAUACAUACACAGAGACUCUCACACAAACACGUGUACACACACACACACACACACACACAGCCAUGAACAUGAAUAUACGCACAAGCAUAAACAUAUACAGAUAUUCUCACACACACACACAGAGCAGCAGUAUCACCAUGGCCACCAACACCUUCACUCGAUCACCAUGGCCACCACUGCCACUACCACUACCACCAGAAAAUAAGGAAAUCAAAAACUGACUUUUAUGCUGCAUACUUCUAUGACUUAUGAUAUACAAAUUAUUUAACAAUUAUUACAAAACGAUGAACUGUCUUGUUCUACUGUAUAUUUGAUAUUCCAGACUGCUAAAAAUGGUCUUGUAGCCUGACCGUAGAGCCUAAUAUUGCAGCUGGCACUCUGUCGGUUACAAAGGUGAGGGUUCCACUUGAUGAAAUCACUGGAAGAGCCUGCUCAUAGAAUUAACAUGCAAAUGAUUGAGUGCUGCACAGACGUGUGUACCCUUAAUGUAGUUCUUGGGGCGGGUGGGGUGGGGGGGUCAGUAUUCAGCGUGACACAGAAUGUGACAAGGCUGGCCCUUUGAAAUGCAAGUACAACUCAUCUUUGCCGGUUGAGUGGACUGGUGCAGUGUGAAGUAGAGUGUCUUGCUCAAGCAACAUUAAAAAAGGCAUAUAUAUAUAUAUAUAUUUAUGUAUAUAUGUAUGUGUAUAUAUAUAUAUAUAUAUAUAUAUAUAUAUAUAUAUGUGUGUGUGUGUAUAUGUAUAUGUAUAUAUAUGUGUAUAUAUAUAUAUAUAUAGUUUUUUAUUCUCUCAGUUUUUUAUUCUCUCUCUGUUUAUUUUCUCUUAUUCCUUUCUGUUGAAUAGCGUAGGCUUGAAACAUAAAGACUUUUUCACUUUCCCGAGUGUCAAACUAAUGCACCUGCUUGUUCAUACACCUUUCUUCAUCUUUUGUUUUUCUAUAAAUUUCAACCAUAUAUAUAUGGUACAAAAUUCCUUGUAACACCAAAGAUGAACUGAAGGCAAGGAUUAUGGCAGCAUUUAAACAAGGAGUCCGUCCAGAAGAGUUGUAAAAAUUCUGAAGUCAUCUGGAGGCCAUGGUUGAAGCAAAUGGCGAUUUUAUUGAAUAAAUUUACUCUUAAGUAUUUCAAGAUAUUUCUAUGUACUUUUGGUAAAUAUAUCUGUUAAAAUGAGAUGUCGGUGUUUUUAUUUUUUUUCGUAAUUUAGGUCUCUUUAUAAAAUUAUAAAUAUAAAAUUACAAAUAAUGAGAGAAAUAUACUAUGAUAAAAUGGAAAAUUUCUAUUUCACGAUAAUUGUUAAAUAAGAAUUUCCAAUGGUAAAAAAUUUUAUCAUAGUAUAUUUCUCUCAAUUGCAGCAUGGAAUGUGUUUAUAAGCCAUUUAAAAGCACACAAAAACCAUUAGAUUCACUUCAACAUUUAAAUAUUUUCGCCGCUUUGAAACCGCAACCUGUUCACUAAAAAAAUUCUGCACUGCAUGGAAGUUUGUCAGUGAACAGGUCGUGGUUUCAAAGCGACGAAAAUAUUUUGACAAAUUAAAUUUAAAUGUUGAAGCGAAUCUAACAGUUUUUGCGUGCUUUUAAAUGGCUUAUAAACACCUUCCACACUGCAAUUGUUUUUAUUUCAGCACACGAUCUCAAUCAGGUCACUUGCUAUGCAAGUACAUCUCCAUAAUGUAUUUCUCUCGUCAUCUAUAAAUUUAUAAAACUCACUAUGUUUUGCUUCUGUAUCAUACUAUGUCUCUAUGUGUUUUCUAGAAUGAUACAUUAAGGAGCUUUCUUUAUGUGUACCACUGGAUUAGUUGAACUCAUAUAUUGUGACUUAAAUUUAUAUAUAUCAUUCCCUUCUCUCUCAGGAAGCACAAGCACUUUACACACACACAUGUACACACAUGAUAGAAACUUCUGCUUACCAAAUUCAAUCACAAGUCUUCGGUAAGAUACCAGAGAAAGGAAUAAGAGGAAAUAAACAGAGAGAGAAUAAAAAAAAGAUAUAUAUAUGUGUAUACAGUGACACUGUCAGUCACGAUAACAAGUGUCCCAGUGAUAUAUAUAUAUAUAUAUAUAUAUAUAUAUAUAUAUAUAUAUACAUACACACACACACACAUAUAUAUAUAUAUAUAUAUAUAUAUAUAUAUAUAUAUAUAUAUAUAUAUAUUACAUUAGAGAUAAAACCACUAUUAGGCAAAUCAAACAGUGAAAAACAUAAGCCAAUACAUAAAAUUAAUUUAAGAAUAUAAAAGUAUUGAUAAAAUCAGUAAGAUAACAAAAGAAAGAAAGAGACCGCGAUAUUAUGUAAAUAGAGGAACUUAUCUGUAAAUGUAAAAUGUAAUUCGGUAGCCAAGAUAAAACUCCGAGUUUUGGAUGCCGAGAUGGAAAUCCAUGCUACCAUCUCUUCAGUUAUCCGGCCAUUGGAAAAAUGCUAUGAAAAUGACCGUUGUACAAAGGGAAAUUACUGUGUUAUUGACCGCUAUUAAGACAAAAGAGCUAUUCGAAUGACCACUAAGUAAGGUAAGGGGGUAAAAAGUUCAUAGUAUUCGCGUAAGCGCGUCUGUUCAUACCUACACAUGUGCACCCGCACACCCACGUGUGUAUGCAUACAUUCAUCCUCCCUCACUUGAAAAAUGUACACAUCUUCACUCGCAUCCUUCGCCAAAAGUAUAUGCAUAUACAUACAAACCCCCACACACACGCGCGCACCGUAAAAGUUCAUACAUAUGUCUACAUACGCACAAACACAAGAAAAAACAGGGUUAUGGGUAACAAUACAGAAAAAAGGCAUAAGGGAGUAUACAAAGAGUAAACCACGUUUAUAUACGCACAUACCCUUAUGCACGCACGCACACACACCCAUAUAUGCUUAUGACAGAGUAAUCUCAGUGUUGAAGGGUUAAAGGCAAUGAGCUGGCAGAAGUAUAAGCAUGUAGGACAAAUUACUGAUUUCAAAUUGCACCGAGGUCAACUUAGCCAGUCAUCAUUUCAGGGUUGAUAAAUUAAGUACCAGUGAUGCAUUGGGGUCAGUGUAAUUGACUUUAUCCUCCCCUAAAAUUUUUGGCUUAAUGCCAAAAUUUGAAAUCAUUAUUUAAUUACCUUUGUUUUUCAUUCUUCCUUUCUUAGGUCAAUAAAAGAAAGUACCAGUUAUAUACUUGGUACCCCAAAUUUCGCGGCCUUAUGCUGAUAUUAGCAUUAAGCCAAAAAUUUCUCUUUUGUCCCUUUCACUUCUGAAUUUAAAUCCCAGUAGAAUCAGCAUCAUCUCUUCUAUUCCUAGAUUCGUAAUAUACUAGGAAUAACUAGGGACGCCUUCUGCCUAAAAAACAAAUAGUCAAGUGGGUGCUAACAUUUUUAAUGUAGCUAGGAAAAUUGUAAUUAUAAUUGGAUUAAAAAUAAUUUUGUAGUUAAUUAUGAGAUGAUGUGAGUACCUUAUUUACCAGUUUCGUUUCCAUGCAAAAGGGGUUCUGGCUGACAUUCUCAUCUUCCGUCGUCAAUUCGGCAACUGCAUCAAAAUUGUCAUGAUCAUCUUUAUCAUAGGUAUCAUCAUCAGCAGCAGUAUCAUCAUUAGCACUCUUAUCAUCAUCAUCAUCAUUGAUGUUGUUGCCACCACCAUCACCACCACCAACCUCAUCAUCAUCGUCAUUAUCAUCAUCACCACCAGCACCACUACCACUACUAGCAUCACCAUCACCACAGGCACCACCACAUUAAUCAUCAUCACCAUUACCACUACCACCACCACACUCAUCAUCAUCAUCAUCAACAACAACAACAACAGAUCAUUUUUAAUAUUUCUUAAUCUGAACUCGCGUAUACUGGAAAGAUUGUUUUCAACACAGUAUCCCCACCAAUUAUUUUCUGAAACUCCUUCUUCAAAAUCACCAGUAUUCCCAGAUUUUUUCCUCACCACUUCUUGCUAGAUUUUCCUUGGUCUUUUGUCCCCCACCUCCACCCUUUCAUUUUAAAGUCACAUCACAUUUUCAUCCAGAAUGUAUCAUAUAUAUAUAUAUAUAUAUAUCGGCAUUCGCCAUGAUGGAUCGCUAGUCACUACACAUUCUUUAUUUUCUCUCCUUGUUUCUUCCUGUGUUUCUUUCUGUAGAAGAGCUUAGACUUGAGAUGUUAAAGACUUUUUCACUUCUCGAGUGUUAUACUAAUACAUCUGUUUGUUGUCUACACCAACUGUCUUCAUCUUUGGUUUAUUUUUGUGAAUUCUCUCCCUAUAUAUAUAUAUAUAUAUCAUCAUCAUCAUCAUCAUCGUUUAACGUCCGCUUUCCAUGCUAGCAUGGGUUGGACGUAUAUAUAUAUAUAUAUAUAUAUAUAUAUAUAUAUAGGGAAGAGGAUUUGAAAAUGCAGGGGUCUUUUAAAGAUGCUUAUUGACUUGAUCGGUUUCCCUUUUUUAAAAAAAUUGAUUUUUAACAGUAUAGGUGCAAGGCUUUGUGUAGCUUUGAGGUGUUACAAAUUAGUUACCAUAGAUGUAUUAAAAUGCAGUGAUAAAGUCUUUGACAAUGCUAAGGAAAUGUUAAGAAAUAGAACAUUUGAUAAUGAUAAGAAAAUGUUGAGAGAGGGUUUAAACAGUUUACAUAAAAGUGUUCAGAGUAGGCAGUAAAAUAAGUUCAUAAUUGUUUAUAAGUUCAUCAGAAAUCAUAAUUGUUUGUAGGCAUAUAAACAGAAAGAAUUUGUUGACAGUAUUUGAUAAGAGAAAGUGUGUAUUGCUUUGUAAAACGUUCGUCAGAAAUCAUAAAAGAUUGACACAUAUACAUAUUGUUGAAUAUCAUAAGAAUUUUAUAAAUUUUUGGGAGAACAUGAAAUAAUUCUUUUGUGAAAAAUUGAAGCUUGAAGCACAUAAAGCAAUAAAAUAAUCACAUGUAAAUACUGGGAAGCCUUCAAAUUUUACUAUUUAAAAAGGCUUUUCAACCCAAUAUUUACAUUCUUUAAUGUGUGUGUGUGUGUUAUAUGUAUGUAUUUGUGUAUUUGCGUUCACAUCUUGAUACAAGCUUCCUGCUUUAAAAAUAAAUGCACCCUUUUAAAGCAUAGCCAGGUUCAUGGGCCCGGUUUCCUGGUUUCAAUGGCAUAUGUGUUCCCCAGCUAGAUGGGACGCCAGUCCAUCGCAGUGUUACUCAUUUUUGCCAGCUGAGUGGACUGGAGCAACAUGAAAUGAAGUGUUUUGCUCAAGAACACAAUGCGUCACCCGGUCCAGGAAUCAAAACUACAAUCUUACGAUCAUGGUGCUAACACCCUAACCACAAAGCCACACGCCUCCACUUCCUGCUUUAAACUGAUCUAAAUUAAAAUCUUCCAUUAAAAUUCUAUGUUAAUUUAUGCUCUGAAUACCACUUUUAUAAUGACUAAGUUAUUUCAAUAAAUUCUUCAUUAUUGUUAAAAUUAGGUGAAAUGAAGGCAGUGUAUUUCAACAGAGUGGAGGCACAUGGUUGAGGGAUUGUGGGUUCGAAUCUCAGACUGGGCGACGUGUGUUUAUGAGUGAAACACCUAAGCUCCACAUGGCUCUGGCAGAAGGUAAUGACAAACUUCUGCUGACUCUUUUGCGACAACUUUCUCUCACUCUUCCCUCCUGCGUCUUGCAGCUCACCUGCAAUGGAUCGGCGUCCCAUCCAGUGGGGAACCUAUACGCCAAGGAAACCGGGAAACUGGCCUUAUGAGCCAGGCAUGGCUUGAGAAGGAACAAACAUUUCAACAGAAGUAUGGUAAUGAAUGCGUUGACACAGUAGAGUGUAUGAAUUGAAGGAGUUACAGCUUAUUUCUAGCAGGUCAAGAAAUUAUGUAGGAGAUCCUACAUACACUUAGUAAAAUUGUCCCUUGUAGAGGUAAAAUGCCUCAUACAAUAAUCUCUAGCUAUUAUCCCAGUACUUCUUACUCUUUUAAUGACGUUGACAUAUUUUUAUUUUGCUAAAAACAAAAGCAACAUACCUACAUACUAUAAUGAGGCUUUUUUAUUUUAUUUAAAUAUUUUAUAGCCAUUAAAUAAAGGCACAUGGCCUUGUGGUUAGGGUGUUGCACUCAUGAUUGUAAGAUUGUGGUUUCAAUACCUGAACUAGGUGGUGCAUUGCAUUCUUGAAGAAAACACUUCAUUUCAUGUUGCUCCAGAUAACUCAGCUGUGAGUUCCAGUAAUAGGUGGGAAGUUAACCUUGCAAUGGACUAGUGCCCCAUUCAGGAGCAGAGUGUUAUAAUUUCAGUCAUUUAUACACAAUGGAAAUGAGGCUAAAUUCUGGCCAUGUGUGUCCUAGGGUUCACAACAAAUUUUUGUUUUUAAUCAUCAUCAUCAUCGUUUAACAUCUGCUUUCCAUGCUAGCAUGGGUUGGAUGAUUUGACUGACGACUGGCGAACCAGAUGGCUGCACCAGGCUCCAAUCUUGAUCUGGCAGAGUUUCUACAGCUGGAUGCCCUUCCUAAUGCCAACCACUCUGAGAGUGUAGUGGGUGUUUUUUCACGUGCCACCGGCACUCAUUAAAUAUAACUUAAUUUGGUCCACGAGUAAGAGCAAGCAUGCAAUCAAAAUAUAUAAUUGAUGUUUAAUCCUUUAGCAUUCAGAUUACUCUGUUAAUGUAAGACAAUAAGGGAUUAAUUAAUUUCAUCACAUCACACAAUUUAGUACCACACUAAAUUUUUGUAGCUACAAAUUGGAAAAGCAUAAUUGCUACACUUUUAUUAGAACUAACUUUUCAUUUCUACUUCACCAACAUUGUUUGUAUGUUAUUUUACUGAGAUAUAUAAUUUGUUAACUCUCUACUAAUUAAAAUACAUUUUGUUAUGAGUCAGUCAGGGUGGCCCUACAUCAGUUGUUCUCAAUUGUAGUCCAUAUGACCACUGGGAAUCCAAAUAAAAUUUUGGUGGCUCCACACAAGCAAAAUACUUAAUUGGAGAGCCACUAUAGUACUUUAGGGGUUCAUGGAAAACUUUUGUUUUAGCUAUAUCUAUUGCAAGAUAUAUCUAUUGCUAGGUUUCUUUUUCUAACGUUUUACACAGUUCAACCUACACGAGUGAAUGUGUGAAAAACAAAUAUGAAUUUUGGAAGAAAUAUCUAUAAAACUAGUUUUAAAACAUUGAAUGACUAUGGGUGUCCACCAGAAUAGAAUAAUUAAUUAAAGGGGUCCAUAGAUAGAAUAAAAAUGAUUGAAAACCUCUCCUCAAGAUGGACAGAUUUUUUUUUAAUGACAGUGAAAUUUCCAUCAUAUCAUUCCUUACUGUAUUAAAUAGAGAAAGAUAAAGCGGAUGAUGUGAUCUGAGGUAUAUUCACCAUCAUCAUCAUCAUCAUCAUCAUCAUCAUCAUCAUCAUCAGUAUUUUAACGUCCACUUUUCCAUGUUUGCUUGGGUCAGAUGGAAUUUGUUGAGACAGAUUUUCUAUGGUACUGUGCCCUUCUUGUCACCGGUCCUCACCUAUUUCCGAGCAAGAGAUAGCAUUUCCCCAUGACCAGACAUGCAUCCAUGGAGGAUUGGAAACAAAGGAUAUCACUUGUAUGUUGGUAAUGAUCGUUUACAACUAUUGAGCAAUAUCAAGACACAGAGACACCAACACAUAAACACCCAUGAACACACUAAUGCACACAUAUAUACAUAUCUAUCUGUUUGUCUGUCUGUCCAUCUGUCUAUCUGUUAGUCUGUCUGUCUAUCUGUUGAUCUGUCUAUCUAUAUUUAUCUAUCUAUCUAUCAUAUGGAGAACGGACGUUAAACGACGAUGAUGAUGAUGAUAUAUAUAUGUAUAUGUGUGUGUGUGUGUAUGUAUGUAUUUAUGUAUGUAUGCAUAUAUAUAGAUGUGUGUGUGUGUGUGUGUAUAUAUAUAUAUAUAUAUAGUUAGAUAGAUGUGUGUAUAUAUACACACACACACACACACACACACACACACAUAUAUAUAUAUAUAUAGAGACUUGAAAUGUUGACAAGUGCUAUAUAUGUAUAUAUAUAUAUAUAUGGCAGGUUCCUUUCAGUUUCUGUAUACCAAAUCCCCUCACAGAUCACAGUGCACUGGAAAUUGGAUACACACACACACACACACACACAUAUAUAUAUAUAUAUAUAUAUAUAUAUAUAUAUAUAAAGAAUUUGGUUACGACUAGAAAGUCCUUGGUUAUAGGUUUACUCAAUGGAAGCUAACCUUGAGCUAAACAACAACAACAUACAGUUGAAUAUUUCACAUGGGUCUGGUCUGAAAUGUUACUUUAUAAACCUUUAUUCUCCAUAAUACUAAGGAUGCUAGAUAUGUUGCAGUGUUCAUAGAGAGAAAUGAUUGGAGGAACAAACUAAGAAUAACUUAAUUUCCUGUGUGAUUUACAAUGGAGUUUUCCUUCCACCAAAGAUAAUGAAUGUGUCAACAAGGCUGGGAAAUGGCCCGAUGGAAUAUACAGUACUGUCUGUAAGGCGGCUAGAUUUGCCAAGAUUAAUAUGUUAAAGGGUCAAGUUUGAUAAGAUUCUGUCAAUGAAUGUGAAUCUUUACUGUAGGACAUAUAACCCCACCAACACCACUAAAGCCGAGGUCAGCAUUUGACAUGAUGGACAAGCAGAACUGAAUUUAAUCGGAUGGUUGCUAACAUACUAACUAAACAUGCAGAUCAUUAGCAAAAGACUGACAGAAAAACUGCUGUCAGAGUCACACAGUUUGUUAUAAAUACAGUGUAUCAAUACAGAUGUUUGCUAAAUGGGAUGCCAAUUUAAAGCAAUUAGAUAAAACAUCAUGUACACAAUCAAAUGUACACACACACUUUUACACAUACGCACACACACACUUUUACACAUACGCACACACACACUUUUACACAUACGCACACACACACACACACUCACUUUUGCACAUAGAUCUUUGAUUAUAAUUCUUCUAUCUUCUAUCUGCUCUGCUAUUUAGAUAUUUGCACAGGUGUUUACUCAGCACAGAUGCUUUGUCCUUGAUUGGCAUGCUAAUAUCCUUCUAAUAUCAGAUAAGUGAUAUUACUAUUUACAUUAAAGGUGACGAGUUGGCAAAAAGAAGAAAAGAAAAAAAGAGAUAGAAAGUCAUCAAAAUGCAUUUAGAAUAUUUAGUUUUGUAAUCACUUGAACCCAUUCUGAGUUCAAAUCCCACAAGAGCUGCCUUUUACUUCUAAUCCCUCUCGUAUUGAUGAGCUUAGCACUAGGAAUAUGCAAGGUUUGACUCAACUGAUUAUGAGCCCCACCCCCCCCAUAUAUAAAAUUGGUGCUUAGAUUUUUAUUAAAUCAAUAGUACAGUUUAUUUUCUUGAUAAUAUAAUAAUAUAACGUAGCUUGCCUAACAACAUUGCAAUGCCUAUGAAAGGGGGGCUUCAUGAUUUUUAUUUUAUUUUCUAUAUUUGUUAUUUUACUUUUUUUUGUUAUUAUUUUAAUUUACCCAAUGAAGAGGUUCAGUGUCCAUAGAUGGGUUUUCUAUGCCGAAUUCAAUGCUAAGCUGAUUCAUGGGGUAUAAAGGGGUUUUAGUUUCAUACCACCACCAUAAUCAUCAUCAUUAUCAUCGUCCUCACCAUCAUUCUCAUCAUCGUCGUCAUCAUCAUCAUCAUCAUCAUCAUCAUCAGAUCUACCACCACCAUCAUCAACACUACCACUAUCAUUAUCAUCAUCAUCAUAAUCACCCUCAUCAUCAUCAGCUCCAUCACCACCCACCAUCAUCAACACCACCACCAUCAUCACUUCUACUAUCAUUAUCAUCAUCAUCAUCAUCACCCUCAUCUUCAUCACUACCACCACCACCACCACCAUCAUCAUCACCCUCAUCAUCAUCAUCAUCACCACCACCACCACCAUCAUCAUCAUCAUCAUCACCACCUCCGUCAUCACAACCACCAUCACCAUCAAUGUUUUAACAUCCACUUUACCAUGCUCACAGGAAUCAAAUGAAGAACUUAUUGAGCAGAUUUUCUUCAGCUGUAUGCUCUGCCUAUUACCAAUUCUUAUCUGUUUCCACUAAGUUAUAGGGACAUAAACAUACCAACACCAGUUGACAAGCAAUAGCAGUGUGACACACACACACUCAUAUAUAUAUCAUCAUCAUCAUCAUCGUUUAACGUCCGUUUUCCGCGCUAGCAUGGGUUAGACGGUUCGACCGGGGUCUGGGAAGCCAGGGGCUGCACCAGGCUCCAGUCUGAUCUGGCAGUGUUUCUACAGCUGGAUGCCCUUCCUAACGCCAACCACUCCGGGAGUGUAGUGGGUGCUUUUUACGUGCCACCUACAUAUAUAUAUAUGUAUGUAUGUAUGUAUGUAUGCAUGUAUGUAUAUAUAUGAGGGGGUGCUGAAAAGUUCCUAGCUUUGGGUAAAAGAAAUUGCAGAAGGAUCAAUUAAUUAUGAUUUUGUUGAACAUAGGCGCAGGAGUGGCUGUGUGGUAAGUACCUUGCUUACCAACCACAUGGUUCCGGGUUCAGUCCCACUGCAUAGCAUCUUGGGCAAGUGUCUUCUACUAUAGCCUCAAGCCGACCAAUGCCUUGUGAGUGGAUUUGGUAGACAGAAACUGAAAGAGGCCCGUCGUAUAUAUGUAUAUAUAUAUGUGUGUGUGUGUGUGUAUAUGUUUGCAUGUCUGUGUUUGUCCCCCUAGCAUUGCUUGACAACCGAUGCUGGUGUGUUUACAUCCCCGUCACUUAGCGGUUCGGCAAAAGAGACCGAUAGAAUAAGUACUGGGCUUACAAAGAAUAAGUCCCGGGGUUGAUUUGCUCAACUAAAGGCAGUGCUCCAGCAUGGCCGCAGUCAAAUGACUGAAACAAGUAAAAGAGUAAAGAGUAAGAGUAUAUUCCCCUCUCAGAUUCACACACUUAUUGCAAUGGUCCUUCAGUUUUACUAAUCCCUGUAAAAGAACUCACAAGGUUGAGACUCCAACCAGACCUUUCACGAUAUCCUUAAAGCCAGGAACUUUUCAGCAACCCCUCAUACAUAUAUGCACACAUACACACACAUGACAGGCUUCCUCACAGUUUCUGUCCUCCAAAUUCAUUCACAAGGAAUUGGUUGGCCUGGAGCUUUAGCAGAGGGCACUUGCCCAAGGUACUGAACAGUGGAACUGAACCCAAAACCAUGAGGUUUCAAAGGGAGCUUCCCAGAAAGGUUACCAUUAGAGCAUUUUUCAUUACGGGUUUAUUCAAUCAAGGUUAACCUAGGGCCAGACAACAAGAACUUCAUGAUCAAUUCUUGUCUACAAAUCUUUUCCUUUUCUGAAAUAGGAUUGUAUGUUUCACCCUUUGGACACAAAACCUAUUAAUGUGUCUACACUAAAGAACACAGAACCAUUUUUGUCUUUUAAGUGAUAUCUAUCUAUCUAUAUAUAUGUAUCUAUGUAUGUAUGUAUGUAUGUAUGUAUGUAUGUAUGUAUGUAUGUAUGUAUGUAUGUAUGUAUGUAUGUAUAUAUACACACAUACAUGCACAGAUAUGCAAGCACAUGAAUAUUCAGAAUACAUACAUACAGAUGUACACACAUACAUACAUAUGCAUACAUAGACAUGCAUACAUACAUACAUACAUACAUAAAUACAUACAUGCAUAGGCACACACACACACACACUGACCCACACACAUGCGCACAAACAAACAAAAAGGAACGCAGUGUAAAUAACGGACAGUCAAAACUAUUGAAAAGGUUGGAAGACACAACGAAAAUUUUAGGAAAAUAAAAAUAAGAAAGAAGUGGAAAUUUUACCAGUGAGUGUGACUCUCCCCAGACACAACAUAAAGAAUAAAAGUUGGCAAAUCAAAUUUGAAUGUUGAAUGACAUAGAAAAGUAUGUAUGUACACGAACACACAUACAAGUAAGCAUGUAAAUGCAAAACCUGACGGAAAAAAAAUAGUACUUGAAUACCAAAUACAGAGUAAUAUGCUUUUAUGGAAGCUGCAAAAUUCUCAAAAACUGUUACUCAAAGAUUCAUGUUACCAUUCGUCAGACAUUUGUGAUGAAUAUUGAAUUAAAAUUGAUUUUAAUUCAAUAUUCAUCACAAAUGUCCAACAAACAGGAACAUGUAACUCUAACAGUUCUGUGAUAAUUUUGCAGCUAUCACUAGCGAUUUUUUUCCCCUGUCUUCCCUUCUCGGGAUCUUUCCUUCUCUUAUGUUUCCGACGAAGAGCUCUGCUCAAAACGUCAAACCCUCCUUCUUCCCUUCUUUCCUGAGCGUCCAAUACUACUUUAUUUGUUCCACGUCCUUGCAUUGUUGUUUUUUUGUUUUUGUUUUCUUGUUUGGAUUAACUAUAUAUAUAUAUAUAUAGUUUUGACUUAUAUAGCAUGAGACAUUUAUGUAUAGUAAUGCCCUUAAUAUAAGUAAAUAUAUUUAAGAGGAAUAAUUGAUAGAUUUUUUUCCUUUAUGGGGUUUUUCAUGCUAACUAUUUGACAAAUUCUUAUAAAGAUUUUUUCCUAUUUUUCAAUUGUAUAUAUAUGUAUAUAUAUAUACAAAGUAUGGGGGUUUAGUUCACAGGUGAUCUAAAUGAUUAGGUACGCUAGGUAAGUGCUGUAACGGAUUACUAGGGCUCCAAGGUUAUAGCUGAGAUGAUAAUUAUGGAGCCAUUGUAGAUUUCCGAUGCAAUGGAUAUAUAACUGUUAAAGAGGACAACAAACAUUAAGGCAAGGCAAACAUGUCAACUUAUAUACAUUAUAAUUACUCUUUUACUUGUUUCAGUCAUUUGACUGCGGCCAUGCUGGAGCACCGCCUUUAGUCGAGCAAAUCGACCCCGGGACUUAUUCUUUGUAAGCCCAGUACUUAUUCUAUCGGUUUCUUUUGCCGAACCGCUAAGUGACGGGGACGUAAACACACUCCUGAUAAUGUAUAUGACUUGAGAUGUUUGCCUUGCCUAAACAUUUGUUGUCCUCUUUAUAUAUAUAUAUAUAUAUAUAUAUAUAUACCACCAAUACCACCACCAAUACCACCAAUACCACCACCAAUACCACCAAUACCACCACCAAUACCACCAAUACCACCCCCACCACCAAUACCACCAAUACCACCCCCACCACCAAUACAGGUGAACACUGUUCUCACCAUCUACACCGGAUACUCCCUCCUCCUCCCCCACCACCCCUUCUCCUCAUAUGCUUUCACUGAGAAAAGACAAGCUGCUAGCGUCUCAGCUCAUCAACCGCCCUCUGAUCUUACGCUUCCUCCUGUUUUGAAUCUGACACUGCCUCAAUCCUACUAUCUCCUUCCAGUCCCCUCCAUGCCUCGUAAUAUCCUACGUUUUUAUUUCUUACAAACCUGCACCAACCCUUCCUGCCAUCGUUCCUCCUUACCCCCCAACCUCCCCCACACCUACCCAUAUAUAUAUAUACACAUCCUACGUUUAUAUUUCUUACGAACCUUCACCAACCCUUCCUGCCAUCGUUCCUCCUUACCCCAACCUUCCCCACUGGUGCUCCCCUAUAUUACCUGCACCCCUUUACUAUCUCUCCCUCUCUUUUCACUGGUGAAACCUUUCUCAGCUGGACCCCCCCCCCAACUCAACUCUACCCCGCAUCCCGUUGCCCCCGUGUCCCUGGCACGUUAAAAGCUCGAACCGAUCGUGACCGAUGCCGGACCCCCCGGCCCCUGUGCAGGUGGCACGUAAAAAGCACCCAAUCCACUCACCGAGUGGUUGGCGUUAGGAAGGGCAUCCAGCCGUAGAAACUCUGCCAGAAUCAGACUGGAGCCUGGAGCGGCCCCUGGCUUCCCAGACCCCGGUCGAACCGUCCAACCCGUGCUAGCGCGGAAAACGGACGUUUAAACGAUGAUGAUGAUGAUGAUGAUGAUAUAUAUAUAUUGUAAUAUUGUGGGAUGGUCAUUUUUUUUUUUUGUGCCAAAUAAACAUACAUGCUAUAUAUUCUUUACACAUUUAUUAUGGCUCUUAUUUAAUCUUAGAUUUGUUGUCCGGACAAUGAACAUAAGAUAAAAUAAGAAACGAUAAUAGACAAGUGAAGAACGAAUAUAUAGUGUGUGUGUUUAUUUGGUAUAUAUACAUACAUACAUAUAUAUAUACACAUACACAAACAUACACACACACACACACACACACACACACACACAUAUAUAUAUAUAUUUAUAUAUAUAUAUAUAUAUAUAUAUAUGGCCGAUGCCAGCGGCACCUCGACUGGCUUCCGUGUCGGUGGCACGUAAAAAGCACCCACUACACUCACAGAGUGGUUGGCGUUAGGAAGGGCAUCCAGCUGUAGAAACAUUGCCAAAUAAGACCGGAGCCUGGUGCAGCCUUCUGGCUUCCCAGAUCCCCGGUCGAACCAUCCAACCCAUGCUAGCAUGGAGAACGGACGUUAAACGAUGAUGAUGAUGAUGAUGAUGAUGAUAUAUAUAUAUAUAUAUAUAUAUAUAUAUAUAGGCACAGGUGUGGCUAUGUGGUAAGAAGUUUGCUUCCCAACCACAUGGUUCUGAGUUCAGUCCCACACUUGAUCAUGUAUUUUCUACUAUAGCCUUUGGCUGGUCAAAACCUCGUAAGUGGAUUUGUUAGACAGAAAACGAAAGAAGUGCAUUGUAUGUAUAUAUAUAUAUUUAUGUGUGUGUCUAUUUGUGUGUGUUUGUCCCUCACCACGACUUGACAACUGGUGUUGAUGUGUUUAUGCCACCAUAACUUAGUAGUUUGGCAAAAGAGAUUGAUAGAAUGUUAUGUCUUCGGGGAGGUUGAAUAUCUCAAUGCCAAUAGUGUUAUGACAAUGUUGGGGUGUGCACAGGGGUGUAGAAUAGUAUUACCCAAAUGAAUAUUUGGAUAUGGUUAUCUAGAAUAACCUUUCGCAGAAUUAACAUAUUCACACAGAACGUGUUCUGUACUGAACCAAAUGUAGGUACGAUAUUAAACUAACAUAUUAAUCCAAUAUGAAUGAUCAACACUGUCAAAUGCUUGCUGUUCACAUAGUUUCUUUAUAUGUCAAUCCACAUUUGGUCACGUGGGGGUAGUCAAAAUCCUUCGACAGCAUAGAAUAACUACCAGACUUUAAAAAAAAAAAAGUUCUGGGGAUUCAUUCAUUUGACUAAAAUUCUUCAAGCUGGUGCCCCAGCAUGGCCACAGUCUAAUGACUGCAACGAAUGAAAGACAAAAGAUAUUCUUGAAAUCGCCAGCAUUUUUUUGUCUUUCAGGAUAAAACUAGCAGGCUGAUACACCAACCUUUAAGAGUUAAGCACUAAAUCUUGGGUGUUGGUACAGAUCUGGACAGUAAAAGCAGAAACUGUUCUCUUGUUAAUAAGAAAUGAAUUAGGUACAAUCCAUCAGAUGUUCGGUGGGAAUUUAAAUGUCAAAUUUGACAUGGAAAUAUCAUGAAAGUGGUAAGAUCUAUAAAUGUAAAAGGCACAUUAAAAGGGUAAAGGAAUGUAAAUUUAUCACAUGUAAUCUCCUCUACUCCAAGAUACCUGUUUCUGUCCCACCCCACUGUCAUACUUUAUUCUGCAUCAUCUUGCAUUAAUCUACCUCCCUUAAUACUACAGUCGCUUCAUUUGAGGGUGUCUUGUUUUUCAUGUUACUCGGUGACCUCACUAAUUCUGGUCAAUCUGGUGCAAUAAUAGAAAACUCUUGCUCAAGACGCCGUGCAGUGGGACUGAACCUAAGACCACAUGGUUUGAAAGCAAGCUUCUUAAAUGCACAACCAUACCUGCACUUUAUGCAAUUUAUAAACAUCGGUUUCAAAUUUUGGCAGAAGGCCAACAAUUUUGAGAGAAGCGUCAGUCAAUUACAUCAGCUCCAGUGUUCAACUGGUACUUAGUUUAUUGACCCAACAAGGAUGAAAGGCAAAGUCAGCCUAAGCAGAAUUCGAACCCAGAACAUAAAGAAGGACAAAAUGCUGCUAAUGAUUCUACAUGGUAAUGAUUCUGACAGCUUGCUGAGAAAUGUUUCACUUCUAAAUUUGAGGUUAAUAGUCAGGGAAAUUAUAGUCAUAUUAACAUUAACUAAUUUCAGAAAUUUAGAUAUUUACUUAACAUAUAUGUUGUGUUCUUAAGCAAGACACUUUAUUUCACGUUGCUCCAGUUCACUCAGCUGUAGAAAUGUGUUGUGAUGUCACUGGUGUCAAGCUGUAUCGACCUUCGUCUUUCCCUUGGAUAACAUCAGUGGCAUGGAGAGGGAAGGCUGGUAUGCAUGGGCGACUGCCAAUCUUCUAUAAACAAUCUUGCCUGGAUUUGUGCCUCAGACGGUAACUCUCUAAGUGGUGGCGGCGGUGGUGGUGAUGAUAAUGAUGAUGAUGAUGAUGGCGGAGGCUGCAGUGGUGGUGGUGGUGGUGGUGUGGAAGAUGAUGAUGAUAAGGAGGAGGCGGAGGACAAUGAUGAUGACUAUGAAGGUGUGGAUAAUAAUGAUGAUGAUGAUGAUAAGGAGGAAGAGGAUGGCAACGAUGGUGUUGAUGAUGAUGAUGAUGAUGAUGAUGAUGAUGAUGAUGAAUAGCCAGUGCUUACUCUUCUUUAUCUUACGAUGUCAAUGAACAACUGUUGGUGAUUUCCUUGACAAACAACCCCUGGUGGCUCCUACUUGUUGCUGUGAUUAUUUUACGUCUGUUCAUAGCAGAUGUUAUAAAGGUUGGUUGCUGGUCGUUGGUCAUCUAUUGAUUGUCUCACACAUGACGUCUCCGUUCCAACACUUUUCUGGGAUAGUACAAGUCAUGAUGCUUCAUUCAAGACUGCCAAAAUGGCUGGCAGCAAAUAUGACCGAACCAUGUUUGUUAGUUGUUUUAACUUUCUAAAUGUAAAUGCGCAGGUUUUGUAAGGGAAACAUGUAGGGAAACGGGAUUUUAAUGAUAUUCGGAGACAGCUUGGAAGGACACCACUACACACAUGCACGCAUGCACGCACACCCUCAUACAUACAUACACACACAUACACACACACACACACUUUUAUGUAUCCAUGUACAUAUUGUGUUUGUAUCUCUUUAAUUUGAUGUUGAUGUAAAAAGAAAGAUGUUUUUCUCAAAUGAAACUAUUGUUCAUGCUUCAUAAACAAGAAUCAUCAUCAUCAUCAUUUAGCGUCCGCUUUCCAUGCUAGCAUGGGUUGGACGGUUUAACUGGGGUCUGUGAAGCCGGAAGGCUUCAUCAGGCCCAAUCAGAUUUGGCAGUGUUUCUACGGCUGGAUGCCCUUCCUAACGCCAACCACUCCGUGAGUGUAGUGGGUGCUUUUUACGUGCCACCUGCACAGGUGCCAGACAGAGCUGGCAAACGGCAUGGACGGAUGGUGUUUUUACGUGCCACCGCCACGGGGUCCAGGCGAGGCUGGCAACGGACACAAACGGAUGGUGCUUUUACGUGCUACCGGCACAUAUAUAUAAUAUAAUAUAGAAAUUGGGAAUAAAUUAUUCCCAGAAGAAUCAAAGAUUUAAUUAGGAAAAUAUGAAAUUUAAUUCUUAUUCUAAUUCUAAUUCUCUACCACUUUGGACAUGUGAUCAGAAUGUCAAAGGAAAGAAUCACAUGACAUAUACUUCAAGCCAACUGGCAGGAGAAUUAGGGGUAGAUGAUCAAUGAAAUGGGUGGAUAAUAUCUGUAGUUUCAGUUGGUCAUGGUUGGCAAUCCAGCCAGAAAGAGUAAUGAUGGUCGCUUCUGACUGGACCCAAUAAAGGAAGUUACCUGAGGAAUCUACCCAGGGUGGAGUGGCUGGAUGGAUGGGCGGAUUUCCCUGUCUCAGAAGUUGGUAGGCCUAAUAGUCCAUUGAUGAAUAUCAUUUAUGGAAAGUUAUGGCUUGCAGACAGUAACAUCACUGCUUGUGUUUGGUCUACAACAGGUGUUGGUUUGUUGACAUUUCUUGUCAACAAAUCAUCCACCAGCUCUGUACUUUCAAAUUUCUCUGGAAUUAAAAAGACCCCUUUACUUGGAAAAUAGGUGAUGGUUAGUGACAAGAAGAGCAUCCAAUCAUAGAAAUAUUGCCUCAUUUUUCUGCCAUCUAUGCUAUUUGAGCAUGGAAUAUGAGACAUAAAGAGAAAACAAAUGAUAUAUAAUAGACGUGUGUGUGUACAUGUGUGCAUGCACACGUGCAUGUGUGUGUGUACAUGUGUGCAUGCACACGUAUGUGUGUGCGUGUAUGCAUCUUUGUCAUCAUCAUUUUAACAUUUGCUUUUCCAUCCUCACAUAAAUCAAAUCAAACAAAAUCUUUUACAGCAGGGCGCUCUUCUAGUCAUCAACACUCAACUGUUUUGCAAGCAAGGAAAUAUUUGCUUAACUGGAGAGGGACAUGUUUUCAUGGAAGACAGGAAAUGAAUGACAUAUUCGUACGACAUUGAUGCAUGUUUAAAACUGUCAAGACAAGGAGACACACACACACACACACAAAUAUACAUUGCUGAUAGCAAGGUAUCCUUUAUAGUGCUGGUGCCAUGAAAAAUGCACUGAGGGCACCCUGUAAAGUGGUUGGUAUUAGGAAAGGCAUCCAACCAUAGAAACAGUGCCAAAACUAAAGACAUUGGUGUAGGAGUUGGUUCUUUGACCUGUUGCAUCCGAUCGAACCAUCCAACCCAUGCCAGCAUGGAAAAAAUGGACUUAAAAUGCAGAUGAUGAUGAGGAGGAGAAGAAGGGUAGUGGUGGUGGUGUUGGUGAUGACGAUGAUGAUAAUGACAACAAUGAUGAUGAUGACUAAAAUGAUGAAGACGAUGACUAAGAUGAUGAUGAUGAUGAUGAUGACGAUGACGAUGAUAACGACGACAAUAAUGAUAAUGAUGAUGACAGCGAUGACGACAACAGUAGUGGUUGUGGUAAUUAUGUUAACGAUGACAAUGAAGGUGGUGGUGAUGGUGAUGGUGAUGGUGAUGAUGUUGGCAACAAAAAUAUAUUCAAUUCCAACUUUUAUCUUACUGAAUGAGCGAAUAAUGUUUGAAUGAAGAAUAGACCAAAAUUCAUGUAUUGAGUUCUUUCUUUUUGUUGUUUUUUUUUAUCCUCUUUAUUUUUUGUUUUCAUAUUCUCAUAUCUCUAUUUUUUUUCUUGUUUCUUUCUUCCACAGAUAAAAAACAAUGCCAACUUUUAUUUAUGAGACGAUAGCUGUUUUUCCAUCGUGGCGUGGCGUGCUCCAGUGUGACAUAUCUGCAGACCAAAUGUGUCUACCUUUCUGUUAGCAAAGAACAACCGGAUAAAUUUAUAACUUUUUUUUUUGAAUGUCAUACACAAAAGAAACCUAAAAACUAAGAAGUCAUUAGAAUGGAAUUUGGAACUCUAAUUCCAUCGUAUCCAUGAUGUCUAUUAUAAAUUCCAUGCCGUGUCCAAGAGAAGGACUUUAUAUAUUAUAUGCCAGUAUAUUUCUUAUGAUCUGAUGUUGUUUCUUUCUCUGGUAAGUAAAUUUUUGAAAUUUAAAAAUUAAUAUUUUUUUUGUCUUUUGUUCAAGCUUUUUUUAUGUUAUCUGUUUUUUAUAGCUGCAGACAUGGCUGUGUGGUGAGAAGAUCGCUUCCCAACCACAUGGUUCCUGGUUUAAGUUUUGUAGCUGAAAGCAUAUGGCUUAGGGGUUAGAGCAUCAGGCUCACAAUCAUGAGGUAGUGAGUUCGAUUCCCAGACUGGGCUGUGUGUUGUUCUUUAGCAAGGCACUUUAUUUCAAACAGGCAAGAAAGUAAUAUUUUGAGAGCAACAUAGCUGUGAAAACAGCAGAAAGAUUGGAUUUUUACCGUAAUAUCACAGAAAAUGUUGUCAGCAGACAGCCACAAGACUUGAACCCACACCUCCAGAUACUGGCUGAGUAGUCUACCAGUUAAGCUAAACUACUCACUAGCAACUAUGUCCAGCAAAUUAAACGCUAAAUACAUAGCUUUUUUUUUUCCCCUGUCAUGUCCGAGGGGGAUCACUGCUAGAGCAGCUGUCUGGCUUCCAUACUGGUGGCAUGUAAAAAGCACCAUUUGAGUGUGAUCAUUACCAGCAUCGCCUUACUGACACAUGAACAAAGCAUUCAAGCGAGGUCGUUGCCAGUGCCGCUGGACUGACUCCUGUGCAGGUGGCAUGUAAAAAACACCAUUUGAGCGUGGCCGUUGCCAGUACCGCCAGACUAGCCCUCAUGCUGGUGGCAUGUAAAAGCACCCACUACACUCCCGGAGUGGUUGGCAUUAAGAAGGGCAUCCAGCUGUAGAAACUCUGCCAGAUCAGAUUGGAGCCUGGUGCAGCCAUCUGGUUCGCCAGUCCUCAGUCAAAUCGUCCAACCCAUGCUAGCAUGGAAAGCGGACGUCAAAUGAUGAUGAUGAUGAUGAUGUAAGGAUAAAAUGCCUAAUCUUGCUGCUGUUUUCACAGCUAUACUACAUUCAAAAUAUUACUUUCUUUUCUGUAUGAUAUGAUACACAUUCAACACCAAAAACAAAAAUGUUACUUUACAUAUGUUGUUGCACUUUAUUUCACGUUGCUCCAGUUCACUCAGCUGUAGAAAUGAGUUGUAACAUCACUUGUGUCAAGCUGUAUCGGACUUUGCCCUUCCCUUGGGUAACAUUGUUGGCAUGGAGAGGGGAGGUCGGUAUGCAUGGGCAACUGCUGGUCUUCCACAAACAACAUUGCCUGGACUUGUGCCACAGAAGGUACCCUUCUAGGUGCAAUCCUAUGGUCAUUCAUGACCAAAGGGGGUUUUUACCCUAAAUAUUACAAGCCUUAGGCAGGUCAACAUUCUUUUCUAUUCCAGGCCCGAAAGUUUGGGGGAGGUGGGGGCCAGUCGAUUAGAUCAACCCCAGUACACAACUUGUUCUUAAUUUAUUAAUCCUGAAAGGAUGAAAGCCAAAGUCGACCUCAGCAGAAUUUGAACUCACAACAUAAGGACAGACAAAAUAUCGCCAAGCAUUUCACAAGUGUGCUAAUGUUUCUGCCAGUUCGCCACAUUCUAAGGCAGGUCAAUAUGCUUUUCUACUCUAGGCACAAGGCCCGCAAUUUUUGGGGAGGGUGCCAGUUGAUUAGAUCGACCCCAGUAUGCAACUGGUACUUAAUUUAUCGACCCCAAAAGGAUGAAAGGCAAAGUCGACCUCGGCGGAAUUUGAACUCAGGAACUAGUGGCAGAUGAAAUUCCACUAAGCAUUUCAUCUGGCGUGCUAACGUUUCUGCCAGCUCUCCGCCACCUUAGGCAGGUCAGUAUUGAAAUGAAACUGUGUAACUGUGUGGAAGGCAUCACCUGGAAGGGUUUAGUCAAACAAAUCAAGUGCAGUACUUACAUUCUUGCUAAGCUUGGUACUUAUUCUAUCAGACUCUUUUGUUGAACCGUUAGGUUACAGGGAUGUAAACAAACCAACACUGGUUGUCAGACAGUGGUUGAGAACAAAGACAAAGAUAAAGUCACAUACACAUAGAUGUAUCCAUAUACAUUCUUUUACUUUCCAUCCAUUCAUAAGUAUUUGGUCAACUUGGGAUUAUAAUAGAAGACACUUGCACAAGGUGCCACACAGUGGAACUGAUCCUGGAACUAUGUAGUUGGGAAGCAAACUUCUUACCACACAGCUGCACAGUGAGCAAUUUUUUUAAAGCAGUAGGGUGGGAGUUGAAGAAGAUUUAGCUGCUAUUUCUAGCUGGUUGAAUGACUAUAUAGUGACUGUCCUCAUUGGUUCAAACUCCUUCAUCGUUGUUGAUGUUGUUGUUGUCAUUGCUGUUGUAUAGUCCUGUACCACAUAAGCUUACAACUGCUUCAGCAGACCUGUGGCACAGAGGGUAAUCCAAUCUAACAAAAGAAUUAAAAUUCUUAACCCAUGGAAGAUUCAUCAUUAUUUUGGGCAACAUGUCCGAACAUUUGCAACUUCAAUUAUAGAGUUCUCAGUCAACUCUUUUGAUACCAGUUCGUCAAGUCUUGCAUGCAAUGCACACAAAAAAAUAACCCUGAAAAAACACUCUCAUUUAUAUAAAAAAAAAAAUCAUCAUAUUUAAAUUAAAAUCAUCCGUUGCGAUUUAAAAUUUUUUUUUCAUCUUAGAAUCUUUUGUGAAUGUUAAAAUUUAAAGCAUUGGCUUAAUAAUGGCAAAGUUAGUUAUUCAACUAAACCAUCCUUUUGAAUUUCUGAUUAUUUUUUUUUAAUUAUUCAAAUAACAACAACAACCACAAUAAUAAUAAUAAUAAUAAUAAUAGUAAUAAUAACCCAUAGGCAGAGUGUUUCAUUAGAAUUAUGGUAACAAAAGGGUUAAAGACAUUAGGUUGUUUGUUUGAAGACAAUUUGACUGUUACAAUGAACUGCUAGAGCUGUACUAGUGAACCUGCCCCUUCUGGCUAAUUUUUACAUUCUUGUACAUAUUUAGUUAUUUUAUUAAAUAUUUUUACUAAACAUUUUUAUUAAAUAUUUUCCUUGGGCUUUUGGACUUCAAUUAGCUGAUAUUUUUUUUUAUUUACAAUCAUCAAUGUUUUUUUUUUCCCUGUCACUAUCUCUGUUUAUCUCCGUUUCUUCUCUUUCUCUUUCUCUGUCUUUUUAACUGUCUUUAUGCAUGCAUGUAUGUGUGUGUGUCUGUGUGCGCUUGUGUUUGUGCAUGCAUGAGUAUGUGUGUGUGUUUGGUGUGUAUGCAUGUGUGUGUGUGCAUACAUAUUCAGCAAAUAUUUGCACGUGUGGUAAAUGUUCUAUAGAGUGAAGUGUGUACGUGUGUGUGUGUAUGUGUGUCUGUUUGUUAUUUCUUUAUUACCCACAAGGGGCUAAAUAUAGAGGGGAUAAACAAGGACAGACAAAGGGAUUAAGUCGAUUACUUUGACCCCUGUGCGAAACUGGUACUUAAUUUAUUGACCCCGAAAGGACGAAAGGCAAAGUGGAACUCGGUGGAAUUUGAACUCAGAACGUAAAGGCAGACAAAAUACUAAGCAUUUUGCCCAGCGCGCUAGCAUUUCUGCCUGCUCACCGCCUUAGAAACGUGUGUUUGUGUACAUGUGUUGCAAAUGUUUUGCACAUGUGGCAAAUGUGUCAUGCAGUUGUAUGUGUGCGUAUGCAUGUUGUUUUUUUAGCUCUACUUCAGCCCUAGUCUGAAGUAGAGUUCAAAUCAUAUCAAGGGUGAGUUGACUUUUUAUCUUUCCAGGGUCAGGGAAAAUUAAUACAACAAACAAGUAGUGCUUUUAAAUCUCUUUAACAAUUCACAAUAAUGACUGUUAUUACUUUUAUUCCUACCUCAGUUCAUAUAAUUGUAUAUAUCUAUUGUUAAUUUUCAUAAAAAGCCUUUACUUUUUUUGAUUUCUAGUGUGCAUUUUCGCUUAUUUUACUUCUUACUUUCUCCUUAUAUAUUUAUAUAUAUAUAUAUAUAUAUAUAUAUAUAUGUAUGUGCCAUGAUAGAUCGUAAGCUCCUACACGCAUUUUUUUCUCUCCUUGUUUUUUUCUGUAUAUCUUUAUGUAGAAGAGCGUAGGCUCGAAACGUAAAAGACUUGUUCUAUUUCUAUUCCUGAGCGCCAUACUAAUACAUUUGUUUGUUUGUACUCCACCUGCCUUCGUCUUUUGUUUAUUUUCGUAAACCUCCCCGUUAUAUAUGUGUGUAUAUAUAUAUAUAUAUAUAUAUAUAUAUAUAUAUAUGCAUACACACAUACAUACAUAUAUAUAUACACAUACAUUCAUACAUACAUACAUACAAAUAUAUGUACACAGGAAUGUAUUAAGUUGGGAUAAGAGUUAUGGUUAAGUAUGCGUGUGUGUGUGUAUGUGUGUAUAUAUAUAAUAUAUAUGAACGUAUAAGUAUAUACAUACAUGUAUAUGUGCAUAUAAAUACACAGACACACACACACAUAUAUAUAUAUGAUGGACUCUCCCGUCAAAGAUGAUGUAUGAGUGUUCAACAUUUGCCGAACGACCUGCCCAGAUGAUUUGCUUAUAGUGAUCAAAUGCAUGUGCCACACAUUAGCUCCCUCUCUCCAUCGAAUCGACAUUGUCUGAACAGGUGCACUGUGCACCAUGUGUCACGUGUCAAAGUGGUUGUAGAGCAAUGUGCAAUGAAGUGUCUUGUUCAAGAACGCGACACACCACCUAGUCUAGGAUUUGAAAUCACAAUCUAGCAAUUGUAAGGGCAAUGCCCUAACCACUAAGCCAUGUGCCCUCACACACACACGCGUGCACACACACACGUGUGUGUGGGGGGGGGGGGGUGUUAAUCCUUGAAAUAUUAUUUAUGCAAUGCAGUCCUUAUAUUUGUUUACUUAAUUGUAAAAAUAUUCUGUGAAUAUUUGUUGUGCAACAGCUAAGACUAUGUAUAUCUAUUUAUCUAUCUCUCUCUAUAUAUAUAUGUCUAUAUCUAUAUUUAUCUAUAUAUAUAUAUAUAUAUAUAUAUAUAUAUAUAUAUAUCUAUAUAUAUAUAUAUGUAUAUAUAUAUAUAUAUGUCUAUAUAUAUAUAUAUAUAUGUUGUACAUGUUGUGUAUAUAUAUAUAUAUAUAUAUAUAUAUAUAUAUAUACACACACACACAUAUACAUUUGUGUGUGUGUGUGAAUGUAUGAAUAUAAAUUCCAUAUACAUGUAUAUUGUGUGUUUGUAGAUGGUAUAUGCAGAGCAAAUUGAAAAUCUAAAUGUCUCCAUAACCUUCUAGGUAAUCCUCAGGGUCAAUGCUUAGCUGUUGUUUUCUAGUUAUCAGUGGAUAACAAAUAAAUCUGAUAAUCCUAUCACAGAUAAUAUGCCUAUAAGACCCCUUUGCCUUUAAGAGCUUAAUGAAUCUGAGGUGUGUAAAAAUUAUAAAAUGUAUUCUUGCUUAAAUAAACUGCAAAAGACCUGCUAUAGGCUGGAACUCAAUACCUCAUGACUUCAGAGUCCAGCAGUCUGCUUACUUUACCAUUUUAUUGCAAUAAUGAAGUGAAGGUAAUGCAUAGCUGUGUGGUAAAGCGUUUGCUUCACAAUCUCAUGGCUCCAUGUUCAAUUCCUACUCCACAACUUUUUUGGACAUAUAUUUUUUUUAUUAUAAACUUGGUUGACCAAUAUUUUGUGUGUGAAAAUUGGUAGUAAGCAAGUGUACAGAUGCUCAUGAUGUAUGUACCUUUAUGUGUGUGUGUGUGUGUGCAUACUUGUAUGUAUGUGCUCAAGUGUCUGUACAGAGUUGUGUGUGUAUGUGUGUGUGUGGAAGAAUGUUGAUGUCUUCACAUGAGCAAAAGGAGAUGAAUGAUGUUUACAUUCCUUGUUGGCAUUAUGGCCAAUUGCUGUGUACUUUCAAAGGACUGUGGAAUAUAAAAAGAAUUCCCUUACUUGAAAAACAAGUAUAGGUUAGCAACAGGAAGAGCAUCCAGCCAUAGAUUCCUGCUUCAGAUAUGUACCACCACCACCAACAACAACAACAAACUAUGCUAACAUGAAAACAAUGGACAAUAAUCAAAGAAUGAAGAGUGGCUGUGUGGUAACUAGCUUGCUUACCAACCACAUGGCUCCAGGUUCAGUGCCACGCAGUGAGACCUUGGGCAAGUGUCUUCUACUAUAGCCUCAGGCCGACCAAAGCCUUGUGAGUGGAUUUGGUAGACAGAAAUUGAAAAAAGUCUGUCGUAUAUAUGUAUAUAUAUAUAUGUAUAUAUAUAUAUGUAUAUAUAUGUAUGUGUGUGUAUAUGUUUGUGUGUCUGUGUUUGUCCCCCCAACAUCACUUGACAACCGAUGCUAGUGUGUUUACAUCCCUGUAACUUAGCAGUUUGGCGAAAGAGACCGAUAGAAUAAGUACUGAGCUUACAAAGAAUAAGUCCUGGGGAUCGAUUUGCUCGACUAAAGGUGGUGCUCCAGCAUGGCCACAGUCAAAUGACUGAAACAAGUAAAAGAGUAUGUGUGUAUGUAUGUAUGCAUGUGUAUGUGUGUGCAUAUGUAUCUCUCUCACUGACGUGUAUCAGCAAAGCAUGAAUAUAUUGGUAAAAAAAAUAAGUUGCUUCUGAAUGAAAUCCUUUUCAGGAACAAAAUUGUUUUUCACUAUCAGAGAAGCUGUAAAUUUGUGAUUCAGCCAAAGGAAACCUGUAAGCAACAAUACAAUUUGUUCACCAAUUUCAACGUAAAAUUAAUUCAAAUUUAACUUAUUUCCAAUCAUUUGGUUUGGUUUAAAUGCGAGUGGAAGUGUGGCAUCUUAUGUAAUUUAGACGAAGAGGUACCGGUUGCUAUGGGAUACUUACUGUUGGAUUAGAGUAACAAUGAAAUAGUUUUAAGAACAUUGAACCAGUUUGUUGUUUAGCCAAAAACUGCAGAAUUUCCAGUGAGAGAUAUUUUUCUAAAUAGUUGAAUAUCUUUUUUAAAUUUUGGUCAUGGGAACCUGUGAUCCAAGCGAUGUAACCUUUAAUCUGUGUACUUGUGUACAUGCACACAUGUUUUACAGCUUAUGUCUUUGCCAUUCCUUUUACUCCAUGUAGAGCAUAGAGUGCUUACAAGAAAUUUCAAUCUGUCUCAACCUUUGGCAAUGGGUUUCAACUGUCCCCAAGUGUAACCAUUUGCCAGUGCUUCAGUUUCUGUGAACCUCCUCCGUGUUGUUUUUGGUCUGUCAUGUUUUCAGUACCCUUGAGGUGUCCAUUGGAAGGCUAUUUUUGUAAUGUUAGAAACAGGUUUCUGUAGAAGAUGUCCCAGCUAAUCCUAUUUCCUUCUUUUGAUCUGGGUUGCCAAAGGUUUCUUUGGAAGCACAUGGCCUAUUGGUUAGAGCAGCGGACUCACGGUCGAGGGAUUGUGGGUUCGGAUCUCAGACUGGGCAAUAUGUGUGUUUAUGAGUAAAACACCUAUGCUCCACACAGCUCCAGCAGAAGAUAAUGGCGAACUUCUGCUUUCUCUCACUCUUUCCUCCUGCAUCUUGCAGCUCACCUGCGACGGACCGGCGUCCCAUCCAGAUGGGGAACCUAUACGCCAAGGAAACCGGGAAACCGGCCCUUAUGAGCCAGGCGUGGCUCGAGAAGGAACAAACAAAGGUUUCUGGUUUUCCUCUUCCCACGAGGCUUUGUUUGGAAGUCUAUCUUGCCGUCUCACCUGAAAGAUGUUAACAAAUUAGCACACUAAGGGAAAACUUUACUCAUGUAAGUUUUUUUAAGAUGAAAUCCAACUUUUUUGACUGAAGAUGGAUAUCGACUGUGUAAAGUAAGACACAAUUUGUACACAAGAUAAUUUCAGUGCACACAGUCACAGUAAAAAUAUUAUUGGAAUAUUGGACACAAAGUGCUGUUCUAUCUUGGAUGGGAACUGUAUUUCUUAGCAAGAUUAACGUAGAGUUUGUAAUUGUUUAAAUCCAAAACAUGUUCUAGUUCUGAUAAGAAACCCAAGAUUCUCUGAAUAGAAAUCUUAAUUCAAGACUGAAAUAAGCUGAAUGUCAGAUAUGCAGUAAUCUGGAAGAAACUUGAAUUAAAGACUCUAUCAAUUUAUCAGAAGAAAAAAUAGCUUUUAUUUAAAAAUUUUUGCUUUGAAAACAUUAUAUCAUUAUCAUCAUCAACAUCAUUUUCUUCAUCAUCCUUUCUCUAAUACUGAUUUUUAACGCUGGUACAAGGCCAAAAUUUUGGGAGAGGAUAUAAUUGAUAGAUCGAGCCCAUCCUUCCCUCAGUGCUUGACUCAUUUCUGGUACUUCAUUUGAUCAACCCCAGAAGAAUGAAAAUCAACAUUAGCAUUUGUAGGACUUGAAAUCAAGACAUAGAGAAUUAUAACAAGAAACUUGUCCUACUUUGGCCCUUUCUUUCAUGCUUUUACCCCUCGUCACCUAAACUCAGAUUUGAAACCUUGCACGCUACAUGGUGACCUCACUAAUGCUGGUGCCAUGCAAAAAGCACCCUGUACAUGUUGUAAGGUGGUUAGCAUUUAGAAGGGCAUCCAGUGAUUGAAACAUUGCUAAAGCAGACACUGAAGCACAAUGCAAACCCUUGUACCUCUCAGAGCCUAUCAAGCUGUCCGACCCAUGCCAGCAUGGAAUUACAGAUGUUAAGAGGAAGAAGAGGAGGAGUUCUCCUGUUCUACCAAUCCAACUAAUCCAGUCCUUGAAAUAUUCCACAAACCAUUUUUUUUGCUUCUUGAUUACUUCUCAUCUUAUAUCUUGAUAUUUAAUCUUAUAUCUUGAUUCUAAAACCUUCCCCAUCUUUCAUCUAGAUUUUUUUCUGUGAUAUCCUCUGCAAUCUUACUGCUUUAAUAUACACAAUGCUGUGUUCUGGCUUACGGAAUAAUUCAUACAUCAGUCACAGAACUCAAUCGGUAAUUGAUCAGUAGUAAUAUAGCCGGUUGUCUCUUAUAUAUAUAUAUCAGUUUCUGUUUUCCCCCCAUCUUGCUGAAAGGUUCUAACUCCUAGCCUUUAUAAACAUCCUUCCAUUAUUGGAUAGAUUCUUUUUUCCUUCAUCACUCCUACUUUAUUUCCUACAAUCCUUUUAUGUUGUUUCUGUAUGAUUACAUAACAUGAAUGAUUUGUUAUGUUUAUGAACAUAACACCCUGUAAUAUACUUCAUAUUUCUCCCUUUUUUCUUGCUUAUUUCUCCUCCCGCUUCAAACAAAGUCAAUCUAACUCUCGAUAUCAACUCAUCGACUGAUAAAAUACUUAACUACCAAUGUAUAACGUGUGCUGCAUUCUUCAAGGCUUUCUUUAUUUUUUCCUCUGGGCAUAAUGUGCUAUAAUUGCCAGCAUAUAAAAUAAGCUUUUUCUGUUUUUAAACCCAUAAAAAAAUAGCUCUGUAUCUAAAAUAGCUGUAUUAUAGAUAGGCCAAGUGUUGUAAGCUUGAGACCCCAGAGGAGCAUAAGUACACUUGGCACAAUAAUUGUUACUACUACUAAUAGUAAUAUAUUGAAUACAAGCCAAACUGUCUCAGUCUGUUGGCACAAACAAAAUUGAAGAGCAGUAUAGAUUGCUUGAAGCAUCAUGAUAGAGAAGUAGAAUAAAAAAUGAAAAAGGAAAAGAAAAGAGCUUUUAACAAUGUUGAGAGGAAAGUUGAAAAACCUUUUUAUAUUUGAGGCACAAAGGCCCAUCUUCAGAAGGAUAUAGUUAACUAAUGUGAGUCUAUGUAAACCCUGCCAUUUGGAUAGCUGAAUGGACAGUUGUUAGUUCGGUGAGUAUGACUGCAGCAGCUGUUUCCCAAAAGAUGAUAUUGUUGGUGCCUGAAAUAUAUAAAGGUUUUCCAACAUUCUUCUCUGAUUUGUUAGAGGCUCUCCAUCUUUCCUUUUCUGUUUACAAAAACAAUUGCAUGUUCAUCGGUAGUAAUGUGAAGAGGUCACAUCAUCUCAUUGUGCCUCUUUCCUAAGCAUACAUGAUCCACACCUAAUGCAUGUCUUACAUUAUUCAAAGACUGUGUAACAUCUAAGAAGCUUUCUUCCCAACCACAUGACUCUGGAUUCAGUCCCACUGUAUGACACCUUAGACAAGUGUCUUCUGCUAUAACCUUGGAUGGAUCAGAGUCUUGUGAGUAGAUUUGGUAGAUGGAAUCUGAAAAAAGUCCAUCAUGUGUGUGUUUCCCUCACCAUUGCCACAACUCAGUAGCCAGUGUUGGUAUGUAUACAUUCCCAUAACUUAACUGUUCAGCAAAAAAAGACCAAUAAAAAAAAUAGUAUUGGGGGUUGAUUCAUUCAACUAAAACAAUUCUUCGAGGCAGUGUCUCAGCUUGGCCAGCCCACAGUCUAAAGACUGGAACAUGUAAAAGAUGAAAGAUAAAAGACCCAAAUGAAAAAUUCCCCAAGAAGAUGAAUGGAGUGUUAAUGAAACUUCAUCCAUUUGUCUGCUGUUUGCAAUGAGUGGAUGACAGCAAAAUCAUAGUGAUGGUGUGCACCCUGGUAGUCAACAGAGGUUACAUAAAACAUCACAGCCAGAAAUAUGAGUUUUAUAGCCUGUAUGACAAUUCUCCUGAGCAAAAUAUCAACAGCCAUACAGAAGAAAUGAAAGAAGAUAAAGCUGAAAUACAAUCUUAUAUAACAUAGUUUAUUCAUGAUAGAUUUAUAGUUUUAUACUUUAUUCCAGUAUACUGUUACAGUAUUAUAUUUACAUUCACAGAAUUAUGCAUUUUCCCUUAUGAAACCACUUUGAAAUAUCUUUCAGUGAAUUUAGGAUAAAAUAUACUAAAUUUGUUUUUGCUAUGAAAUAUAUUUGUAAAAUAGGGGCGUAUUUUGUGUGAGAGUAUAUCUUAAAAGAGAUCUCCUUUGGUCAUGAAAGACCAUGGGAUUGCACCUAGAAAGUUCCCCUCUGAGGCACAAGUCUUGACAAGGUUGUUUACGGAAGACCAACAGUCGCUCAAGCAUACCAACCUCCCCUCUCCAUGCCAGCAAUGUAAUCCAAGGGAAAGGCAAAAGCUGAUAUAGCUUGGCACCUGUGACGUCACAACUCAUAGUGACGUCACAGCUGAGUGAACUGGACUGAUGUGAAAUAAAGUGACUUGCUCAAGAAUACAACAUAGAGUGCAGUCCGGGAAUCAAACUCACUACCUCAUAAUUGUGAGCCCAAUGCUCUAACCACUGGGCCAUGUGCCCCCGCUGGUAAAUAUGGCAUUUUACAGAUACAAUUUACUGAAUUUAACAAUGGAAUUUGUAUCCUUGUGGUACCAGUGCCGGUGGCACAUAAGAAAACCAUCCGAACGGGACCGUAGCCAGUACCGCAUCGACUGGCCCCGUGCUGUGGGCACGUAACAAACACCAUCCGAUCGUAACCGUUCGCCAGCCUCGUCUGGCACCUGUGUCGGUGGCACAUAAAAAACACCAUCCGAGCGUGGCCGUCUGCCAGCCUCGUCUGGCACCUGUGUCGGUGGCACAUAAAAAACACCAUUCGAGCGUGACCGUCUGCCAGCCUCGUCUGGCACCUGUGUCGGUGGCACAUAAAAUCACCCACUACACUCUCGGAGUGGUUGGCGUUAGGAAGGGCAUCCAGCUGUAGAAACACUGCCAGAUCUGACUGGCCUGGUGCAGCCUUCGGGCUUGCCAGACCCCAGUUGAACCGUCCAACCCAUGCUAGCAUGGAAAGCGGACGUUAAACGAUGAUGAUGAUGAUGAUGAACAAUUGGACAUGCGAACACUAUAAAUUUGCACACUUCUUUAUCAGAGUCUCUUAAGCUUUUACAUGCUAUUAUUAUUUUACCUUUUGCCUGUCCUCAUGUAACACAUGAGAUAUACAGGACAUACUUCCCUGAUGUCCAUGCAUCAUACAUGAUACACAUUCUCAAAUUUUUUUCCCACCACCAGAAUAACUUGGAACUUAUGAAAUGAAAGCUUUAUAUUAUUCAGAACUUACAAAUCAUGGGCUAACUUAAAAGUCUGAAAAGAUGGACGUCAUUUAGGACAAACCUAUAAAAAAAUAUUUUAGACAGGCAAAGAGUGAAAAGUCCAACAGGUCAAUACCUAUUUCUUUAUUACCCACAAGGGGCUAAACAUAGAGUGGACAAACAAGGACAGACAUAGGUAUUAAGUCGAUUACAUCGACCCCAGUGCGUAACUGGUACUUAAUUUAUUGACCCCGCAGGUCAAUACCAUACUUAUUUCUCAUAUCGAAUAGGUCCAUUACGACAGAUAAUCAUAAUUUCAUUAGGUAGAAUCUAUUGUCUUUAAUAUUAUACCUUAUGUCUAACAUAGGCAAAAAGCCUCAUGUUUUGAAGACGUAGAUAUGUCGUUCAUAUUGAUUCUGAUAUUUUAUCAACCUCAGACGGAUGAAUAGUAAAGUUGGCUUUUUAACCUGGCUAGCUACAGAGUUUGCUAAUCCACUGCCCUUAUCAUUGCUCAUACAUACAUUUGCAUAUAUAUAUAUAUGUAUCAAUUUAAAAACACAUCGAAAAGAGCUACUAAUAGUUUCAUACUAUUAUGAUACUUGAACUGGUAUAUUUAUAAAAUAUGCCAUGUAUCUUAAAGCAAUCUUUCAGGCUCUGUUUAUGCAUCAUACAUACAUACAUACAUACAUACAUACAUACUGAUAGAAAUGGCCAGAGAACAAAAGAAUGAAAGAGACCUCGAUAUUAUGUAAAUAGAGGAAUUCAUCUGUAAAUAUGAUAUGUCACAAUUAUUCAGUAGCCAUGAUAAAACUCCGAGUUUUGGAUGUUGGGGCCAAAACCCACACCAGCAUCUCUUCAGUUAUCGGGCCAUCGAAAAGUUACAGGGACGUAAACACACCAACAUUGGUUGUCAAGCGAUGGUAGGGGACAAACACAGACACACACACAAAUACACACACACAUAUACACAACGGACUUCUUUCAGUUUCCGUCUAGCAAAUCCACUCACAAGAUUUUGGUUGGCCUGACGCCAUGGUAGAAGAGACUUGCCCAAGGUAUCACGCAGUUGGACUGAACCUGGAACCUUGUGGUUGGGAAGCAAGCUUCUUACCACACAUUCCUGCACUUAUGUAUAUAUAUAUAUAUAUAUAUAUAUAUAUAUUACAAACACACAUAUAUAUCCUCAAUGGUGCAGGUGGUACUAAAAGAGACACCCCCAAUCCAUGCUGUGAAAAUAUGGCCAAAGCAAAUAUUGGAGUUCAAUGUGGUCCUCGUAUAAAUCAGAUCCUGUCAAACUGUCCAACCCAUGUCAGUAUGGAACGUGGACGUUAAAUAGCGACAACGACGAUGAUGAUGACAGCAACGACAAUGAACAAAGAUAAUGAUGAUGAUGAUGAUGAUGAUGACGACAACAAUGAUGAUGAUGAUGAUGAUGAUGAUGAUGAUGAUGAUGAUGAUGAUGAUGGUGAUUCAAUUUCCGAAGCAGAAGAACCAUCUUUAUAACCAUAAACAUUCUAAUGUUUCCCCGUCUACCAAUUAAAGCUCGCACAACACAAGAAACUGAGUGGGAGUUGACGAGAAAAAAGUGACACCUGCAUUUGAGUAAUAUAUUAUUUAUUUACCUUAGAACAUAGGUUCUCAAAGUGGGCGUUGAGACGGUCCAGGUGGGUGCUGGUGCCUAAGAAGGCAGUGGAGAUGGGGCGAUAGAGAAAAAGGAGGUGUUGGGAAGAAGGCAGUGGAUUGGGGCACACUAUGAAUUUAUUAUAAUAUUAUAGUAUUGUAUACAAAUUAUAUAAUAUUAUAUUAAAUAUCAAUGAUUCGUAGUAUAUAUAAGUCAGUCAAAUAUAAAAUAUUUAUUUAUACAUAAAAAUAGGGGUGGGGGCACUGAGGGUAUUAUGUGGCCACGAGGGGGGCAGUGGCCCAAAAAGUUUGAGAACCUCUGCCUUAGAAGAAUCAAAGGUCAAGUUAACCUCAGUGGGAUUAUAACUCAUAGCACUGCAAACCAGAAUAAGUACCACAAGGCAUUUGUCUAGUAUUCUAACAAUUCUGCUAACUCACACUCCUUUGCUUUAUCUUUUAUUUCAGUCAUUAGACCAUGGCCAUGCUGGAGCACCACAUUGAAGGGGUUAGUGAAACAAACCAACCCCCAGUGUUUAAUUUUUAUUGUGGCGGUCACCCCCAAGUGAGAAGUGGGCUGUUCCACUACUGAUAAAUGGUGGACAGACACAGCAAGCGGUGUCAGUCGGUGGGGUAUGCCGUUCGGGCCAGUCACGCUGACGACAAAGUUACAUCGUUAUAAUGCGGGACAUAUCUUAUGCCUGGAGCUUUUUCUAUCGAUCUAUUUUGCCAAACUGCAAAGUUAUAGGGAUAUAAACAAAUCAACACCUGCUAUCAAACUGCUUGGGGACAAACACACACACACACAUACAAAUACAUAUAUGAGUGUAUGUGUGUGUGUAUGUGUGACAAGCUUCUUCACAGUUUCUGUCUGCCACAUCCACUCACAAGGUGAUUUAGAGUUAUAGUAGAAGACACUUGCCCAAGGUGCCACAGGAUGGAACUGAACCUAAAUCCAUCCGAUUACCAACUAAGCUUCAUAACCACACAGCCAUGCCUAUAUAUGUUUAAUACUUAAUAACAGUUCUGAUUUAAGCACAAGACCAACAAUUAUUAGGGGCUAGGGAUGAGUCAAUAAUUCAUUUUAUUGACCUCUGGUGGGAUUAAAGCAGAGGUGCCCUCAGUGAUAUUUGAUCUUAGAAUACAUAGAGCUGGAAAAAAUACUGCAAAAUAUUUUUCUGAAAGUUCAAAUAAUUCUUUUGUUCACCAUUUUAUAUUUAUUACAUAUGUUGUUUGUUCCUUCCUGAGCCAUGCCUAGCUCAUAAGGGCCAGUUUCCUGGUUUCCUUGGCAUAUAGGUUCCCCACCUGGACGGGACGCUGGUCCAUCGCAGGUGAGCUGCAAGGGUGAGAAAAAGUUGUAGCGAAGGAGUCAGCUGAAGUUCGCCAUUACCUUCUGCCAGAGCCGCGUGGAGCUUAGAUGUUCGCUCAUAAACAUACACAUCACCCGGUCUGAGAUUUGGACCAGCAAUCCCGCGACCGCGAGUCUGCUGCUCUAACCACUAGGCCAUGUGCCUCCACAUUUAUUACAUAUAAUGGUUUCAAAUUUUGGCACAAGAUUAACAAUUCUUUAGUGGGCUGUGGGUAGCGGCUUAGUCAAUGACAUUGACUCCAGUGUUCAACUGGUGCUUAUUUUUAUCAGCGGCGGCGGAAAAUUUGUUGUAGAAGAUGCAACUAAAUUUGAAAAACUUGUAAUUGCUUUGAAAUAAAUUUAUUUUAAAAAAAACAAGUCUUUUAAAUUUAGGUGCAUUUUCAACAACAAAUUUUCCUAUAUAUAUAUAUAUAUAUAUAUAUAUAUAUAUAUAUAUAUAUAUAUAAAUAUAUACUUCAUUGCCUUACAGCUGUUUCUGCUAUAAGAUGCAGUGCAGUGAGCUUGUCGUUGAGUGUCUGAAUAACAUCCUAUAGCUUCAUCAGAGCUAUCCAUACAAGUAGCAGCGUUGUAGAAAUAAAGUUGAAAAUGCUCAGUGAGUAUAUGAAGAUUUAUUUAAACUAAAAUUAAGUAUAUUAAUUUUAAUUCAAAAUAAAUUUAUAUAUAUAUAUAUACUCUCUGUGCAUUUAUUUUACAUAUCAUCAUCAUUUAAUGUCUGUAGUCCAUGCUGGCAUGGUUGCUUUUAUGUGGCACAGCACAGGUACUUUUACGUGGCACCACACUUGUGCUUUUUUUCAUGACACCACACAAGCACUUUUAUGUGACGUCGCACGGGCACUUUCACUUGGCAAUGCCACAAGUGCUUUAUGCCACUGGAAUGAUUUGCUGUAGAGUACGUGUGUGUGUGUAUAGGUAUAUAUAGGUAUAUAUAUUUCGUUUUGGGAUUUGAUUUGCAAGAUUCUUUAUGUGCGUUCAUGUGUUGAAGUAUAUUCUGUUGUGUCUGGGGAAAGUCAUCUUCUUUUUGUACCUUAUAAUUUAACACACUCACCGGUAAAAUUUCCACUUAUUUUAUAUUUUUAUUUUCCUAAAAUUUUCGUUGCGUCUUGCAACCUUUCCAAUAGUCUUGACUAUACAUACAUAUAUAUAUACAAAUAAAUAUAUAUAUAUAUAUAUAUAUAUGUGUAUAUAAUUUAACUUCAGGAAAUAAAAGAAAACUACUUUUUUUUUUCCUAUCAGAUCUGAUAACUUCGGGCAAAAAAUACUUUUUAUGAGAUAUUCCCAGUUUAGCAAAACAAGAAAGAAAUAUGAAAAAAGUGCCGAUUUCUAUAUCUUGUUUGCAAUUGCUUUUCUUUGUACUUGUUCCAGUAUUUAAAUAUCAAUUUUAAUGUCUCAAAAUAGCAGAAAUAUCAAACUCGUUUUCCAGAUUCUGACCAUUGACAAAUUUCUAGAAAAUUCGUUAUUGGCAAUAUUGUAGUUUCUAAACAUGGCAUGAUUUAUUAUGAGACAUUCUUUAUUUUAAUGGUUUCAGACAUUUGGCUGUAGCUGGGACAUGUCUUUUAAGGUUCUUAAUUAAUCAUAGAAAUCUCUGUCCUUAUUUUAUCAAUCCUAAUUACCGCAUUUACUGGUGUAAUUAAGUCACUCGAUUUUAACUGAAAAAGCUAAGAUGUGGUUUAUACAGGCGGCAAAUCUGAUGUCACAUUUGAAUACGAAGCGGAAAAUAUUUCUACCAAGAUUUAAUGCUAAAUUUAGAAUAUACUAAGAUUUAAUGCUUAGUCUGGAAUGUACUAAGAUUUAACACUAAAUCUGGAAUGUGACUUAUACAAGAAGGCAACUUAUACAUGACUAAAUACAUAAGCUAAAUUUUACUUUUUUUCAAUAAAUGGCUGCCAGUCGACUCACUAUUUUAUACGGGGGUCAUACAAACAUAGAAGCACACACACACACAAUUUCCUGCCAUCAAAUUUCAAUUCUAAGGUAUUGGUUAGUUAAAAAUUUCCUUUACUCUCAGACAAAAGGGCAAAUUCAAAAUGUCAGAAUCUCCAUCCAUCCAUGACAUACAAAUCUAUCCAAGCUCACAUCUUUCUCUGUAUAAUUUUUGUUGAUGCAGACUACAAAUAUUUUUUUUUUUGUUUUGUUUUUUUAGAGAUGCUAAUUCUUCAGCUUUUCAAAUUCUUUUGUUGAUCAUUAGUUUUAUUUUUAAUUAAAAAAAUUUUUUUUAAAUUUUAUUUCAUUUUAUUUAUUUAGUUUUUGUAAUUAAAAUACCAGUAUCUUUUGCAUUUGAUAACCUGAUCUCUUGUUGAGAUGUUUAAUUUCUCUAGCUCUAUAUUCUUCAAAAUUCCUCUGCUCCCCAAAAUAACAACACUACUCCUGAUGUACCUAUACGUAUUUUCCUCAUUAUGGCUCAUUUGCUGAUCACUUUUAUGCCUACUUAUGUUUUAUUCUGUGUUCUAUGCAUCUCUGCUACCUUUUCUGUCUUUCUUUACCAGACUCAAUAUCUAUUCUCUGCCUCCUUUUUUUUUUACCCUUUUCCUAAAAGUUUCAUUGCACCUGAGCUCUCUUUAAAAUAAGCUCAUUAUAAUAAUUCUUUCAAUUUACAUGAUAUGCUACACAGCAUUUGGUCCAGUGUGCUAACGACUCUGUCAGCUCACUGCCUUAAAGCCUAAACACAUUAUAAUAAUAGUCCUUUCUACUUUAGGCACAAAGGCCUGAAAUUUGGGGGCAGGAGGAUAGUCGAUUACAUGAACCCCAGUGUUUAACUGGUAUUUAUUUCAUCGACCCAAAAAAGGAUGAAAGGCAAAGUUGACCUCGGUGGAAUUUGAACUUAGAGUGUACGUAUGGAUGAAAUGCUGCUAGGCAUAGGAGUGGCUGUGUGGUAAGUAGCUUGCUUACGAACCACAUGGUUCCGGGUUCAGCCCCACUGCGUGGCACUUUGGGCAGGUGUCUUCUACUAUAGCCUUGGGCCGACCAAAGCCUUGUGAGUGGAUUUGGUAGACAGAAACUGAAAGAAGCCCGUCGUAUAUAUGUAUACUCACACACACACACACACACACACACACACACACACACACACAUAUAUAUAUAUGUAUACAUAUAUAUAUAUAUAUAUAUGUAUGUGUGUGUGCAUAUGUUUGUGUCUGGGUUUGUCCCCCCAACAUCACUUGACAACCGAUGCUAAGUUACAGGGACGUAUCCCCGUAACUUAGCAGCUCGGCAAAAAUGACCGAUAGAAUAAGUACUAGGCUUCCAAAGAAUAAAUACUGGGGUCGAGUUGCUCAACUAAAAGGCGGUGCUCCAGCAUGGUCGCAGUCAAAUGACUGAAACAGGUAAAAGAGUAAAAGAUUAAGCAUUACACCUGGCAUGCUAACAGUUCUGCCAGAUCACUACAUUAAAGCCUAGCCUCAUUACAACAACAACAACAAUUGUUGUUGUAGUAGUAGUAGUAGUAGUAGUAGCAGCAGUAGCAGUAGUAGUAGUAGUAGUAGUAGUAGUAGUAAAGUUAAUGAAUACAGUUUUCAGGUGCAUCACGACUUAUCAGAUACAGUUAAAAGAAAGGACCAAAAGCAGAUGUAUAAGUGAAAGGAAGAUAGUGAUGAAAGCCAGAAGUACAUGUACAGUAUACAGAAUAGAACACGCCAAGAAAAAAAAAAAAGAAAUAGAGGAAAGGGAGCAUGAAAGAAGUCAUAAAAAUAAGGGUGCAUAGGUACCCCAAGAAUAGUGUUGGUGAAUAUGAGGAAGAACAGAAUUUUUCAAGGAUGCACCGUCCUAACAGUUUACAAUAGACACAGAUAGCUUAUUCCAUGCUUCAACAACUUUGAGCAUGGAAAAAUGAUGUAUCUUUUUAUCUUUCAUUUUUUACUUGUUUCAGUUAUUAGACUGUGACCAUGCUGGAGCACCUCCUUGAAGAAUUUCAUUCAGUCAAAUCGACCCCAGUACUUAUUGGUUUGUAAGGCCUGGUAGUUAUUCUGUCGGUCUCUUUAGCCAGACCACUAAGUUACAGGGAUGUAAACACACCAACACCAGUUGUCAAGUGGUGGGGGUAACACACACGUAGGCACACACAUACGAUGGGCUUCUUUCGGUUUCUGUCUGCCAAAUUCACUCACAAGGUGCCAAGCAGUGGGACUGAACCUGGAACCAUGUCAUUGGAAGCAAACUUUUUACCAUACAACCACAUUUCCAAAAGUCAUCGGUGCUGUACUGACUUUCUUUCCACGAGUGAUAGAGAUAUUGAAUUCUAAAAGGUGGUCGAAGUUGUUGGGUGGAUAAUGGAUAAUCUUGUCUGCUUCUUUAUUCAUUCUCUAAAAGUCCUUAUUGUUGGUAUUGAUUGUGACUGAGCGUAAAGCAAAUAUCUUUCAUGGUUUUUUUCAAGCAUUCAUCUGAGCUCACACUUUGCUACUGCUAAUAUUCCCAUUCUGCUUUUCUCUGCAAUAUUGAUAACUGCUGAAUUCUUCUAAAUGGUGGAAGCCAGUUCUAUCCGAAUUUGUAUUGAAUGAUUCAUCACAAGCAGUGACUUCUUUCUCUCCCUUCAAGUCUUAUGCACUCAAUCAUUUCAAAGAAGCAUUCUUCUUGAACUUCGUGAAUGUUCUUAAUUCUAAAGGAAAAUAAUCUUUGCACUUUGCUCUAUUGGCAUAAAGUUAUAUCCAGGCAGCAAGCUGGCAGAAUGCAAGCUGCAAGCUGACAGAAUCCAGGUUGUGAGCUGGAUUCUGGCAGUAAUCCAAGCAGCAAUCGGACAGAAUCCAGGCAGCAAGCUGGCAGAAUCCAGGGUAUGAUUGGACAGAAUCCGGGCUGCAAGGUGGCAGAAUCCAGGCUGCAAGGUGGCAGAAUCCAAGCAGCGAUCAGACAGAAUCCAGAUAGCAAGAUGGCAGAAUCCAAGCUGCAAGCUGGCAGAAAACAGGCUGCAAGCUGGUAGAAAACAGGUUGUGAUCAGACAGAAUCCAGGCUGCAAGCUAGCAGAAUCCAGGUAGCAAUCUGGCAGUAACCAGGCAGCAAUUUAACAGAAUCCAGGUAGCAAUCUGGCAGAAUCCAGGCAGCAAUCUGGUAGAAUCCAGGCUGCAUGCUGGCACAAUCCAAGCAUCAAAAUGGCAGAAUCCAGACAGUGAUUAGACAUAAUCCAGGCUGCAAGCUGGCAAAAUCCAGGCAGCAAUCAGACAGAAUCUAAGCACCAAUCUCGCAGAAUCCAGGCAUUUAUCAGACAGAAUCCAGGCUGCAAUCUGUCAGAAUUUGGGCAGUGAUCAGACAGAAUUCGGGCAGUGAUCAGACAGAAUCCAGGCAAUGAUUAGACAGAAUCCAGGCAGCACGCUGGCAGAAUCCAGGCUGCAAGCUGGCAGAAUCCAGGCCGCCAGCUGACAAAAUCAUUAACAUGCUAGGCAAAAUAUUCAGCAAUAUUUCAUUCAUCUUUAUGUUCUGAGUUCAAAUCCCGCUGAGGUCGACUUUUUCUUUCAUCCUUUAAGGGUUCGAUAAAAUAAGUACCAGUUGAGCACUGAGGUCAAUUUAAUCAACUUAACCUUUCCUCCAGAAUUGCUGGCUUUGUGCCAAAUUUGAAACCAGUAUAAAGUUAUACUUAAAUGCUUUCAUCUCUGAAAACCAUCAUUAAAUGUGAGGAAAGACUAUACUCAAAGUAAAACAGCAGAGUUAAGUUAAGCAGUGGUGGUCAGUCUUGGGAAUUAGCGAUUCAAAAAUGGAAUAAAUUGUUUUUUUAUGAAGUACUCUUUGUCAGAGAGUAACAAGAAUGAAUCUGGACCAAAAUGUUUGAUGUUUGCUCUUCUUCAUAGCAAACCAGUUUCUUCUACUUUUGAACUGUUUAUAAGUGGCAUACUUACUUCCUAUCUAAAACCAUUGCAAAAGAAUGAGACUAGGCCAGGGGUUGACAACAUAAAUUGUUGAUCAAUAGAUGAACCACUGAGAUGUUCUCUGUGGACCUGGCACCUUUUCUAAAAGUAUUUUUUUGAAAUUCAAUAUAUUUGUGGGUCAUUUGAGCUUUUAGGUAGUCUUUUAGUGUUAUGAUUUUUAAAAUUUUUGCCUUUUGCUUCCCAGUUACAUGGUUCCAGGUUCAGUCCUACCUCAUGACACCUUGGACAGGUCUCUUCUACCAUGGCCUCGAGCCAACCAAAAUCUUGUGCGUCACUUUUGUAGAGAGAAACUGAGUGAAGCCCAUCAUAUACACCUUCUCCUUGACUUAUGUGACUUACAACCAUCCACACUUACAACCACAAUAUAUAAAUGAAUGUAAAAAAACCCCAAUUUUCAGAUAUUGUGCCGCUGCACAUAAUGAUAACUAUGGCAGCAUCUGGUAACGCUCGCCUCCCUCAGACCCAGGCAUCCACUUCCUGCCUCUGUCUCUCAAUCAGUCAAUUUCAAGCCUCAGCUGUGUUUGAAUGAAAAUAGUGUUGGAAAAUAUAAAUCUGGAACAUGACCAGAUUGACUUAUGACCUGUCACUCAGAUCGGAACUCAUUCAUAAGUCGGUGUAUACACACACACACACACACACACACACACACACACACACACACACACAUACAUGUGUGUAUGUUUUAUUUGUGUCUGUGUUUGUCACCCACCACCGCUUGACAACUGGCGUUGGUGCGUUUACAUCUCAAUAACUUAGCAGUUCAGCAAAAGAAAUUGAUAGAGAAAGUUCCAGUCUUGCAAAAAAAAAAAAAAAAAAAAAAGAUAAGUACUGGAGCCAAUUCAUUCAAGGCAGUGCUCCAGCAUGACCACAGUUUAAUGACUGAAAUGAGUAAAAAGUACGAGAUAAAAGACAGAAAAACUUGCAGACCAUUUGUAGCUUUUUAUAUUGUCUUCCAUGUCAUAAUUUCUUUAAUUUUUGCUUACGUAAGCAUUUUCAAGGAUGGAAACGGUGGGUGAGAUACACAAGAAUAUUUGCAUAUGUAAGAUAUGAUAUAACAUACAUGUGGCCCAAGGGCGAACGUAAAAAGUGAAAGAUAUCAAAAGUGAGCCAUUACAAACACAAGUUGUUGAUCGUUGUUCUUGAGUAAAGGGGGUUUUUUUUUGGUUUUUUGUUUUUUGUUUUUCCUACAUUUUAUUACAGCCAUUGUGUGUUCUGACCCAGAACAAGGCACAUAACUCUGCUGUAUUUUUACCUUACCAAACAAAAGACAGGCUCCACUUCCUUACUUCACAGUUGAAUGGUUAGGCAGUGGAAGAUCAUCCAGCUGAAAACUGCUCCUGCAAAGAAACCAUUCCACCCAUGCUAACACGGUGGGGAAGGAGGGGGGGGGGGCAAAAUGAAUGUAAAACAACAAAAAAGAAAGAAAGAAAGAAAGAAAGGAAAAAAAAGAAAAAUAGACAGACAGAAAGGACAGAAGAAAGUAAGAAUGAAAUAAAUAAAUGAUAGAGAAAACAAAAGAAAGAAAAAGUAAGAAAGAGAGAGAGACAGAGACAUAGAAAGACAAUGAAAAAAAGAAAGAAAGAGAUCUCAAUGCUAUUUGCUAUCUAGACUGAUAGCAGCAGAUAUUGCUUAAUGGAGUAACACUUCUUGAAUACUUCCAAUAUAUAAAUCUCUUCACACGCAUUUUUUUUCCCCCACUUUAUUUAUAUUUAUCAAAUCUUUUUCUUCUCAGAUCAUGUAAAAAUGCAUUGAAUCAGAAUCCGGAUGAAAGAUGCUAUAUUUUAUAACUUUGCUUCAACAUGAUCGUUUUACUCUAUACUCUUUCUCUCUCUCUCUCUUUCUCUUCUACUUUGGUCCAAGAGAUGAUUACAACAUUGUCUCCCACAACUCAAACUACACACUGUUUAAUCCAACCAAUAACUUUGUAGAAACCGGGUAUAUUUUUAACAACUAUUUUCACAUCUCCAUAUAUAUUUCUAUGAUCUUUCUCCUCAAUUAUUUUUUUUUUCUUUUAGCAUAGGCUCAGUGGAGUUGCAUGGCUUAGUGGUUAGGGUGCUGGACUUGUGAUCAUAAGAUUGUGGUUUCAAUUCCUAGACCGAGCAACAUGUUGUGUUCUUGAGCAAAACACUUUGUUUCAUGUUGCUCCAGUCCACUCAACUGGCAAAACUGAAUAAUCCCAUGACAGACUGGCGUCCCACCCAGUACUGUGUAUAUACGUCACUGAAGCCAGGAAACUGACUCUGUGAGUCUAUAUGACUCAUGAAGGGUCAUUAUACUUGCUUUUUUAAUAUAGACGCCAGAGUGGCUGUGUGGUAAUUAGCUUGCUUACCAACCACAUAGUUCCGGGUUCAUUCCCACUAUGUGGCACCUUGGGCAAGUGUCUUCUACUAUAGCCUCAGGCUGACCAAAGCCUUGUAAGUGGAUUUGGUAGACAGAAACUAAAAGAAGCCUGUCAUAUAUAUAUAUGUAUAUAUAUGUGUGUGUUUGUCCCUCCAACAUCACUUGACAACCGAUGCUGGUGUGUUUACAUCCCUGUAGCUUAGCGGUUUGGCAAAAGAGACCGAUAGAAUAAGUACUAGGCUUACAAUAAAUAAGUCCUGGGGUCGAUUUGCUCAACUAAAGGCAGUGCUCCAGCAUGACCACAGUCAAAUGACUGAAACAAAUAAAAGAGAAGAAAAGAGAGCAUAGGCUCAGACAUGGGUGUGUGGUUAAAAGGUUUGCUUAGCAAUCACAUAGUGUUGGAUUCAGUAAAUAAAGGUAAAGAUAAAGCUAAUGUCUCCAGUCAUGUCGACUCACAAGAGCCAGUUUCCUGGUUCCAUGGCACAUGUAUUCCCCAUUUGAACAGGACGCAGGUCCGUCGCAGGAUUACUCAUUUUUGCCAGCUGAGUUCACUGCAGCAAAGUGAAAUGAAGUGUUUUGCUCAAGAACACAACACAUCGCCCGGUCCAAGAAUCGAAACCACAAUCUUAUUAUCAUGAGUCUAAUUCCCUAACCACUAAGCCACAUGCCUUCACAUAUGGCACAUAUUAAGAGUAGGGUAAAGUUUACCUUCUCAAGUCAUGUUGGCUCUCAAGGGCUGCUUUCUGUGGCAUAUAAAUUCCCCAGCUGGAAGAGAUGCUGGUCUGUUGCAGGAUUACUCAGUUUUACCCCCUAAGUGGAUUGGAGCAAAUUGAACUGAGGUGUUUUGCUCAAGAACGCGAUAUGUCGCCCAGUCCAGGAAUCAAAACCAUAAUCUUAUAAUCACGUGCCCAGCACCCUAACCUCUAAGUCACAUUCCUUCACUUUGGGUUCGAUCCCACUGCAUGGCAUCUUGGACAAGAAUCUUCUACUACAGGCCCAGGCUAACCAAAGCAAACUUUGUGAGUGGAUAUGGUAGAGAGAAACCUAAAAAUCCAUUUUCUGUGUAUGUGUGUGUGGUGUGUGUGUGUGUGUCUGUGUGUGUGUGUGUUUGUGUCCUAGCCUUGGACAUCAAGUUUCACUGUCAUUCAUGCAGUGUCCUUCAUUUCGAGUCUUCCAUGAAAAACAUGCCUGGCUAUAGGGACAUAUUACUUUGUUUGGACAGAGUUAUGGGUUGCUGACAAGAAAUGCAUGUGGAGGCAAGUGGCUAAAUGGUUAGGGUGUUGGACAAAGAUUGUGGUUUCGAUUCAUGGACCGGGUGACACAUUGUGUUCUUGAGCUAAACACUACAUUUUACAUUGCUCUAGUCCAUUCAGCUGCGACAGACCAGCGUCCCAUCAAAGUGGAUAAUUCAUAUGCCAUGGAAACCAGGAAACCCUUAAGAGCCAGCAUACUCUCUUUACUCUUUACUCUUUUACUUGUUUCAGUCAUUUGACUGCAACCAUGCUGGAGCACCACUUUUAGUCGAGCAAAUCGACCCCAGGACUUAUUCUUUGUAAGCCUAGUACUUAUUCUAUCGGUCUCUUUUGCCGAACCGCUAAGUGACGGGGACGUAAACACACCAGCAUCGGUUAUCAAGAAAUGCUAGGGGGACAAACACAGACACACAAAUACAUAUAUAUGACGGGCUUCUUUCAGUUUCCGUCUACCAAAUCCACUCACAAGGCUUUGGUCGGCAUGAGGCUAUAGUAGAAGACACUUGCCCAAGACGCCACACAGUGGGACUGAACCCGGAACCAUGUGGUUGGUAAGCAAGCUACUUACCACACAGCUACUCCUGCACCUAUAAUGCAUGAUUCAAAAAGAUAACUUUACUUUUACAAGAAAUGCCUUUGACUAUUAAAAUCUGCCUCAAUAAAUUCCACCUGAUUCGUGCAAGCAUUGUAAAGUAGCUGUUGAAAUAAUGGCAUUAGCAGUGCUCAUGGCUGUGAUGAUGAUUCAGUCUUUGUAUAAUUAAUAUCUUACAUCACCAAUGUCACUUAGUUUGUCUCCUAGAAGUUUUGGUUCUUCCAUAUGGCUAUUUUUUUUUUAUAUUUGUUUCAGUCAUUUGACAGCAGCCAUGCUGGAGCACUGUCUUUUAGUUGAAGAAAUUGACCACAGGACUUAUUCUUUGUAAGACUGGUACUUAUUCUGUCGGUCUCUUUUGUCAAACCACUGAGUUACAGGGAUGUAAACAUGCCAACAUUGGUUGUCAAGGGAUGACAAACACAUAAAUAUGUAUAUGUAUAUAUAUCUAUAUCUAUCUAUAUAUAUAUAUGUAUAUAUAUAUAUAUCAUCAUCAUCAUCAUCAUCAUUUAACGUCCACUUUCCAUGCUAGCAUGGGUUGGACGAUUUGACUGAGGACUGUCGAACCAGAUGGCUGCACCAGACUCCUAUCUGAUCUGGCAGAGUUUCUACAGCUGGAUGUCCUUCCUAACACCAACCACUCCAUGAGUGUAGUGGGUGCUUUUACAUGCCACUGGCACGAGGGCCAGUCAGGCGGAACUGGCAAGGGCCAUGCUCAAAUGGUGUUUUUUUAUGUGUCACCUGCACAGAAGCCAGUUCAGUGGCACUGGCAACAACCUCACUCAAAAUUUUUUCAGGUGCCACCAGCACAAGUGCCAGUACGGUGAUGCUGUUAACGAUCAUGCUUGAAUGGUGCUUUUUACAUGCCACUGGCAUCAAAGCCAGUUAGCCACUCUAGCAAUAAUCACGCUCAGAUGGUGCUCUUAGUGCUCCACUAGCACAGAUGCCAGUCAUCGAAUUUGAUUUCGAUUUCACUUGCCUCAACAGGUCUUCGCAAGCAGAGUUUAGUGUCCAAUGAAGGAAAGGUACGCAUAAGUGGGCUGGUUACACCCCUGGCAUAGGCCACGAGGUUAUGAUCUCAUUUGGCUUGCCGUGUCUUCUAAAGCACAGCAUAUUUCCAAAAGUCUCGGUCACUAGUCAUUGCCUCGGUGAGGCCUAAUGUUCAAAAGUCGUGCUUCACCACUUCAUCCCAGGUCUUCGUGGGUCUACCUCUUCCACGGGUUCCCUCAACUGCUAGGGUGUGGCACUUUUUCAAACAACUAUCCUCAUCCAUUCUCACCACAUGACCAUACAAGCACAGUUGUCUCUCUUGCACACUACAUCUGAUGCUUCUUAGGUCCAACUUUUCUCUCAAGGUACUUACACUCUAUAUGCACACUGACAUUACACAUCCAUCGGAUCAUACUGGCUUCAUUCCUUGCGAGCUUACGCAUGUCCUCAGCAGUCACAGCCCAUGUUUCACUGCCAUGUAGCAUGGCUUUUCGUACACAUGCGUCAUACAGUCUACCUUUUACUCUUAGCGAGAGGCCCUUUGUCACCAGCAAAGUAAGAGCUCUCUGAAUUUUGCCCAGGUUAUUCUUAUUCUAGCAGCUACACUUUCAGUGCACUGACAUGGUCACCUAGGUAACGGAAGCUAUCAACUACUUCUAGUUUUUUCUCCCUGGAAUGUGGCAGAAGUUGUUCUCUCUCUCUCUCUCUCUCUCUCUCUCUCUCUCUCUCUAUAUAUAUAUAUAUAUAUAUAUAUAUAUAUAUAAGGAUGGGGCAGGGUUCAUUUACUGUCAGGUGACUUUUGGCCAACCCUGUAUAUUAGCAUUGAAACAAUAUUGGAAAAAACAAUCAAAUGCUAUCAUGUUGAAGAGACACCAAACACACACAUGCAAUCACACACAAAUACAUUUAUACAUAUACACACAUACAUAUAGUGGUAAACUCUCAGCCCCAGAAGGACAGCUCUGCAAUUUCUUGUUGAACAAUCUGCACAAAUGAUUUCUUUAGACUGAUUAAUUGUAUGUAAUAUACAUUAGCUAAUUCCCGCCAUCCAGCACUGGAUUAACCAUUAAGCAAAAUAAGCAACUGCUUAGGACAUCAAGGGAAGGAGGGGGCACCACAGAAAUGCUAAAUGGUUUACGGCACAAAAGAAAUCCCUUUAAACUUGCUUAAAUAAUGUUUGGGAUGCCUUUAUCUCUACUAAGUAUAGAAGCAGGUGUUUUACCUAAGAUUAAUUUUGAAGAUCUGAUCAAAGACUUUGUAAUUCAAAAACGUAGGAGGAAACUUUUCAAACAUAAAUAAAGUGGAAGUAUAUAAAAAUAAGAUGCAUGUAAAGGCACAUGGCUCAGUGGUUAGAGAGUCGAGCUUACGAUCGUGAGGUUGUGAGCUCAAAUCCCUGACCAGGCUGUAUGUUGUGUUCUUGAGCAAGACACUUUAUUUCACGUUGUUCCAGUUCACUCAGCUGUAGAAAUGAGUUGCAACGUCACAGGUGCCAAGCUGUAUCGAACUUUGCCUUUCUCUUGGAUAACACUGGUGGCAUGGAGAGGGGAGGCUGAUAUGCAUGGGCCACUGCUGGUCUUCCAUAAACAGCCUUGCCCGGACUUCUGCCUGGGAGGGUAACUUUCUAGGUGCAAUCCCAUGGUAUGUGUCGUGACCGAAGGGGGUCUCAGAUAUAAAAAUAAACAUCAUUUUUCCUCUUACUGUUGUUUCGUUUUGAAAAAUAAAAAUUUAUUUUAUGGUUUGUUAUCGUUUCUAUUUUGAAUUACAUAAUCUUUUAUGGGGGGCACCGAAAUCUUUUAAGUGCUUAGGGCCUCGAUGGGUCUUAAUCCAGCCCUGCCGCUAUCAAAUCAACAUUACCUGAACAGGUGCAUGGUGCACCACAUGUCAGGUGUUGAGGUGAUUGUAGAGCAUUGUAAGAUGAAGUGGUUUUCUCAAGAACAUCAAUGCACCACCAGGUCUAAGACUUAAAACCAUGAUUUCAUGAUUAUGACUGCAACACACCAAGCAUUAGGCCGUGUGCUCUUACUCGGGGCUAUAGUAGAAAACACUUGCCCGAUGUGCCACACAGUGGACUGAACAUGAAACCAUGUGGUUGUGAAAUAAACUCCUUAACCACACAGCCACACACUUGCACCUGCGCCUAUGUUAGAAAUCAAUAAUAACCAUUUCUUGGUUUUCGUUUAUCUAUAAUCAUGUAUUAAAAGAUCAAUAAUAAAAAUUGUUUUAAUGCCGUUACAUGAUGACAUUACAGUGGGUCUAGUUGUAAUUGUGUCAAAAUACCUUUUAUUUUAAUUUUAAUGGUUUUUUUUUUUUUUGGAAGUCACAAUUUUAUUAGAACAUAAGAAAGGAAAAGAACAAAAGGAGAAAAAGAUGGUGGUGGUGGUGGUUUUGAUGGGAGUGGUUGUGGUGAUGUAGGUGGGGGGGGUAAAGUAGCAGAUUUGGAGGGGGAGUGGUGAAAGGUCACAUACCCCUGAACAAUGGUGGUGGUGGUGGUGGUGGCAGCAGCUUGCUAGCUUUGUUAGACAAAGUCUAAGCAGGCCGAAACUUUGAAGUCACUAUCACCCUUCUUGUAAAGGAAUGGUAAAUACGUAGUCUACAAAAGGUAUUGAAUAAUUCUUCAGUUUAAAGUUAAACCAUUUUUAUUAUGAUUCCAUUACUUUUCAUAAAGAUAAAUAUUGAUGUUUGUGUGUGUGUGUGUGUGCAAUGUGACGAGUUGGCAUAAUCAUUAGCACAGUGGACAAAAAGCAUAAACCUAGUACUUAUUCUAUCGGUCUCUUUUGCCGAACUGCUAAGUUACGGAGACGUAAACACACCAGCAUUGGUUAUCAAACGAUGGUGGGGAACAAAUACAAAUACACACAAACACACACACAUAUGACAGGUUUUUUUCAGUUUCCAUCUACCAAAUCCACUCAUGAGGCUUUGGUCAGCCUGAGGCUAUAAUAGAAGACACUUGCAUAAGGUGUCACAAGGUGGGACUGAACCCAGGACCAUGUGAUUGUUAAUCAAGCUUCUUACCACACAGCCAUGUCUGCACAUAUGUAUAAAAGGGAAUAAGCUUUUUUUCUUUGUGUCUUCCUGAUAUUGUAAUCAGUUGAUAAACAUACUGUUGGGAUCUCUUAAUGCCUUUACAUUUUAGCAACAAUAAAAAGGGUUAAUGAGUGCAUUGAUUAAAGCACCUUUGUCUUUUGCCUUCUCCGUGUUUCAGUCAUUGGACAGCUGCCAUGCUGGGACACCACCUGGAAGGGGUCGUUUUGCUGGAUAAAUUGACCCCAGUAUUUUGUUUUACAAGUCUGGUUCUUUAUUCUAUCAUUCUCUCAGUUUCUUUAGCCAGACUGCUAAGUUACACGGACAUAAACAAACCAAUAUUAGUUGCCAAGCAGUGAUGGUUGUAGUGAUGAGGAUUGUGAAUAAAUUCGGACAUACAGACACACAUAUAUAUACAUACAUAUAUAUUACAUAUUCUUUUAUUCUUUUACUUGUUUCACUCAUUUGACUGCAGCCAUACUGGAGCACCACAUUAAGCAGGUUUUAGUCAAACAAAUCGAACCCAGGACUUAUUCUUUGUUAACACACCAACAUUGGUAGUCAAGCGAUGGUUCACACACACACACACACACACACACACAUAUAUAUAUAUAUAUAUAUAUAUAUAUAUAUAUAUAUACAUCUACAACAGGCUUCUUUCAGUUUUCAUCUCCCAAAUCCACUCACAAGGCUUUGGUCAGCCUGAGGCUAUAAUAGAAGACGCUUGUUCAAGGUGCCAUGCAGUGGGACUGAACAUGGAACCAUGUGGUUGGGAAGCAAUGGAUAUGUUGGUUGAAAUAAAGUUCGAUGAAUAAAGCCAGAAAACAGCACAGCUCCCAUGACUUUCAGAAAUAUUUUUUCACGCUAAGAGUUGCUGAAGUAUGGAACAAACUGCCGGCAUCAAUUGUUAGUUGUCGGAGCACUGCAUCCUUCAAAACUUCCAUGCUUCCUGAGAUUCACCAACACUACACCUGAUUUUCUCCCUUCCAUACACACGCAAGCAUGUAUCUGACUCAUACACUGUUCGCUUUUCAGACAUUUGUACAUUACUGCAUAUGCUUUAUACGCACUUUUGACAAGUUGUGGUGCACCUAAGCACUGUACACAAUAAUUUCAUUAUAUUAUAUAUGGCUUGGCUAAUGUUUAUAUUUGUAUGUUUGUGAUCAAGGAAAGUGAAGGAGCACUCCAUCGGUUGCGACGACGAGGGUCCCAGCUGAUACGAUCAACUGAACAGCUUGCUCGUGAAAUUAACGUGCAAGUGACUGAGCAAUCCACAAACACGUGUACCCCUACCCCUAACAUAGUUCUCGGGGAGAUUCAGCGUGACACCAAGUGUGACAAGGCUGGCCCUUUGAAAUACAGGUACAACUCAUUUUUGCCAGCUGAGUGGUCUGGAAGAACGUGAAAUAAAGUGUCUUGCUCAAAGACACAACGCGUCGCCGGGAAUUGAACUCACGACCUUACAAUCGUGAGCCGAAUGCCUUAACCACUAAGCCACGCGCCUUCACACCAAGGAAAGUAGACAUAAAAAAACAACCAGUUUAAAUUUCAGUUCUUCUAUUUCUAUGUAUCUGAAUGGACGCUCUCUUUUACAUCCUUUUGGGGUCGAUAAAAUAGGUACCGGUAGGGCAUUGGGGGGGGGGGUCGAUGUAAUCGACUUCUCCAUCCCUCAAAUAUGCUGGCCUUGUGCCAAAAUAAGACAUCCUCCUAGUCAUCAUGAAGGCAGCGAGCUAGCGGAAUCGUUAGCAUGUCGGGGAAAGUGUUUAGCGGCAUUUCGCCCGUCUUGACGUUCUGAGUUCAAAUUCCGCCGAGGUCGACUUUGCCUUUUAUCGAUUCGGUGUCGAUAAAAUAAGUACCAGUUGAUCACUAAGGUCGACAUAAUCGACUUACUCCCUCUCCAAAAUUUCAGGUUUCGUGUCUUUAGUAGAAAGGGUUAUUAUUAUUAUUAUUAUUAAGGCGGUGAACUGGCCGAAUCGUUAGCACACCGGACAAAAUGCUUAGUAGCAUUUAUUCCGACUUUGCGUUCAAAUUCUGCUGAGGUCGAUUUUUACCUUUCGAUAUAUAUAUAUUUUUUUAAACCUUCUGUUUUAUAAUCUGUCUUCCAUCGCAUUCUGGUGGAUUAUACCAAGUUAGGAAGUUUUCCAUUUAGAAAUUUGCUUAGCUUUACUGCCUUCUUCCAAAUGCGCUACCGUUUUAUUUGUUUGUAUGACAAUUCCCUUCGGAAAAUUAAACAGGAUAUCGGAAAUGGAGCAUCAAAUUGAAAUAGUUGCCCUUGUGGUGCACCUGAGCACUGUAUACAAUAAUUUCAUUAUCAUUAUUAUUAUAAACUUAAAUCCAGUCGAUGUUUAUUUUUAGCAUCUCUAUAACAAAAUUCUUAAACCUCAUUCCCAAUAGAACUUUUAAACAAUAUUUCCUGAAUAAUAAUAUUUGGAGAGAAAAAGGAAAAAGAAAACAAAAAAUUCAUGUGCUCUCUCACAAACCAUGCAGAUUGUGUAGUUUUGUAGUUUUCCAUUUCGAGUCAAUAGUUUUAUUGUUCCACUGUAGUUUUGCGUCCUCCCAAUUAUGUUGUAAGGGAAAUAACUCUAAUUAUUUACUUAGUUUCUUCAUAAAACUUUCGAACAAGUUCCCGAUAUUACGGCAUUAAAUAAAGUAAUUAUUUUAAGAAAAAUAAAUAAAUAAGGUUUAAGUUUAUACUACAGAAUUACUCAAUAUUUCAUUACACCAUAUUUUAAGUAAAAUAUAUAUUAACAACAUGAAGAGCAAGUAUUGUUUAUUUAAGAAUAAACAUCAUUUGUUGUUUAUUUAUAGCUGAUAUUUAUAAUUCUUUUAAUUCUUUAUCUUAUCUUCUACUUGUAUUUUUUUUUCUUUGUAGUGGUGCUUUUUUGAGAAGUGACCAUAGCAUUAAUUCUUUGACAUUGCUUCUGCAAUCGUUAUAGGAAUUCUUGGGAUCUUUUCGGUUUGAACGGCAGUUUUUUUUCUAGCGGUGUCAUAUGAAAUUGUCACCCAUAAUUAUGACCCUAGUAUCGAUCUAUUGCAUUUCAAUCUGUUUUAGGGUUAGGGGUGGGGGGAAGGGUAUCUUUUUUUUCUUCACAAAUGUAAAUAAACCUAAUUUGUUUCUUAAACGAGGGACAUAUUCAUACGGUACAGAAUGUUUUUUACCUCAAUGGACGUCAUUGAUCGGUUGAAAUUGCAGAAAUUGAAGACAAAAACAACAAAUAUCUUACAAACUAUAGAAUUUUCGUAAUAAAGCCAAGAGAAAAAGAUGUUUUAUAAACACAUUCUACCAGUAUACGAAGUUUAAAAGCGUUUAGUUACAUGGAAAUUAUUUUUAAAAAAACUGCCGUUCAAACCGAAAAGAUCCGUUAACGUUUAUAAGUUGUAUGUUUGUGUGCAAAGAAAGUAGAAAUACUAAACUGCCAAUCUAUAUAGAACAGUUCCCUUACCUCUUGACUUGAAAUCUUUCUAGAUCAACACUUCUUUCGCAUUCUUUCGGAGUAAAUAAAAUAAGUACCAGUUGAGCACUGGGGUGGCUUGUGUUUCCAGUAGAAAGGAUUAUUAUUAUCAAGAUGUACUUGCAUAGCAAGUGACCUGAUCUGAGAUCGUGUGCUGGAACGAAAACAAUUGCAGUGUGGAAGGUGUUUAUAAGCCAUUUAAAAACACACAAAAACCGUUAGAUUCACUUCAACAUUUAAAUUUAAUUUGCCAAAAUAUUUUCGUCACUUUGAGACUGCGACCUGUUCACUGACAAAAUUCCGUGCUGCAUGGAUUAUUAUUAUUAUUAUUAUUAUUAAGGCGUCGAGCUGACAGAAUUGUUAGCACGCCUGGCGAAAUGCUUAGCAGUUCUGAGUUCAAAUUCCGCCGAGGCCGACUUUGCCUUUCAACCUUUCAGGGUCGAUUAAAUAAGUACCAGUUACACACUGGGGUCGAUAUAAUCGACUUAAUCCGUGUGUCUGUCCUUGUUUGUCCUCUCUGUGUUUAGCCCCUUGUGGGUAGUAAAGAAAUAGGUAUUUCGUCUGCCAUUACGUUCUGGGCUCAAAUUUCGCCGAGGUCGACUUUGCUUUUCAUCCUUUUGGGGUCGAAUACCAGUUACACGCUGGGGCUGAUGCAAUCGACUUAAUCCCUUCCCCCAAAUUUGAGGCCUUGUACUUCCAGUAGAAAGGAUUAUUAUUAUUAUUAUUAUUAUUAUUAUUAUUAUUAUUAUUAUUAUUAAGACAGCGAACCGGCAGAAUUAUUAACACACCGGGAAAAAUGCUUCUGAGUUCAAAUUCCAGCGAGUUCGACUUUGCCUUCCAUUCUUUCAGCGUCGAUAAAAUACGAACCGGUUGAACAGUGGGGUUGAUUUAAUCGGUUUAGCCCCCACCCCACCCAAAACUGCUAAUCUCAUGCCAAAAUUUGAAAUUAUUAUUAUUGUUGUUGUUGUUGUUGUUGUUAUUUGGUGGGGAGUUUCAAUAACAUGCCAGUAGCAUGUAAAAAGCACCCACUACACUCUUGGAGUGGUUGGUGUUAGGAAGGGCAUCCAGCUGUAGUAACUCUGCCAGAUCAGAUUGGAGCCUGGUGCAGCAAUCUGGCUCACCAGUCCCUAGUCAAACCAUCCAACCCAUGCCAGCAUGGAAAGCAGACGUUAGACGAUGAUUAUCUCUCAAUGGAUGGAAUACUUUUUUUUGUUGAUCUUACCUUAUUGAGACAGUAAACUAUAUUUGUGUGUGUGUGUGUGUGUGUAUUUAACUUUAUAAAUACAGGGGUAGAAAUUAUUAAAUAAUUUAAACCAGUGGUUAACAUGCAUAAUAAAAGUCAGAAGACAUAAAUAUUUAAAAAUAUGAUAGUGUAUGAAUUAUACAUGGAGAGAAAACCACCAUGUGGAUUCCUUACAUGCUAGAAAGGGCAGUCAUAUAUAUAUAUAUCGAUAUUCUUCCCUCUGCCAUAAGGCUUCUUUCUACACGCGCCAGCUGAAUUCAAUUCGUCCUCAGUUGAAAGACGCCUGUUGUUAUGUCCUGUUAUUAUUAUUAUUAUUAUUAUUAUUAUUAUUAUUAUUAUUAUUAUUAUUAUUAUUAUUAUUAAUUAUUUUAAUUUUUAUUGUAUUUUGUAUUUAUAUUUGUGUAACAUCGUCUGUUUUCCGUCCUUGUUUUCGUAUACAUUCGAUGCUUUUUUCCAAGGAAUCUAAUACUUUUAGCUUAAUUUUUCCUUGGGGCUGGCCAGAAUGGAGUAAUCUCAAGAUUAAUCAGCUGAAAUUGCAAAGAUGAUCUGGUUCUUGAUUGAGGAUAAAAGGCUUUGAAUGACCCAUCCUUGUUUUUUUGUAUUGUCUAUCUGGAUGUUUUGUUGUCCCUUUUUGUAUCACCUAGUUGUCCGAAUGUUUUUCAUACUUGUCGCAUUUUAUAUUUUAUUAUAUAUAUAUAUAUAUAUACACAUAUAUUUGUUUGUGUUUGUUCCCUGAUUUAUUCCAGUCUUUCCUUCUAACCCAUCACUAUUCCCUUCCUUUGUCGUUCUUACAGUUGUGCAUGCUCUCUCAUACACCAACAUCACUAUCUUAACCAACCAUUCCUUUACUCUGAACAUCAAUGCCUAUGUCAGAUCAACAAACCAAAAAAUUUUCUCCCUCAUAUUCCUGAACAUCUGUUGCCACUUUACAAUGGAAAUCACAUCAGUUCUUCCAUUUCUUGGCAUAAAACAUAAAUCCAAACUGAAUUUCAAUGGUCCUCGUUUUCUUCUUUUCUUUUACUCUAAUGCUCGUCUUUCCAGUACCUUUACAUACUCCAGGGGCUCAUUUUUGCCUCUUGUAUGAAGGAGUGAGACUAUUCAAUACCCAACCACAAGAAUAUGGUAUUCUUUCAUCACCAGCCUUCAGAAUUCUGCUUUUUUCUAAACAUGCCAACUUCCUUGUUGCCAUUAACAUAUCUCCCAUAAUGCCUGUUGGUUUGUUUAAAUGGAAUUCUCUACUUGUGACUUGAAUUGUUUGUCACACAGAUCGUGCAUGCGCAUGUGUGUGUGUGUGCAUGUAUGCAUGUGCUUGGUCCAUGUUGGUGUGAAUUGGACAAGAUCUUUUGCAGUAGUAUUCUGGCACCAGAUGUCUUUCUUGUGGCCAACGCUUAUAUGCUUUCAUGUAAGCUACUUUUUCCACUGAUCUUACCUAAUUGCAAAAGAAGGAAAACACCAAGUUAUGUAGGAAAUGUUACCACUUGGAAACAGGUAAGGAUUGGUGACAGGUGGGGCAUCCAGCCAUACAAAGUUCUGCCUCUUCAUACUCUCAUCUUGCUCACGAAAGUAUGGAAAGUAGGCGUUAGAACAAGGACAAUGAGAGGUAAAGAACUUCACAGUUGUACACAAGCAGCAUCUUCAAAAUAUCAUAUGUGUGUCUGUAUUUGGGUGAAGGUACAUGGCUUAGGGGUUUGAGUGUCGAGCUUGUAAUCAUGAAGUUCUGAGUUCAAUUCCUGGACCAAGCUGUGUAUUGUGUUCUUGAGCAUGUAAAGCGCACUAUAUAAAGCACCCGUAAAGCACACUAUCCGUGCAUGAUCGAUGCCAGGCCCACCUGACUGGCUCCUGUGCCGGUAGCAUGUAAAAAGCACCCAUUACAACUCUUGGAGUUGUUGGUAUUAGGAAGAGCAUCCAGCUGUAGAAACUCUACCUGAUCAGAUUGGAGCCUGGUGCAGCCACUGACUCUCCAGACCUCAGUCAAACCGUCCAACCCAUCCCAGCAUGGAAAACGGACGUUAAACGAUGAUGAUGAUGAAUUGUGCUGAUUAAACAUACAUGUGUAUGUAUAUAUAUAUAUAUAUACUCAAGAAUAUUCUGAAGCAAUGAGUUAACUGUAUCUUUUUUUUUGUUUUUCUUUUUUUUAUAUCUAGUUUUUAGAGUUGUCAAUAUACCACCAUGGUGAAAUCUCCGCUCUCCAGUAGCAAAAAAUGCAAGCCUACACUUGGUUUGCUGCUGAAAAUGUAACUUAGCAGACUUCUCAAAGACCAGCAUGGCAUGGAACUGGAUUGCUGUACACACUGCUUAAAUCAGUGUUGACCAAAUAUUCUUACACAUCAUGAGGCUUCCCAAGAGGUAACAGAAGCACCAAUUUGUUUCUCUCUCUGUAUCUCUCUCCCUGUCCCUUUCUUUCUCUCUUUAUUUCUUUCUUACUCUCUAUCUGUCUAUCUAUCUAUCUAUCUAUCUAUCUAUCUAUCUAUCUAUCUAUCUAUCUAUCUAUCUAUCUAUCUCUCUAUCUCUCUAUCCUUUCUUCAUAUCUCUCUUGUUCUCUUUUUCUCUGUCUUUGUUUACCCCCCUGUUAUUUGCUUAUAUGUACACACAUUUGUGAGUAUAUAUUCAUGUGUAUAUGUAUGUGCAUGUGUGUGUGUGUGUGAGUGCAUGCACAUUUAUUACACGCAUGCAUAUAUGUGUGUAUGUAUAUAUGUAUAGAUAUUUAUUUGUAUGCGUGUGUUAUAUGUGCGUGCGGAUGUGCAUAUAUAUUAUAUGCAUACACAUAUAUUAUAUAUAUAUAUAUAUAUAUAUAUAUAUAUAUUAUAUAUUAUAUAUUAUACACAUGUGUAUGCAUUUAUCUGUUUAUUUGUAUAUAUGUGUGUGUGUGUGUGCAUAGACAUAUCUACUAUGCACAUGCACAUAUGUGUAUGUAUGUAUAUUUAUUUGUGUGUGUGUGCAUGCAUGCAUAUAUAUAUCACAUGCAUGCACAUAUAUGCGUAUGUAUAUUUAUUUGUAUAUACAUAUAUGUAUGUGUAUGUGUGUGUUUGUUUCUUUCCUUUUCUUUACUUUGUCGUUAUUAUGUGCAUCCUCAUGUUUGUACAUGUGUGUGUGUGUGUGUGUGUGUAUAUAUGUAAACACACACACAUGUAUAUAUUUGUUCCUUUCCCGUUCUUCUCACUUUCUUCUUCAUAACUAGUACAUGUGUUCCAUAAAUGUAAACACAUCACUAUCACCAUUUAUACCCAGUUCCAUUACUCCUGCUUCUGUAGUUAUCAUUGCUUGCGAUAUUUUCUCUACCUCAUCUCCAUCAUCCUAGCUGAAAAUAUAAACCGAAAGUAUAUAUAUAUCGGAGUCCAGAUACAUCCCCGACCUAGUGUUCCGCGAUUCGAGCGAGGUAGUCGUUGUAGACGUAACUGUCAGAUACGAGCAAGGUGCGGCGCUGAGGGGCGCUGCGUGGCAACUUGGGCAAGUGUCUUCUGCUAUAGCCCCGGGCCGACCAAUGCCUUGUGAGUGGAUUUGGCAGACGGAAACUGAAAGAAGCCUGUCGUAUAUAUGUGUAUAUAUAUAAGUGUGUGUGUAUAUGUUUGUGUGUCUGUGUUUGUCCCCCUAGCAUUGCUUGACAACCGAUGCUGGUGUGUUUACGUCACCGUCACUUAGCGGUUCGGCAAAAGAGACCGAUAGAAUAAGUACUGGGCUUACAAAGAAUAAGUCCCGGGGUCGAUUUGCUCGACUAAAGGCGGUGCUCCAGCAUGGCCGCAGUCAAAUGACUGAAACAAGUAAAAGAGAGUAAAGAGUAUAUAUAUAUAUAUAUAUAUAUAUAUAGGGAGAAUUCACAAAAAAAAAACAAAAGAUGAAGACAGGUGGUGUAGAGAACAAUAUAUAUAUAUAUAUAUAUAUCACAACACUUUGGUUAGCCCAAGGGUGUAGCAGAAGACACUUGCCCAAGGUGCCACACAGUGGGACUGAACCCAGAACUAUGUGAUUGGUAAGCAAGCUACUUACCACACUACCCCACAGAGCCACUCCUGUGUCUAUAUAUAUAUAAACACAUAUAUAUAUAUAUGACAGGCUUCAUUCAGUUUCUAUCAACCAAAUCCACUGACAAGGCUUUAGUUGACCAGAGAAUACAGUAGAAGACGUUUGUGCAAAGUUCCACGUAGUGGUACUAAACUUUUUUAUGUUUCUCUCCUUCUCUCUUCUCCCCCUCUCUUCUCCCUGUCCAUCUUUCUCUCCCUCCCCCCACUCUCUCUCUCUCUCGCUCUCUCUCUCUGUUUUAUAUGGGUAAGCAUAUCUCUCUUUGUGAGACGAAGAAAGAAAAUUAUUGAUAUCACUCAUGCUCAUUUAAUGAAUUGUAAGCUCUCUCUCUCUUUCUCUCUCUCUCUCUCUCUCUCUCUCUCUCUCUCUCUCUCUUAUCUCUCACUAUCCCUGCAUGUAUAAACAUACACACACACACACACACAUACACACAAACACACACAUAUUUAGAAAUAACUAUACAAACACAAAGCCUUCUACUAUAUGAAUCUGAUGAUAAAGUUGGAAUUGAAAAUGUUCAUUCCUGUAUCAACAUCAUCAUCAGCAGCAGCAGCAUUGUCAUCAUCUUCUAAAUUUGAUACUUGAACAGUGAUUGUCAAUUGCUUACAUUUAAAAUGCAUUAAGACUAACAGACACACAAACGGAUAAGUAGGUAGGUAGGUAGGUAGUAGGUUGAUAAGUAAUUGGUAGCCAGCUAGAGAGAUAGGUAAAACAAAUAUAUAGUCAGAGAGACAUACAGACAGAUAGAUAGAGAGAGGGGGAGGGGAGAGAGAGGGAGGGAGAGAUAGAGAUAUGAAGGUAGGUAGAGAGAUAGGUAAACAAAUAUAUAGUCAGAGAGACAUACAGACAGAUAGACAGAUAGAUAGAGAGAGAGAGAGAGAGAGAGAAAGGGGAGAGAGAGAGGGGGAGGGAUAGAGAUAUGAAGGUAGGUAGAGAGAUAGGUAAACAAAUAUAUAGUCAGAGAGACAUACAGACAGAUAGACAGAUAGAUAGAGAGAGAGAGAGAGAGAGGGAUAGAGGUAUGAAGGUAGGUAGGUUAAUAAGUAAUUGGUAGCUAGCUAGGGAGAUAGGUAAACAAAUAUAUAGACAGAGAGACAGACAGAUAGAUAGAGAGAGAGAGAGAGAGAGAGAGAUAGGCGGGGUAGAGAUAUGAAGGUAGGUGGGUAGGUUAAUAAGUAAUUGGUAGCUAGCUAGAGAGAUAGGUAAACAAAUAUAUAUAUUUCUUUAUUGCCCACAAGGGGCUAAACAUAGAGGGGACAAACAGGGACAGACAAAGGGAUUAAGUCGUUUACAUCGACCCCAGUGCGUAACUGGUACUUUAUUUAUCGACCCCGAAAGGAUGAAAAGGCAAAGUCGACCUCGGCGGAAUUUGAACUCACAACGUAACGACAGACGAAAUACGGCUACGCAUUUCGCCCGGUGUGCUAACAUUUCUGCCAGCUCGCCGCCUAUCGACAGACAGAUAGAGAGAGAGAGAGAGAGGGAGAGGGAGGAGAGAUAUGUAGGUAGAUAGGUAAACAGAUAAAUAGACCGACAGAUAUAUGAAGCAUAAGCAACUGUACCCACUCUCUUUUGUUACAGAUAUAUUUCUGGGCCAACAUUUAGAUUUCUCAGUCACAAUCCUCCUCUCACAGUGCUUCCAUGACAACACCAGAUUAUUACCAAGCAUGAGAUAAUCAAAGAGUACGACAUAUUUCGAAUUACAAUUAACAUUCUGAAGCAGUGGAGCUACCUUUAGCAUUUUAACACAUACAGAAUGUACUUCUGCCAUUUGCGUAAAAUGGUUCUCCAUUGGUUAUGACGAUCAACCCGAACAGCCUGCUUGUGAAAUUAAUGUGCAAGUGGCUGAGUACUCCACAGACAUGCAUACCACAGCUUUUGAGAUAGGGGUUUCUAACCUAGUCCAGUCACUUCCUCGCCUCUUUGUACAUGUCCCUGUAAAUUUUGGAGCCAAUCCAACCCCAUCUACCAGCCCUUAAACCGUUCCCAUCCCAAAAUGAGACGAACAACUUUUUCGCAUUUCAGCUUUAUAGAUAUUGAUAAUAAUGAACUUAUUGUAUACAGUACCCAGGUGCACUACAAAUCAUCAGAAAAAGUAACCAAAACUGCAUGAACAGUACAUAGAAUAUGCACAGGAAAAAGUCUUUUUUUCCUGUGAAAAAGUCUUUUAAUGGAAAAAAAAAGGAAGAAGAAGAAACAGUGGAGCAUCAGGUGUACUGUUGGUGAAUUUAAAGAAGUGUGGAAGUUUUGAAGGAUGUAGUGUCUUGACAGUUAACAACUGAUGCAGGUAGUUUAUUCCAUGCUUCAGCAAUUCUGACCUUGAACGAAUGUUUCCGAAAGUCAUGGGUAAUGGCAUUUAAAUUUCAUUUUACAGAUUUGUGGAGCAUUCAUGGUUGGUGUGUCCUCUUAAUAUUACUUUGACAUUGGGGUGUGUUCAUGGAAAGGAAAACUAUAGUUCAAGCAUGCAUCACAUUGUAGACCUGCUUUUAAAUAUACUCUAUAUGAAAUGUUAAAGUUCGGGUACCCUUUGCAUUAUUUAUGAAUUAUUAAACACCUUUUAUGUUGCUUAUGAAUUGAUGCAAAUGCUGUGCAUGUGUGUGUGUGUGUUAAAAAGAAGGUGUUUGUAGAUGUUAGAAAAUGUUAAGUUUGAAAGUCUGAGUACUCAUCAAACCCUUUUAAUGUUGCUUGUGAAUUGAUAUAAACAAAUCGUGUGUGUGUGUGUGUGUCUGUUAAAAACAAAAUACAUAUAUGUAUAAAAGUGCACAUGUCUGUGUGUGUGUGUGUGUGUGUGUGUAGCAAAACAAAACUGGAGAGUUUGUUUAUAAAAUAGUUACUUACAUCAUCUUACAUGUUUUUCAUUGACAAAGAAUUGAUUGUCAGUUAUAUAUAAUCUAAUUGCAUUGUCAAAUCUUCAGAGAUGCAUAACCCUCAUUUGUAAUUUUACUGGAUUAAUGAGUGCUCAAGAAUAUACAUGAAUACUGGUUAUUUAUAUAUAUUUAUAUAAGCACACUCACACACACACACUCGCAUAGUGUGUGUGUGCUUUUAAUAAAAAAAAAGCACCCACUAUACUCUUAGAGUGGUUGGCAUUAGAAAGGGCAUCCAACUGUAGAAACUUUGCCUGAUCAGAUUGGAGCCUGGUGCAGCCUUCUGGCUUGCCAGCCCUCGGUCAAACCGUCCAACCCAUGCCAGCAUGGAAAGCAGCGGUUAAAUGACAAUGAUGCUGAUGAUGAUGCUCAAAAUACCUGGUUUGAACUUUCCAAACAAAUCAACACAUGAAAUGUCUAAAUGUCAAGAUAAAUUGUUAUGAAGAUUAUAAUUUUCAAUUAGUUUGAUCUCCAGUCAUUAUCAAGUAUCGUAUUCCAGCAAAGUACACAUGCGUAGGAGUGGCUGUGUUGUAAGUAGCUUGCUUACCAACCAUAUGGUUCUAGGUUCAGUCCCACUGUGUGGCACCUUGGGCAAGUGUCUUCUACUAUAGCCUUGGACCAACCAAAGCCUUGUGAGUGGAUUUGGUAGACGGAAACUGAAAGAAACCCGUCGUAUAUAUGUAUAUAUAUGUUUGUGUGUUUGUGUUGGUCCUCCCAACAUUGCUUAACAACCAAUGCUGGUGUGUUUACGUCCUCAUAACUUAGCAGUUUGGCAAAAGAGACCGAUAGAAUAAGUACUAAGCUUACAAAGAAUAAGUCCUGGGGUCGAUUUGCUCAACUAAAGGUGGUGCUCCAGCAUUGUCACAGUCAAAUGACUGAAACAAGUAAAGGAGAGUAAUCCCUACUUUCUAUUUUUUAAAUUUCCAGGCAUUUUGCAAUAUGGAGGGAAACCUCUUCAUAAUGCCCACAAAGGAAACUUGAGGUUUCUUACUCAACAACAAGUAAAACCAUACAAGUCCUGAGUCAGCUAAGGAGUGGCCUCUGUGGAGUACCUCAGAUUGCUAGAAACAGCAACUCUUAUUUUAAUAGUGUUAAGGUGACGAGCUGGCAGACUCACUAGCAUGCAGAACAAAACACUUGGCAGCAUUUUGUCUGUCUUUACGGGCUGAGUUCAAGUUCUGCCAUGGUUGACUUUGCCUUUCAUCCUUUUGGGGUCGAUAAAAUAAGUACCAGUUGAGUACUGGGGUCGAUGUAAUCAGCUUACCCACUCUCCUGAAAUUGCUGGUCUUGUACCAAAAUUUGAAAUCAGUAGUUCACUGUUUCCAAAAUAGGCAAGAAUACAUUCAACAAUGCUGUUUGGCAUGAAAUUAAAAAGAAGAAAUUAGUCAAAGCCAGAAUAUCUUUGAUCAUAAGCCUACAUAUCUGGGAUUAAAACCGAUUAAAUCCUUUAAUCUUUUAGCAUUCAGAUUUCUGUACUUAUUUAUUCACUUUGUUGUUUUGAGAUUUAGAUGAUGUGGUUGCUUAUUUUUGACAUGUAGAAGCACCAGUGCCAAUGACACAUGGAAACACCUGUGCCAGUGGGACGUAGAAGCAUCUGUGCUAGUGGCACAUAGAAGUACCUGUGCCAAUGACACAUAGAAACACCUGUGCCAGUGGGACAUAGAAGCACUUGUACCAGUGGCGCAUAGAAGCACCUGUGCCAGUGGCAUGUAGAGGCACCUGUGCUAGUGGGACGUAGAAGCCCUUGUGCCAGUAGCAUGUAGAAGCACCUCUGCCAGUGGCACAUAGAAGCACCUGUGCCAGUGGGACAUAGAAGCACUUGUGCCAGUGGCACAUAAAAGCACCUGUGCCAGUGGGACGUAGAAGCAUCUGUGGCAGUGGUACAUAGAAGUACCUGUGCCAAUGACACAUAGAAACACCUGUGCCAGUGGGAUGUAGAAGUACUUGUGCCAGUAGCAUGUAGAGGCACCUGUGCUUGUGGGACGUAGAAGCACUUGUGCCAGUGGCACGUAGAAGCACCUGUGCCAGUGGAACAUAGGAGUACCUGUACCAGAGGUACGUAGAAGCUCCUGUGCCAGUGACACAUAAAAGCACCUGUGCUGGACACACAUAAAAGCAUCUGUGCUGGUGACAUGUAAGAGCACCUGUGCAAGUGAUACAUAAAAACAUCCAUGCUAGUGACACAUAAAAGACACCCACUACACUCUUGGAGUGGUUGGCAUUACAAAGGGCAUCCAGCCAUAGAAACCAAGCUAAAAUCAGACUGGAACCUGGUACAGCUCCCCAGUUUACCAGUUCCAGUCAAACUGUCUAACCCAUGCCAGCAUAGAAAGCACACAUCAAAUGAACAUAAAACAUGUAUAAUAUUUUGACUGCAUUUGGCCAGUUUAAAUACUAAGGAGUUAAAAUUAAAGCUGUUUACCCUGUUAUUUCUAGCAAUCUGAGGUACCACAUACAGGCUACUCCUUUGUUCACCCAUCCGUUCCAUGGUUUGGCUUCUAGUAGAGUGAGAAACCUCAAGCGUCCUUUGUGGACGUUAUGAAGAGGUCUCCUCUUUAAUAUUACUGUGGGUUUAUUCCAACAAAACACCCAAAAUUUUGACAUAAAAAAAAAAAUUCCCUUCCAUGCUUAUAUGGAGGGAAAGAAAACUGGUGGGGAGGUUGAUAGUAAAUAAUAAAAACAAACCUGUAUAGAAGGUAUUUGCUUUUGCUCCUUGAUCAUCAUCAUCAUCAUCAUCAUUAUCGACAUGUUCAUAGUGAUCACCCUUAACAAUAGUUAGUUGAGGGUGGUAUUCUUCUUUUUCUUUCUCUUUAUUUUUUUUUUUAUCCUUUUUCCCUUGUUCAGUCCUUCAAAACUAUUUUCUUCCCUCUUUCCUCUUUCUAAAAUUAUAUCUUGCAUUCAAUACCAUUUUAUUUUAUUUACUCUCUCUCUCUCUCUCUCUCUUUCACUCCUCCCACCCCCGCCAUUUCCAAACAGGCUUGCAUUGAAAAGGUUUCCCUAUUUAUUGACUGCUUAUAUUUUAUUCCAGAAUGUCUCCUUUCCCUAACUAAAGUGUCUACUUGUUUUUCACUGUAUGUCAACAGGAUACAGAAGAGACUCAAGUGUUUGGUUUACCCACUUCUAUUAAUGCUACAACCUACUACUACUACUACUACCCUUGCCCAAUUUUUACUUUAUCUCCUCUCACUUUCUACAUCUCUCUCUCUCUCCCUCUAUCUAUCUAUCUAUCUCUCUAUUUUCCUCAUGUAAACACCAUCUAUUUCUUUUUUUGUAUAUUGUUGCUUAUUUUACUAGUUCUUUAUCCAGAUAGAUCCCCUUCCUGUAAUACGGGUUGUUUCUUUACCACCGUUUUUAUUCAUUUUCUGUUCUAUUCAAAAUUGGAACUGAUAACUUCCUCUAUUCCUUGCUACGGAUUAUCAGUGAACACUCUCAUUUGAAACUGCUAAUGGACAUUACCUGUAAUUGCAUUAUUUAUUCGAUUAUAGAACUACCCAACAUAUACAUAUUUUACUCUGAUCCUUCCCCCAUUUUUGACAAACUGGAAUAUAUAUUGGUAUCCUCGAAGGCGGCGAGCUGGCAGAAAUGUUAGCACGCCGGGCGAAAUGCUCUGCGGUAUUUCGCCUGCCGCUACGUUCUGAGUUCAAAUUCCGCCGAGGUCGAGUUUGCCUUUCAUCCUUUCAGGGUCGAUAAAUUAAGUACCAGUUACGCACUGGGGUCGAUGUAAUCGACUUAAUACCUAUGUCUGUCCUUGUUUGUCCCCUCUAUGUUUAGCCCCUUGUGAGUAAUAAAGAAAUAGGUAUCCUCGAUUGAGGACAUUCCCUCAUUUUUACAUCUCCCUGACUUCUUUCUCUCUGAUGACGGUGUGCUCAGCUUAUGGAGUCCUUAUUCAAUAAUAUGAUCUACUUGCUUGGCUAUUUUAGAAACAGCUGUAAGAGACUCUGUAUACUCUUUUACUUGUUUCAAUCAUUUGACUGUGACCAUGCUGGAGCACCGCCUUUUAGUUGAACAAAUCGACCCCAGGACUUAUUCUUUGUAAGCCUAGUACUUAUUCUAUCGGUCUCUCUUGCCGAACCACUAAGUGACGGUGACAUAAACACACCAGCAUCGGUUGUCAAGUGAUGUUGGAGGGACAAACACAAACAUAUACAUACAUACAUAUGGUGCAUACAUAUAUAUAUAUAUAUACGACGGGUUUCUUUCAGUUUCCGUCUACCAAAUCCACUCACGAGGCUUUGGUCAGCCCGAGGCUAUAGUAGAAGACACUUGCACAAGAUGCCACUCAGUGGGACUGAACCCAGAACCAUGUGGUUCAUAAGCAAGCUACUUACCACACAGCUACUCCUGUGCCUGUAAAGAUAAUGAAUGCUUACAGCACCUAGGUUUCCCAAGCGGUCACCCACCUAAGUACUAACUAGGCUCGACGUUGCUUAACUUUGGUGAUCGGACAAGAACCGGUGCUUUCAACGUGAUAUGGCCAUAAGCAUAUGUUCAACUGGUACUUAUUUUAUCCACCUUAAAAGGAUGAAAGGCAAAAUUGACCUUGGCAGAAUUUGAACUCAGAACGUAAAGACAGGUGAAAUGCUGCUAAGCAUGUUGACUGGCACAGUAAUGAUUCUGCCAGCUUGCUGCCUUACAUAUAAUUCAGGUGUUCUUAUCCAGUAAGUUCACUGUCAAUCAAUUCAUCACAGGGAAAAUUCACCAUCAUCGACUCACCAUUUUUUUUAUAAAAUAGUUUCUAACUAUUAGUGGUAAGAUACUACAGAUAUAUAUUCCCGGUAAACUUUCCUCACGGUGAACUUACCUCACAGUGUCCAAAAUUAAGGGAAGAAGCUUGUCAGUUAUUCACAGGGCCCUUCCGUGAGUGUCCAUAUAGAAGGGGCUGUUUGUUAUUUAGAAAAGGUUCAACAUAAAUAACUCCAUCUUACUACUACAGCAUUUCCUGCUUGGAUGGCUGGAUGUUUAGUGUAAAUCUUUGACGUACCACCUUGGGCAAGUAUCUUCUACUACAGCCUCAGGCCGACCAAAGCCUUGUGAGUGGAUUUGGUAGACGGAAACUGAAAGAAGCCCAUCGUAUAUAUAUAUGUGUGUGUUUGUAUAUGUUUGUGUGUCUGUGUUUGUCCCUGCAACAUCACUUGACAACCGAUGCUGGUGUGUUUACGUCCCUGUAACUUAGCGAUUCAGCAAAAGAGAUUGAUAGAAUAAGUACUAGGCUUACAAAGAAUAAGUCGUGGGGUCGAUUUGCUCGACUAAAGGCGGUGCUCCAACAUGGCCGCAGUCAAAUGACUGAAACAAGUAAAAUAGUAAGUGACUACCGAAAUAUUCAAUUGCUGUGAAAUAGAUGGCCUCUCCCACUUCAUUGUUGAACAGGUUAACAUUAGAAGAAAAACCCAAGCUUUUGACUCAUUACUGGGUAAUAACAUGCUUGAAAGAACUGAUACUUGUCAUGAUUUCAUGUCACUAAUGGUGAGAAUUUAGCUUGUUCACUACUAAGCUUUACAAAUUUCUGUUAUAAAAAUAGCAUUUUGUUGAAAUAGUCACGACCAUCCUUUCUAUGGUAUUGUUUGUUGUGUUGGAGGUUUUUGUUCAGAUCAGGAUAUAGGUGUCAUAAGUGCAAGAGUUUGACGCACAUCAAAUGGUUAAGGAGCUUACAUCACGCACCCACUACACAAUGGAAUUAUACACACAGGUAUGAUUCCAUUGUGCAGUGCCUUGAGCAAGUAUCUCUUACCAUAGGUAACAAAUUAGCAGAGUCAUUUGAUCACUAGACAAAAUAGCUACUGGUGCAACUAUGAUGUUCGCCACUUAGGGGCAGCCCUUGUGUUUACCCUGCUCCCUAUUCAGGUUUAUACAGCAGGUCUAAAAGUGGUGUUCACAUAAAAGUGUCACCCACAGCAGACUGUCCCCAUCACUGCAGUCCCUCAUAGCCUCCAGUUACACUACUGAAAAAUGCAGUGUGGCUCCAGCUUCCUGUAUUUUGAGGAAGUCUCUCUGCGAUCAACUUUGCCCUUCAUCUUUCCAAGAUCAACUAAUAAAGUACCAAUCAAGUACUACAGUGGACUGGUGGAAAUUGUAUGAUUAUCAGAUGAAAUACCUUGUGGUAUUCAUUCCGACUCUGAACAUUCUCACUGCAAAUCCCAUCAUAUCCAUCCUGUUUGCUACACUUAAUCCCUCAGCCAGUGUAACACCCUUCUAUGGACUCUGCUAAAGGCAGCCAAGGACAAGACCAGGUCCUUGGCUGCCUUUAGCAGAGUCUAUUUGAUUGCAAGCAGGCAUUCAGGCCAUGUCACUAGUUUGUUUACCUUUUAUCUCUUUGUUGCGACUUGUUUCAGCCGUUAGACUGUGGCCAUGCUGGGGCACUAGAUUAUACUGCUUACAUACAUAUAUUUAUAUAUAUAUAUUUAUUUUUAUAUAUUGUUGUUGUUUGUUCCUUCUCGAGCCAUGCCUGGCUCAUAGGGCCAAAUUCCUGGCUUCCUUGGCAUAUAGGUUCCCCACCUGGACGGGACGCCGAUCCAUCGCAGGUGAGCUGCAAGAUGCAGGAGGAAAAAAUGAGUGAGAAAGUUGUGGCGAAAGAGUCAGAAGAAGUUCGCCAUUACCUUCUGCCAGAGCCGCAUAGAGCUUAGGUGUUUUGCUCAUAGACAUACACAUCGCUCCGUCUGAGAUUCGAACCCACGAUCCCUUGACUGCGAGUCUGCUGCUCUAACCACGAGGCCAUGUGCCUCCAUUUUUAUAUAUAUUUAUAUAUAUUUAUUUAUGUAUAUAUAUAUUGAUUUGGAAAUUAGUUUUCCCAAAAUAUUUAUUUAUAUAUAUAUAUACACACACACACACACAUACAUAUAUAUAUUAUUGCGAUCCCUCGACCGCGAGUCCACUACUCUAACCACAAGGCCAUGUGCCUCCAUCUUUUUUUAUAUAUAUAUAUAUAUAUAUAUAUAUAUAUAUAUAUAUAUAUAUAUAUAUAUAUAUAUAUAUAUAUAUAUAUAUAUAUACACACACACACAUAUAUAUAUAUAUGUUUGUGUGUGUGUAUGGCCUUAGGAAAGGCAUCCAGCUGUAGAAACUCUGCCAGAUCAGAUUGGAGCCUGGUGCAGCCAUCUGGCUCGCCAGUCCUCAGUCAAACCAUCCAACCCAUGCCAGCAUGGAAAGUGGACGUUAAACGAUGAUGAUGAUGAUGAUGAUGAUAUAUAUAUAUAUACACACACACACACACACACACAUACAUAUAUAUAUUAUUGUGUCUGGGGAGAGUCCUUCUCUUUUUGUGCCUUAUUAUUUAACACACUCACCAGUUCAAUUUCCACUCAUUUAAUUACUUAUUUUUUCUAAAAUUUUCAUUGCACCUUGCAACCUUUUCAAUUUUUUAUAUAUAUAUAUAUAUAUAUAUAUAUAUAUAUAUAUAUAUGGCAAGCUUCUUUCAGUUUCCAUAUGCCAAAUUCACCCAGUAGGCUUUGGUCAGCCCAAGGCUAUAGCAGAAGACACUUACCCAAGGUGUGUGUGUGUGUGUGUGUGUAUGGUUGCCUAAAUAUCAUGUGAUGGUUGUAAAUGAGCAUCAUCAUCAUCAUUAUCGUUAUCAUACAUGAAAAGUUGCUCAUUUGUAAUCUUCCAUGGAAAAUAUGUCUGGCCUUGGAGAAAUGUCACCUCACUUGGAAACAGGUGAGGGUUGGAGGGAAAAGGAAAGGACAUCCAGCUGUGGAAACUCUGCCUCGACAAAUUCCGUCUGACCCAGGCAAGCAUGGAAAAGCGGAUAUUGAGUUAUGAUAGUGGUGAUGAUGAUGAUGAUGAUGAUGUGGAUGAUGAUGAUGACAACAACGAGGAUGCUGAUAACGACAACAACAAUGAUGAUGAUGAUAAUGAUGAUGGUCAUGAUGAUGAUGAUGCUGAUGAUGGUGGUGGUGAUGACAAUGAUGCUAAUGAUGACGAUGACAAUGAUAAUGUUGGCGAUGACGAUGAUGACAAUACAAUGAUGAUGACGAUGACGAUGAUGAUCAUGAUGAUGAUGAUGGUAAUGCGGAUGAUGAUGAUGAUAAUGAUGCUACUGAUCACGAUGAUGAUGGUCAUGAUAAUGAUGAUGGUGGUGGUGAUGACAAUGAUGCUAAUGAGGACAACGAUGAUGACGAUGAUGAUGAUGUAAACAGUAUUACUUACAGUGUAUUUAUUUUGUUUGUUUCUUUUCUUUUGUUUUUUUCCUAGAUGAGACACAAAUGUUGAAUAUAACAGAAGUUGACCUCAAAAGGAAAAACAUUUCACAACCAAAUGAAUAAGUAAGCUAUUAUGUUAUUUCAUAUUGUUUUUAACCAUUUUUUCUUUUUGUUUCCAUACUGACUCCUUAUAAUUACUUGCCUACAAUCAAUCGACUUAGAAAAUAACGAGGAAUUCAAGAAAAUGACUUUGUGAUUACUUCAGCUGGUAUUUGGAACAUUAAAGUAAAAAUUUUGAUGGAAAGGUUUAAUCUGGAUCUCUUUAAAUCUUUAGCGUUCAGAUUUCUCUGUCAAAUGUAAUUCUUAUUUUAUUCACAUAGUUUUUGAAUUAAUCAUGCAUUAUCUUCCAGAUUUUGAUGAUGUGAUUGCUUGUUAUUAGAAUAACACUGUAGGGUAGGUGUGAGAGGCCAGAUCUGGCCUGUUUGAACGUAAAACAGGAAGAAUAUUUGGGCUGGAUAUGGUUGGGUUAAAUGCUAAAGUUUUGACACUCUCUUUUACUUGUUUCAGUCACUUGACUGCGGCCAUUCUGGAGCACCGCCUUUAGUCGAGCAAAUGGACCCCAGAACUCUUUGUAAGCCUAGUACUUAUUCUAUUGGUCUCUUUUGCCAAACCGCUAGGUUACGAGGACGUAAACACACCUGCAUCAGUUGUCAAGCGAUGUUGGGGGGACAAACACACACACAAACAUACACACACAAAUGUAUAUAUACGACAGGCUUCUUUCAGUUUCCUUCUACAAAUCCACUCACAAGGCUUUGGUCAGCCGAGGCUAUAGUAGAAGACACUUGCCCAAGGUGCCACGCAGUGGGACUGAACCCGGAACCAUGUGGUUCAUAAGCAAGCUACUUACCACACAGCCACUCCUACGUCUGUUUGAUCAAAUGUAAUGUUUACUUCGUCACACUGAUUUGAAUUUACCAUGUAUUAUCUCAUAGCUCUGAGAUUUUGAUGACAUUAUUGUUUAUUCUAAGAAUGACAUUGUAGGGUAGGUAUGACAAGUCAGAUGUGGUCAGCUUGAACAUGGAGCGGGAUAGGGCCAAUUUAAAUGGUAAAGGGUUAAAACAGAAAGUUUAUAUCAUAGCACUAGGGUUGAUCACAGGCAGGUUGGUAUCAAAAGAGUUAAGCGGUGUUUCGCAUGGCCAGAAGGCAAAGAAGUGGGUUACUUUGAGCUGAUUGCGUUUAAGCAGACAAUUAACAUUGGCACGAAGAUAUUUAACUGGAAGUCCAGAUGUUACAAAUUGAUUUUUUCUUUUUGUAUGCUAGCUAUUCAGUGCAUCAGUUUAGACUGCAACCAUGCCAUAGUUUGCUAUGCAGCAGCUGGUUGAUGGAGUGAAGCAUUGUAGCUAUAGUAUACCAUUAUUAUGGUAUUAAAAAUAUUUAAAAGAAAACACAAAGUUGAGGUAAAAAAAUAAAAAAAAAGAAAAUACAAGCAUACAGGGUGUAUAAAGUUUACACUCAGGAAAAAUUAAAAGUCUUAUAUUUCGAGAAUAUUCUCUUUCUGCAGAAACAAUAGACAAGGAGAGAAGAAAAAAUGCAGAGAAAAAGUACAAGUGUAUCUGAAAUAGCUGGUCAUUCAUUGUAUGGUAAAAUGACUGAAAGAGGAAGAGGGUGCUAGAGAUGUGAGUGGCAUGAUGGUUAUCUUGUAUAAUGGGAGCUUGGGAGUAUGUGGCAUUUUUGGUACAGCAAUUUCGGUGACACCUAUUUGACAUCGAUGAUUCAACACUGACUUAUUUGACGUUAGAUGCUUUAAUGUCCCUUUAGUUCUCUCCCAAACCCCCUCAUUCUCUGUCUCUGUCUAUUUCUCUCUCUCUCUCUCUCUCUCUCUCUUUGUGUGACCAUCUAGUUAUGCUUGUAGGCAUGUGUAAUGUCUCUUACUUUCUAUAUAUACAUGAGUGUGUGUGUGCACAUAUAUUUCUGUAUGCAUGUGUGUGUGUAUGUGUUCAUGUGUAUGUGUUCAUUUAUUUCUGUGUGUGUGUGUGUGCACGCGCAUAUAUUUCUGUAUGCAUGUGUGUGUGUAUGUGUUCAUUUAUUUCUGUGUGUGUGUGUGUGUGUGUGUGUGUGCGCGCGCAUAUAUUUCUGUAUGCAUGUGUGUGUGUAUGUGUUCAUUUAUUUCUCUGUGUGUGUGUGUGCAUAUAUUUCUGUAUGCAUGUGUGCGCGCAUAUAUUUCUGCAGCCUGGUGCAGCCUCCUGGCUUGCCAGUCCUCAGUCAAGCUGUCCAACCCAUGCAAUCAUGGAAAGCAGAUGUUAAACGAUGAUGACGAUGAUGAUGUGUGUGUGUGUGUGUGUGCAUAUAUUUCUGCAGCCUGGUGCAGCCUCCUGGCUUGCUAGUCCUCAGUCAAACCUAUGCCAGCAUGGAAAGCAGAUGUUAAACAAUGAUUAUGAUAAUGAUGACGAUGAUGUGUGUGUGUGUGUUUGCCAUCAAUGCCCAAAAGCACUGUCACCAAAAUAGGCCAAAUGUCCAGUCAGCCCUGCAACAUUGUCAGCAUCCAAACAGCCACACCCUAUCAUUGCAUUCUCUAGUAGAUUUAAGUAGUUAUUCAAUUCAACCAUUCAACAAAAUUGAUUGGACCCUGAAGACUGUAUCCAAAUUGCUCUGGCAUUAAAAUACCUCAGUUUUGAUGUAUCUGUUACAAAAAUGAAACAUCAUUUCUUCAAAACCUGAAGUGAAAAUAUUUCUAGAAAAAUCAUUUUGUUGCAUUACGAGGAUAUUAAUUUAUUUUAUCUCGUUUGUUUUAUGCUUGUUAUAUUUAUAAUUGUAAUUCUUCAUAUAAACAGAGGAGUGUUUAUAAGUGCAGCAGUGGCUGUGUGGUAAGUAGCUUGCUGACCAACCACAUGGUUCUGAGUUCAGUCCCACAGUGUGGCACCUUGGGCAAGUGUCUUCUACUAUAGCCUCGGGCCAACCAAAGCCUUGUGAGUGGAUUUGUUAGACGGAAACUGAAAGAAGCCCAUCAUAUAUGUGUGUAUAUAUAUAAAUAUAUAUGUAUGUGCCGGUGGCACGUAAAAAGCACCCGCUACACUCGCAGAGUGGUUGGCGUUAGGAAGGGCAACCAGCUGUAAAAACACUGCCAGAUCAGACUGGAGCCUGGUGUAGACCCUGGCUUCCCAGACCCCGGUCGAACCGUCCAAACCGUGCUAGCGCGAAAAACGGGCGUUAAACGAUGAUGAUGAUGUAUGUGUGUGUAUAUGUUUGUGUGUCUGUGUUUGUCCCCCCCACAUCACUUGACAAUCGAUGCUGGGUGUUUAUGUCCCCGUAACAGCAGUUCGGCAAAAGAUACCGAUAGAAUAAGUACUAGGUUUACAAAGAACAAGUCCUGAUGUCGAUUUGCUCAACCAAAGGCGGUGCUCCAGCAUGGCCACAGUCAAAUGACUAAUACAAGUAAAAGAGUAAAUGAGAUUCAAGAAACCUUUUCAAUUCAAAGAAUCUAUGAUUUUCUUCGUUUCGAACCAAGGGGGUAACAUCCACAUAAAUGAAUAUAUUUUGGGGUAACUGGUUAAAAAAAGUUGCCCGACCCCUGCUCUAGAGGUAGAUGCAUUCAAGUCAAGCCCCAUUCCUUUUAAGCUGUUAAGCAGUGAGUUUGUUUGUAUAUCUUUUAUCUUUUGUCUUUUACUUGUUUCAAUCAUUAGACUGUGGCCAUGCUGGGGCACUGCCUUUGAGAAUUUUAGUCAAAUGGAUCCACCCCAAAACUUAUUUUUAUUCUUUUUUAAAGCCUGACACUUAUUCGAUCAGUCCCUUUUGCUGAGCCACUAAGUUAUGGGGACAUAAACACAUCAAUAUCAGUUGUCAGGUUGUGGGCAGGUGGGUGUGGCAAACACAAACACACACAUAUAUAUAUGUGUGUAUGUGUGUGUGAGGUGGGGUGCUGAAAAGUUCCUGGCUUUGGGUAAAGCAAAAUACCAGAGGAUCGGUUAAUUAUGAUUUUUACUCACUCCCAAACAGUUGAAGGAAUCCGGUGUAGAGGUAGACUCGGGAAGACAUGAGAUGAGGUAGUGAAGCAUGACCUUUGAACGUUGGGCCUCCCAGAGGCAAUGACGAAGGACCGAGAUCUCUGGCACGUAAAAAGCACCCACUACACUCACGGAGUGGUUGGCGUUAGGAAGGGCAUCCAGCCGUAGAAACACUGCCAGAUCAGACUGGGGCUUGGUGCAGCCUCCUGGAUUCCAAGACCCCAGUCGAACCGUCCAACCCAUGCUAGCAUGGAAAAUGGACGUUAAACAAUGAUGAUGAUGAUGAUGAUAUUCUCCUCUCAGAUUCACAUACUUAUUUCAAUGGUCCUUCAAUUUUCCUAAGCUCUGUAAAAGAACCCGGAAGGUUGGGCCUCCAACCAGACCUUUUGCAAUACCCUUAAAGCUAGGAACUUUUCAGCACCCUCUUAUAUAUGUGUGUGUGUGUGUGUAUAUAUAUAUAAAGACUUGUUUUAUUUAUAUUUCCUGAGCGCCAUACUAAUACAAUUGUUUGUUUGUAUUCCACCUGCCUUCGUCUGUUGUUUAUUUCCGUAAACCUGCCUUCGUCUUUUGUCUAUUUUCAUAAAGCUUCCCGUUAUAUAUAUAUAUAUAUAUAUAUAUAUAUAUAUAUAUACAUACAUACACACACACACUAACACACACACACAUAUAUAUAUAUAUAUAUAUAUAUAUAUACACACAAUAGGCUUCUUUCAGUUUCUUAUUUCGUUAUUGCCCACAAAGGACUAAACAUAGAGGAGACAAACAAGGACAGACAAAAGGAUUAAGUUGAUUACAUUGACCCCAGCACGUAACUAGUACUUAAUUUAUCAGCCCCGAAAGGAUGAAAGGCAAAGUUGACCUCAGCGAAAUUUGAACUCAGAACAUAAUGGCAGAUGAAAUACCACUAAGCAUUUCACCUGGCGUGCUAACAUUUCUGCCAGCUCACCGCCUUAGGCUUCUUUCAGUUUCUAUCUACCAAAUCCACUCGCAAGUCUUUGGUCAGCUCAAAGCCAUAGCAGAAGACUCUUGCCCAAGGUGCCAUACAGUGGGACUGAACCUGGAACCGUGUGGUUGGGAAGCAAACUUAGCCACAUAUGCACACAAUUUUUACAACUAGCAUAGGAAAAAAGACAAGUGCACACAAGGUUUCAAAGAUGAAAUCAGAUUCUUUUAAUUGAAGCACUUUGGGUGGUAGUUACCAGCUCCAGUUUUGAUUCGAUUAAUAAACCCAGCUGUUAAAUAAUUGUUUCAUUCUAAUGAUGUAUUGAGAUGAUUUGAUCAAAUGAUUGUUCAUUGAGAAACUAGUCUUUCUCAUACAAUAACCAUAAAAAAGAAAUAAUUGAUGCUAGAGAUAAUUAUGGUUUUAUUGACGAGAGUAUAUUCCACUUGGUAUGUGCACACAUUUUGCUAAGAAACAAUAUUUUCACACAAUACUAAUUUUUGUGCACACUUACAUAAAAAAAUUGGAGGCAACAUUUGAGUCAAGUAAGAUUUAUUGUGCUUGCCUGUGUCCUUUUAUUCUAACCAAAUAUUCUUCUUAGCAAUGAAUGAUAUAUUUAUAUUCCGUCUGAAUUUGUGAGAUAAGGAAUUAUCCUCGUUAUUAUACACUGAAUAAGGUGAUGAGCUGCCUGAAUAAUUAGCACAGCGGACAAAAUGCUUGGCAGCAUUUCUUUUGGUUCUUUAUGUUCUGAGUUCAAAGACUGACAAAGUCAGCUUUGCCUUUUAUCUUUUUGUGGGGGUCAAUAAAAUUAAGUACCAGUAAAAUACUGGGGUUGAUACAAUUGACUUACCCGCUAUCCUCAAAAACUGAUGGUCUUGUGUCAAAAUUCAAAAGAAUUCUUAUACAUAUAUUUGGACUAAUAUGGACCAAGACCCUUGGAGAUAUGUUGUGAUUGAGAAGACCUGACAAGUAAAGCAAGAUCACAGCUGUGGCUGAUGCCAGUGUUGUAUGACUGGCCCAUUUAAAAGUACCCUUGAAGCGUCGGGUAAUAUGAUGUGCUUGAAAAGACCUGUUGAGUCAAGCAAAAUCGAAAUUGUUGUCAUGGCCAGCACUGCCUGACUAGCACCUGUGCUGGUGCCAUGUAAUAAGCACCAUUCGAGCAUGGGUCGAAGCUAGUGCCGCCUGACUGACUUCCCAGGCCAGUGGCACAUAAAAUGCGCCCACUACACUCUCGGAGCAGUUGGAGUUAGGAAGGGCAUCCAGCUGUAGAAACAUUGCCAGAUCAGAUUGGAGCCUGGUGCAGCCCACUGGCUUGCCAGACCUUUGUCAAACCGUCCAACCCAUGCUAGCAUGGAAAGCGGUUGUUAAACGAUGAUGAUGAUGAUGAUGAUGAAUGUCCUCAUCUUGGUUGCAGUGUUUCAGUGACUGUAACCCCCGACUUUCUUCAAAUGAUUGUUAUAUUCAGUAACAUUUUUGGAAUUUCAAACCAAAGCCUUUAUUACAGUAGUUUGUAGUAGUUUAGAUUGUGUAUAUAAGUUACAGGGUGUGUAAGAUAUUUGAGGACAGAUUUAUGUUUAUAGAAAAAAAAACCAGAUAUUAUAAUAACAGAUAAUAACUUUAUUUAUUAAAACAUGUUAUGAGGAUAGAAAUAAACCUUCUUUUCUAUAAUGUUAUCCAAUAAAGCCCCCUUCAGCUUCAACAACUGCUUCUAUAUGAGAUUUGAAUCAUCUACAUGCUCGAAUUAAAUGGUCCUGGUUCAUUUUGGACAUUACUCUGACUAUGGCAGCUUUCAAAGAAUCUUUGGUGUUAUGAGCUUGUUCAUUGACCUCUCUCUCUCAACAACAUUCCACAUGUAAUAGUCCAAUGGAUUGAGAUACAGGGAAUUAGAAGGCCAAAUGUAAGGGGUUAUGUGAUCAUGAAAAUUUUCAGCCAUUCAUUCCUGUGUUACUAGAACCAUGUGUGAUAGUGCAGAGUCUUACUGAAACACAUAUGGCCUUCCCGUUGCAUACACUGUCUAUCCAGGGCUUAACAGUUAUUUCUAGGACCUCAAUGUAGGCAGCAGAGUUAACUCUAAGGCCUUGUGGAAAGAGGUAAGGAGGCAUCACAUGUGCUUCAUUGCUGACAACCCCUAAAACCAUGACGGCUGAAGGAAAUUGUGUAUGCAUAACACUUGGAACUUCAGAAGGGUCUGCACAUAACCAUCUGUCAUUUCUUGUUAACUUUUUGAUCUUGAUCAAAGAUUUUCUUGUUUGAGAAAACCAAAUCAAAUUUUCUUCUGCUGGAUUUUUCAGUUUAUUUAAGAGUCGUUUAGAUCUGAUGUAGUGAUGUUCUUUUGCUUUUUCUUACGAAUUGACCUUUCCUCAUCAUGUAUACUUGAAAGUAAUGGGCAACAUUUCUGACUGUUCCUUCUGACACAUGAAGAUCUUUUGCAAUUGACCUCAUGGACUUUCUGGGAUUGUAAUCAAUGAUCUGUUGAACUUGCUGGAUAAAUUCAGGUGUUCUGAUGAUUUCACAGCAUUUAGAAUGCUUUUUAUACUUUGAUACUGGUGAUACAUUCAGUCUCUAGCUCCUUACAAUCUUUGUAAACGAAGGACCUGGCAACUUUUAAAAAUCGAGAUAUUUCUAAAUCACUACGCUCAGCCUUUAUAACCACAAUAACUGUAUGCCUCUUCAUUUCUUGAGUAAGCUGAGGGUCUGCUAUUAUAUUAUUUUCUGUAACAAAGAAUAUACAAAGUUAGUAAAAAAUGCAGCAAUGAUCCAAAAAGGCAUGUCCUCAAAUGCCUUAUGCACCGUGUAUGUAUACAUAUAUAUAUAUAUAUAUGUGCAUGUAUGUAUGUGUGUGUGUAUAUAUAUAUAUAUAUAUAUAUAUAUAUAAAGGAAAUGAAGAAAAUGCUGACAAAAUAAUUUAAGUAAAGGAGAGUGUAUUUAAUUAGGUGAAAGUUCUUUUUACCGGUUGCGCAUUUGUUAUGCUUAUCAAAAGAUAUUUUGAGUGAGAUAGAGUUCCUUUCUGAUUGAUUUUUUCUCUUAUAAUAUAUAUAUACUCUGGUUCAAGUUAAAGGUACCAGCAGCAUCACAAGUAGGACUAUAACUAAUAAAAGAAUAACCCUGAUUGGAACAAUGGAAUGAGGACUAAUAAAGUGUUCCAUUCCAAAUUCUGAAAAUAUUACCAAAUAUGAUAGGAACCUGAAGAAAGCCAAAAGGUAUAACACCUAAAAGGUGACUAUAAAAACUAAAGCGAAGUCUCUAGUCAGCAUGUAUCAAUGUAUAAUGUCUAUAUUCCCAUUUACUAGACUGAACAGUAUACAAUAUAAUGUCACAUUCACCAUUAUAAUGGAAUGAUGUGAGAAGUAUUUUAGAGCCUUGAGCUGCAGGCUAUUUUCCAGCCACUUCUAAAUAAAACAAUGCUGCAAAGAUUGUUGUAAUGAUUGCUGGCACAACAUAACUGAACACGAAUAUCAUAUUGUCAUCUUCGACAUGUUACGUAAUGCUACUUUUUACGGUCUACCAAUGCUAGUGAAGUGGUAUGCUUGAAAGUAUCCCGGAUUAACUCGGUAAUUGUUUAACAGUUCAGUGUUUUAUAUUCCUGACUAUAAAAUACCGUUCCAAGCUUUCACUCACAUAAAAUAUGCGGGUCUGAAGUAUAUUUUCAAAUUCAUGAAAUCCACAGUUAGAGAAAAUCAAAUCAAGAUCAGCACUACUGCCACCAUUGCUGUUGUUGUUAUCCUCAUCAUCGAUUCAAUGUCAGAUUUUUUUAUUUUAUUUUAUUGUAUGGAAUGCACAAGUCUGUAGAAUAACAAAAUGGUUUAAUAAAAGGCCUGCACUUGUCUUCGUUUUUAUAUACAUUUUAGUUAUUCUAGCAGAAAACUUUUUCUGCCGUUUCUCUAAUCCAGUGGUUCUUACUCUUUCGCUCUUUUACUUGUUCCAGUCACUCGACUGCGGCCAUGCUGGAGCACUGCCUUUAGCCGAGCAAAUUGACCCCCCAGGACUUAUUCUUUGUAAGCCUAGUACUUAUCCUAUCAGUCGCUUUUGCUGAACCGCUAAGUUACGGAUACAUAAACACGACAGCAUCGGUUGUCAAGCAAUGAUGGGGGGGGGGGGCAGACAAACACAAACACACACAUGCACACACAUAUAUAUGACAGGCUUGUUUCAGUUUCCAACUACCAAAUCCACUCACAAGGCUUUGGUUGGCAGCCCGAGGCUAUAGUAGAAGACACUUACCCAAGGUGUCUCGCAGUGGGACUGAACCCAGAACCAUGUGGUUGGUAAACAAGCUUCUUACCACAUAGCCACACCCAGACCCCUUUGAUUGCUAUUUUACUCUACAGGAACUCCAAAGCCAUUUGAUGUGCAUAAAAAAACAAUCCCAUUUUUAAAAUACCAUGGUAGAAACGGGUGUUUCGUCAUCAUUUAACAUCUGUUGUCCAUGCUGGCAUGGGUUGGACAGUUUGACCAGGGCUGGCAAGCUGGGGAGCCGCACCAGGCUCCAGUCUGAUUUGGUAUGGUGUUCUGCAGGCAAAUGCCCUGCCUAAUGCCAGCCACUUUCCAGUAUGUGCUGGGUGCUUUUACGUGGUGCCCGCACGGACACUUUUACGUGACACUGCACAGGUGCUUUUACAUAGCACUGCAUGGGUGCUUUUACGUGGUCCCACACAGACACUUUUACAUGACACCACUACAAGUGCUUCACACUACCAGAAGGACCAGUCUUAACACUUCUGCUGCAGAUUACAGGUCUUCUUAUUUCUUUAUUGCGCACAAGGGGCUAAAACAGAGAGGGGGCAAACAAGGACAGACAAAGGGAUUAAGUUGAUUAUAUCGACCCCAGUGCAUAACUGGUACUUAAUUUAUCGACCUCAAAAGGAUGAAAGGCAAAGUCGACCUCGGCGGAAUUUGAACUCAGAAUGUAACAGCAGAUGAAAUACCUAUUUCUUUACUACCCACAAGGGGCUAAACACAGAGAGGACAAACAAGGACAGACAAAUGGAUUAAGUCGAUUAUAUCGACCCCAGUGUGUAACUGGUACUUAAUUUAUCAACCUCGAAAGGAUGAAAGGCAAAGUCGACCUUGGCAGAAUUUGAACUCAGAACGUAACGGCAGACAAAAUACAGCUACGCAUUUCGCACGGCGUGCUAACAUUUCUGCCAGAUCGACGCCUUGAUUACAGGUCUUCUCGAUUACAGCAAGGCACUAGGCAUCUCGAUCCUUUAUCAUCUCACCUGAAAGGUUCAGUUUGUUGUUUAUUGUUGUAAAGAUUUGUUGGUGAUUAAAACUUUAUAUUAAUGUCACAAAUGAAUAAUAUUAAUGCUUUGUUAACAGGUAGCCUUCUGCACUGUCCAGUUGUUCACUUGGAAUAUCAGACUUCAAGAAAUUGUUAGAUUAGUGGAUUUUGAAGUUAUUUUGAGGUAAGACUCCAUUUUGUCUUGCAUUUCUAAAAUUCGUCAUAAAUAACCUAUGCCAACAUGGGAAACAGACAUUAAAUGAUGAUGAUGAGGAAGAGAAGGAUGAAUUAUUUUGGUUUCACCCAUCUUGAAGCAUGUGCUUAGGGGAUCUCAUCUGAUCCAAAUGCAACCCAUACUCUCCACAUGCAGUUUGGUAUUGUUCACCCUCACCGUUUAUCUGCCACUUGCUAUUCCUCACUCUCUCAUCUCUAUACUGUCCAGUGUUGGUGCCAUGGUGCAAUGCACUCAGUGCACUUUGAUAAUAAUGGAACCAAGAGGUCCCUUUCAUUUUAUCGAGCACAUGAUAAUCUCCCUGAUGCUGAUGCCUUAAAAAAAUGUCCAGUACACUCUGUGGUGUAGUUGGUGUUUAGGAACCAGCCAUAGAAGGCAAGCUAAGAAGGAAACCAAUGAGGGAGAUGUUAUCCUCUUACCUUUCCAGAAUAACUCCGACCCAUGCCAGCAUAGAAAAUAGACAAAAAAAUACAACAAUGCUGAUAAUGAGGAUGAUAUUAUUUUUUUCCUUUUCCUAAUUGUUGUUAAUUUUAAAUAUCAAAAUAAGACAGGAAGCUGGCAGGACCCUUAGUAUGGCAGGUUAAAUGCUCAGCAAAAUUUUGUCUGUCUUCACAUUUUGAGUUCAAAUUCGACUUAGGUCAACUUUGCCGUCAUCCUUUCGGGGUCGAUAAAAUAAGUUCCAGUUGAACACUGGGUGGGAGGGUCGAUGUAAUUAACUUACUCCUCCCCUAAAUUUGCUGGCCUUGUGCUAAAAUUUGGAACCAAUAAUAGUUAUCAAAAUUAUAACAAUGAUAUUGUUUUCUCUUUUACUCCCAAUUAAUUCACUUUGUAGAUUUAGCCUUGUUGAUAUUAUGAAAAAUGUUUACAUAAUUCAUAUAUAUAUAUAUAUAUAUAUAUAUAUAUAUAUAUAUAUAUAUAUAUAUAUAGCAAUAAGAAAAUGGAGGGGAUCAAUAGGUGGUUCAUCAACUUUUAGACAUUAUAUUAUGUUAACUUAUAUGUAUUGUAUGUAUGUAUAUAGAUAGAUAGAUAGAUAGAUUGAUAGAUAGAUAGACAGAUAGAUAUAGAUAUACAUAUAUAUAUAUCUAUAUAUAUAAAACUGUAGUUGUGUGAGUGUCUGUCUCCUACGAUUUAGAUUCCUAACUACUCCCACAUUUUGCGGUGCAGUUUAACCAAAUUCGGGUAUCUUAUAGUCGUGAUUCAUAUCAAGCCCGUCUGGGUAUUAGCGCGCAUCUGCGAUGAGUCUACGAUUUAAAAAAUAAUUUAACAUCAUUUUUUUCCAUUUUAACGCAUAUUUUUUCGUGUGUCGAUGGCGGCGGAGUUGGCAUCCAUGGUCACACCUGCACCUGUGUUGCUUCUCCCCCUUCUUCCCUCCCUCAUGAAGCUGUGGGGAAGGGAGUGUAAGGAAAUCAACGUCGUAAAGCGUUGUCAAGGAGACCAGCGUUCUUUUAGAACAACGACUUCAUGGCUUGAAGACACCAAAACAGAAAUGGCUAUGCUUAUAUAGUUAUUUCCCUUACAAACCCGAGCAACGCCGGGCGAUACUGCUAGUGUAUAUAUAAAUUUAUAUGAAUAAGGAUACGAUUUUUAUUUAAAUAUCGAUCUUAUCAAGUGGCCAGCAUAGGAAUAAAAACCUUCAAAGGUAAUAAUUUUUAUUAAAAUUAUAAUUUAGGGUAUGCUUGAAAUAGCAGCCAAAACUUGACUCUAAAACCACAUUAAAUGUUCAUACAGCACCAGCACCAGGUGCAGUAUGAACAUUAACCAUUUGCAAUGUAUGUAUGUUUAAUAUGAUACGCAGAUAGCUUCCUUUUAAAUAUAGAAUUACUUCUGUUGCAUGUAAAGAAUAAUUUUAAACCUUAUCUAUUUCCAGAAUGAAGUGCAAACUCUAACAUAACAAAUAAAAUGAUAUAUGACUGUGAAAGCAUACAUGGAAAACUAUAUAUGUGUAAGUGAACCUCAG